rnacentral:lncRNA from 1 species
CAAUGCACCACUUUUUUAAAAAAAAACUCCAUAUUUUUUCUCAAACAUGAAUAACUGAUGGAAAACAUAAAAUAUAUAGUAAUGCUCCAAAUUGAAGUAGGAUAUGAUAAUAAGUUAACAAACAAUUUUUUUUUAAUAGGCUCAAAAGGGUAAUUAUGGAUAUUUCACAAUGAGGAUGGCCAGAAGAGACUCAAAUGGCUUAGACAUGAACUUCUGUCAUUUGUUAGAGAUCUAAAUAGUCUUUAUAUCUACUAGUUUAAUAGACUUUUAGACAUAACAACACACAAUUCUUUUCAUUGGUCGACUCAAAAGAAAAAGAUAGAGAUUAUGUAUAAAAUAAUAAACUAGUAAGCUAUGGAAAAAGGUUGCUCUCUAAGAUAAAUAAUAGAUUCAAAAACUUACUUGGAGCUUAUUUUGACAUGUACAUUCUUUCAAAUAGCUCAAUGAAUUUCACUCAUCAAUUUCUCAGUUCACACCUCUAACCAACAUUAAUUUGCAAAGUGGCAAACAUGGUGCAACAUAAUUCAAAGGUAAAGAUAAUAUAAAUUCUAAAAUUUAAAAGCCACCGCGUCAUCCAAUGUCAAAAGAUCACAAAAGGUGCCUUAAAUUGUAUUAUUUCAUUAUUUUUAUUUUAUUUAUUUUUUACCUAAACUACAAAACUAGGAAUAUGCAUUUCUAGAGUAAUUAAACUCCAUAUUCGACCAUCUUUAACUCAAAAAUUUAAAAACAAAAUUAGUAAAAGUACAACAACACAACUAUCAAUUAUUCCAUAACUAUCAAUUAUUAUGUCCCCCAACUAGAAUGAGAUAUUGUCCUCAACUUUUGAAAGAAAAGAAGUAGAGUUUUGAAAAAAAUGAUAAAUUUUUAUGAAUGUUUGAAUGGGCCCAAGAUGCAAAUAUAAUUUAUGCCUCUAUAGUUGCAAGAUCUCUUGGCAAGAAAAUUAAAGCAUUGGUAAGGUUUCGCAUCUUGGUUAUUUUCUCCUGGAAACUUAAGAUGACUAGCUUAUUUGCAAUUAGUGAGCCGGACAAGCAUCCCAGAGGUUAUAGGGGUGUGGGAUGAUACCAAGCACUUGACUUGAUCUAGUGUAAGUAGUUUUUGAGACAAGUACUUGACCAAGAUCCAUACCUGCUUGAGCAAACACUUUGUAUUUUCCAUAACGAAAGUCAGAAAGCAUGCAAACGUUCUUCAAUUGUCUAUUCAAAUUUGCUGCCAUUAAGACAAACUCAAAAAUAAUUUGUGAGUGUUUUAAAAAAAAGUUCAUAUUUAAAGAUCUUGGUGAGAGACAUAAUGAUACAAGGCUGUAAAUGGAGUGGUAUGUUUGUCAAAUGACGCGUGAAGUUCUUGGUUCAAGAGUCAAAAGUAAAUAGUAGAAAAAAAUUAAAUGGAGAUAAAUCACACAAGUAAACAAUAAUCUAAAUGAUAAAAGAAUAGUAAAAAAAAUUAUAUAUACCAGUAGUUGUGACGAUGGCUCACAUCUUCCUUUUUAUUUUAUGUUGAGAAAGGCUUGAAUGCCAUUAUGGAUCGAGGACAUGAUUCUCAUCGAGUUUUCUUAUUAACUGGUGAAUAGGGUAGUGUAUAUAAAAUUCUUGAGACAUUAUGGUGCAUAUUUCUUUUUGAAUAAUAGCCAUGACUAGGAAAUUGCACGUUGUACGUAUUCACUGGGAUGUGUUUCAAGCGUCGAAAUGAUGUCAUCUAAUGACUUUUUAUUCAAGUCAUUCCUAAUAAAUUGAAUCUUUUCUUUCUUAUUGCACGACAUCAUUCCUAAAGAUAUACUAGAACUUUCAUUAUAGUUUGUUUGAGCACACUUAUAAUAAGAAACUUAGAGCUGUCUAGCUCUUUAUUUUCUUGAAUAAUUUCCUUUCCUGCAGCCAGACAUGUAAGCAACAAAUUUGAGAGAUAACUUAUUUCUUAAUCGUACUUUGGUUUCAAUUAACCAACGGAUGUGAACAAGAACGGUAUUUCUCAUAAGUAAUCAUAAGCAUUUAGAUCAAGUUUUAAAGAUUGUAAGCAUUGCAUUCUAAGGGAGAGAGGGAAAUCACUUGUGAAGUUUUGCAAGAAUUUGAUUCUUAUGUAUACCUUGGCUUGGAAAUGUCAGUUAUUAUGGAAAAUUGUUAUAACCGACUUUAAUGGUUACGGAGUACCAUUAUCUGCUACUUAACUAGGGUAAGAAAUAACAACAUACCAAACAAAAUAAUUAAUCUAGCAAAAACAAAAUGCAUGUGAAGGCAACACAACAAAACAAAAACAAACAAUAUAAAUACUAGGACGUUAACUCACCAUCAUCCUUUUAUUGAGUUUAUCGUAAGUUCUAAUUAGAUAUCACAGAUACUACCCUCUAUUUCUAUGAAUUGUCUUUCUAGAUGGGAUACUGACACUAGUGUUCAUAGAUCCUAAGCAGGAUGUGAUUUAUAAAUUUUGAGUAGACCACUUAGGUAAAGCUUGUUAAGGUUAAUGAAUAGGAUUUUUCUCAUUGAGAUACUCAUGACCUAUAAUACAAUUGAUAAAAGAAAACAUAAUUUUUAAACAAAUGCACUUAAGUAUGAAACAAUCAAAAUAAUUUUAAUUAGUAAAACAAAAUAACAAAAAGUUAAAUCAUCCCAAAAAAGGACCUAAUCAAGAUGUGGUAGGUCUCUCAAAUUUCCUCUGGUGUCUUCUUCAUGUAGUUGAUACUCUAGAUAUGACUUUAAUAUUUGACCAUUAACUUUAAAAGUAACAUUAUUCUUUAGAUCCUUAAUUUUAAUGGCCCACAUGAAAAAAAUAAUGUGAACAAUUAAUGGAUUAGACCAUCAAGAGCGUAAUUUACUUGGGAAUAGAUGCAAGCGAGAAUUGAAUAACAGCACUUUUUAACCUGGUGCAAAAGAUUUUCUUAUAAUAUUCUUGUCAUGAAAGACUUUCAUCCGCUACUUGUAAUGUUUGUCAUUUUCAGAUGCAUUAUUGCGAAUCUCUUUAAUUUCCACCAGCUAUAAUCUUCUUUCCGAACCAGCUUGUUGCAUGUCAAAGUUAAAUUUCUUGAUAGCCCAGUAUGCACGAUGCUCGAUUUCCAUAGGUAGGUGACAAGCUUUCCUAUACACUAACCUAUAAGGUGACAUCCUAAUAGGGGUUUUAAAAGUCGUUUGAUAUGCCUAUAGUGCAUCAUCGAGUUUCAAUGACAAUUCUUUUCUAUCUAGUUUCACCAUCUAUUAUAAUAUAUACUUUAUUCCUCGAUCAGAGAUAUUGACUUGGCCACUAGUUUGUAGAUGAUAUGGGGUAGCCACUUUGUGUGUGACGAAGUACUUUGCCUAAAGAGUUGUAAAUGAUUUGUUGAAGAAGUGGGUACCACAAUCAUUGAUUAUUGGCCGAGAGAAUCUAAAGCGCGAAACAAUAUUACUCUUCAAAAAUCCCAUCACUACUUUGUGAUCAUUGGUUCUGUACGGAAUUGCUUCUACGUACUUUGAUACAUAGUCGACAGCAACUAAUAUAUAUUGAUGGCCAAAAGAAAAAGGAAAUGGUCUCAUAAAAUCGAUGCCCCAUAUAUAAAAAAACUCAACUGCCAGAGUAGGGUUUAGUGUCAUCAUGCUCAUUCGUUAAAUGCUUCUUAUACUUUGGCACCAAUGACAUGAAGAAUAGAAGUGUAAGCAUCUCAAAAUAAAGUUGGCCAUAAAAACCAUAUUGUAAAACUUUAGCAGCCCUCUUUCUAGCACUAAAAUUGUCUCCACAAACUUGUUCAUAAUAUAAUGAAAGGAUGUUUUGAAAUUUGCUCUCUGGGACGCAUCGUCUGAUAAUAUGAUCCACUUAAUAAUUGAAUAGAUAAGUAUCAUCAGAAAAGAAAUUCUUUGUUGUCACAAAAAAAUUAGCCUUAUCUUACUUAGUCUAAUGCUUGGAAAGUUGCCCUGUAACAAUAUAGUUAACUAUAUCAGCAUACCAUUGGUAGUACCUCUACACUUAUUAGUUGUUCAUCUGGGAAUGAUUCAUUGAAUGGUAACGGUUCUGGAAUUGUGUCAAAAUUGAGGCGAAAAAGAUGAUCUGCCACCACAUCUUUUAUGUCUUUCUUAUCUUUAAACUCAAGGUCAAAUUCUUACAAAAGUAACACCCAACGAAUUAGUCUAGCCUUUACAUCUUUCUUUAUAAAAAGAUAUUUAAGAGUAGUAUAAUCUGUGAGCACAAUUAUUUUAUAUCCUAUGAGAAAUUUUUCUAAUGCAAACAUUACUAUUAGUAUUUCAUUUUUAGUGGUUGAGUAAUUUAAUUAUGCAUCAUUCAAUGUCAUACUAGCGUAGUAAAUGACAUGAGGGAUAUGAUUAACUUUUUGUUCUAAUACAACUACUAUUAUUUGUACAAGAAUGUUAAUAAUCUCUUGAGGGCAUGUUGUUCCUCGAGCCUUAUUAGCAACUAAUCAAUGUAGAGCACGAGAUGUCAGUAUGAAAAAUUCUAAAAGAGAUAUUGUAAAAAUAAAGGUAAUGUUAUAAAAUUAUGUUGCAGAGGAUUAUUGACUAUUAUGAAAACAAUAGGUGUCAUGACCCAACCCAGACUUGACAAGAUAUUGUCCGCUUUAUACUUUAACAAAGCCCGCACAAUUUUGUUCUUGGGGCGCCCAUAGACCCUAAAACGCAUCUUGCCAAUUAAGGGUAGAUCACCCCUUAUAAACCCAACAUCUCUCCCGUGCUCUACCAAUGUGGGAUUUGUCUAGGGUGUUACAUUCACCCCCCUUGGUAUUUAGCGUCCUCGCUGAGAUUUGCCCCACCAUCGCUCAAGAUGACAGGCAGAGUCGCUCUGAUACCAUAAUGUCAUGACCCAAUCCAGACCUGGUAAGAUAUUGUCUGCUUUGGACUUUAACAAGACCUGCACAGUUUUGUUCCUAGGGCUCCCAUACACCCCAAAACGCAUCUUGCCAAUUAAGGUGUGGAUCACCCCUUAUAAAUCCAGCAUCUCUCCCGUGCUUUGCCGAUGUGAUAUUUGCCUAGGGUGUGACAUUCACCCCCACCAUCGCUCAAGAGGACACGCAGAGCCGCUUUGAUACCAUAAUGUCAUGACCCAACCCAGACCUGACAAGCUAUUGUCCCAACCCAGACCUGGCAAGAUAUUGUCCGCUUUGGGCCUUAAAAAGGCCCACACGGUUUUGUUUCUAGAGCGUCCAUAUACCCCAAAAUGCGUCUUGCCAAUUAAGGUGUGCAUCACUCCUUAUAAACCCAGCAUCUCUCCCGUGCUUUGUCGAUGUGGGAUUUGCCUAAAGUGUUACAAUAGGUGUAAGUGGUAUAAAUUGAUUUCAUUAGUGAAAAAUUGGCAACCUCCCAAUUUAGAAUCCUAAAUUUUGUAGGAAAUUCAAACACCAAAGCUCCAUAGGCAAAGAAAAAGUCCUAAAGGCAAGAUCGUUAGUCCAAUACCUUUCAAGAAAAAUCAAAAGUCAUAACUUUUUCAAUUAAAAUCUUGAGCUCUUAUACAUAAAAAUCAUAAAAUUCAUUCAAUGAAAAUUCUUCAAAUAAUUAAAAUUAAAGUCAUGAGUUCCAAACAGAAAUUUUUAAAUAUCUGAUAAUUCCAUGUAUCUCGUACAUAUAUUUAAAAUCUCUAAACAAUUUUUUUUUAUAAAUGGUGAUAAGAAAGAUUAAAAGCAACUUUAGCUCAGCCAAUUUAGUUUAAAAGUUUUGAUUAUUUUCAUCAAAAGUUUAAAACUUUCGGGGAGUAAUAUCAGGGAAAAUCCUUAAGCAGCUCGGCGGGCGGUCAUAGGAACAACCAGACAGUACCCCUGUGGUGUUCCUCUAUUAGCAACAAAACAAUUUGGUGAAUUAUUAUUAAUUAGUUCUAGAAGUCAAUUCAAAGUAAAAUCGUAACUUCAGAAGAUCAAAAUGGAAUCGACCAAAAGAAGAGAGGAGCAGAAUGGAAUAACAUAACAAAGCAUCUGUACUAACUGAAUUCAAAUGGCCAGAACUAUAGAGACUAUGAUUUCUUGUAAAGACACCGCAAUUUGAAAAGCAACAAGAGGAACAUUGCCAAUUGAAGGUCACUGCCCAGGCUUCUUCUAGCAAGCUUCUAACAGACAGUUCGAGUAUGUUGUGCACGGAAUGCGGAAUCAAGCGCACCAAAUAAUUAUAGAAAAAUAAAAGACACAAGAAUUACGUGGUUUAGUAAUUAAACCUACAUCCACGGAGGCAAGAAAGAAUAAUUGUUUAUUUAACAAUUAAUAGAGUACAAAUAUUUGAGUAACGAAUCUCACUUCCCAGAAACCCAAAUAUACCCAGUACUCUCACACUCUGCAGGAAAGAUAAAUUCCCCAGACACACUUCUCUCACUUCUCUCAAAAGCUUAGAAACUUAUAAGCUUAACCAUUUUGGGAUGAUUUCAAAUGAAUGAAAUCCUUAACUAUUUAUAGGAGAAAUGAAUUACUAUGCAAAGAAUAAAAUAAUUAAAUCCCUUUUGUCAAUUCUUUCUUUUCGGCUACAAAAUCAAUUUUGAUUUUGCUUCUCUACAAUUGUUGGUGCAACCAACAAUUUUUUGACUUCAACAAAGCAACCAUGACCUUUUUUGUCACAACAGUAAAAAAUGAAAAUUUAAAAGAAAAAAAUUAUAAUAUAAGUACACGUACUCUUUGUCCACGAUGCCCUUAAAAGCCUGGAUCCCCAAGGAUCUAGGACUUUUGGAAUUGGAGGUUGCAUCAUAGCUUUACUUGAUUUGAGAGUCAUAUCUCUUGCAAACGUAAAUAGGUUUUCACCUUUUUAAGCUGAAAGGAAAUACAAAAGGUGAAUGACUUGGCUAACAUAUAGAAUACAAUAUGGAAUGAAUGAAUGAAGUACCUUAAAAACAUGUAUUCUUGAUUGCCUUCAUAAUCAUGCUCUCGGUUAUUAUAUCAAUUGAAGAAGAAAAAUGAAUAAAGCGGUAUUAAGUAACUUUCCCAAUAAAAAGACACAGAAGGAGACAGACCAUGAAAGAAACGAUGAGUAACCUGAAGUAACUUGAAGGUCUCAUGAUCAGUGUCUGCAUGGUACCGAUUUUCAGCCUGGUAUCAAGACAGUCUAAUUGGAAAUCAAGCAUAAGAAUUCGAGGCAUCUGCCGCUGGCUGCAUUCUGGAAUGUUAAAACCUCGUGGUGUGAACCUAUGAGCUUCAUCAUAUCUACGAAAUUUCUUCUAUUUUCUGAACUCUCCCUACUAACUACCACUCAUAAAGGACAACCAUGGAGUUCAAGUUUUUUCGGUGGGGUUUAAAAGUAACUACCCAAAUAAACUUUUAUCUUUAAAAUUGAUUCAAUUGGAAAAAUUAACACAGUAAGCAAUUGAGCCAAGAAAAUAAAAAUCCCCACAAGCAAAAUCAUUGGAAAUCAUUGGUCAUCAGGAAGGAAAAUCUCAGAAGGGUUUUGACCUAUCCAUUCCACUCAUAAGGGAAAGGCAAAAUGCUACUUCUAUGCCUGUUUAUUCUUUAAGGUACUUAUAAUUUGAUGACUGUUUGAUUAAUCAGUAGUAUAUACCAAGUAAGAAUUAAAAACAUUACCCAAUAUUUCGAAUUAAAAACAUUACCCAAUAUUUCAUGCUUCUUUCCUCAAUUCGUCCACAUAACAUGCUGCAUUUGGGGUUACAAAUUACAAUUGCCCUUAAGUCAUGAUUAGCACCAGUCAAUUUACAAGGUUUACUCACGGGCACUGAUUAUUUGCUCAUCAAAGUCUUUUAAUUUACAUUGAUUUUCGGCAGCAAAAUUUCCGACUUGCAUGCAUUUUAGCUUCCAAUACUUGGUAAUUAUAAUAAUAAGUCUUGACAACGCAGUCAAAAGCGAACAAUUAAAAAAAAUGUAAACGUAUUCUUUGUCCGCGAUAUGAGAAACCAAAUCAACCUGAAAAUUCCAAAGUUAAUUCUUAAUAAAAAAAUGUAUAAUUGGAAAUGAACAAGAAAACAGGUGACUGCUUAUUCUUGAAGAGUAAGACGGAAAAAGAAAGUUGAAACUUGGCGGUUGAAGAAACCAUCAUACCCUUAAUUGAGAAAUUACUCAACUACUUCAACUCCUUAUAAGUCUUUAGAUAUAUCAAAAGCAAAGCCACUUGUAAACAAAAGUAACAACUAACAAGCCAGCUCGAUAGGCCAAAUCAUUCAAAUUUAAGGUGAACAAGCUCCGUUCAAAAAAGUACUUGCACCAAUUAUCCCCGACUUCAACUUUAAGGUGCGGAUAAUAAUGAUGAGCAUUAACGAUAUCAUAAGAGUAAUUUAGACAUUUAACACUAGGAAUGACGGUGAGGUGAGGUGGGGUGGGGUGGGGGUAGAGAGACCUGCCCCCUUCUCCACCCCAUUAAAAAUAUUACCUUCAUUCCCCAUUUCAUUCACCAAAAAAUUUAUGGUGCGUUUAUUAAUCUAGAAUCAGGAUUGGGUUGGAAUGAGAAUCACGAAUGAGAAUCAAAAUAAAUUAUUUACUUGAAUAGUAGGAAUCGGAAUUGAAAUGAACUUCAUUUCUAUUAUUGUGUUUACUUUGUCAUGAAAUUUGAAUGAAUUAUUUCAAUUUAUUAAAAUACCCUUCGUUAAUUAUUAUCAUAUGGUAAUAAUAAUAAUAAUAAUAAUAAUAAUAAUAUUAAUAAACAACAAUAAUGACAACAACAAUAAUUAAAAUAAUUAUAAAUAACACAUGAGAUUUAGUUUAUGACGGAAAGAACUGCUUGAGCCAAUAUAAGAAUGAGGGUGAGAAUGAAAGGCAAAAAAUAAUCUUUUGUCUCAAAAUAGUUAUAAAACCCGCGUCCCCUCAGAUUUAGUUUAUGCAGGUUCUAUCACAUAAGAUUUUGUGCUAACCACAUUAUAAUACUAUGCGGUGCAAUUGACAAAUAUAAUAUUAUAAUAUUUUAUACAAUGAAGAGUUAUGAUAAGGGCAGCAACGUUUUUACAUUCAUUUCUAUCUUUUACUAGGAAAAAUUAUUGCUCUACAUUUUCGAAUGCAAACAGCAAAUGUUCAUAAUUAGAUGCACUUGUCAGUUUGUCUACAAGCCACAAAAUGGGCACUCGACAAAGUUGUGUAAGUAAAAAAUAAAUAAAUAAAGGCGGACUUACAAAAUUGAAUUUUGAUUAAAUUGAUACAAAUUUUUACAAAAAACUUGCAUCAAAAUUCUAUAAACUUCCAUCAUUCAUAUUUUAGUCAUAUUAAGUUAAAUUAAAGAUCAAAUAUACAGAGAAGAUAACACAACAAUUUCCUCCUUUCGUAUUUUCUAGUGUACAUCCCUCAAAUGUAGGGAUUGGAUGCCUUUUCAUGGACUUCAACCAUACCUCCGUUUAUUUUAGGUAGAAAGAAUCUUUGAUUUCUUUUUUCCCCAUCUGGUUUGCAAUGAAUCUGGAAAAUGCCUCUGGUAGCUUUAAUGCAUAUACGAAUUGGGCAAGAAAAACCCAAAUUAUGACAACCCUACCAUGCAACAAUCCCAAGCGACACAUGGCUUGUCAUCCUUUUUGUUCAGUAAGUUCUGCAUGGCCAAGAAAACAUAUCAUUCUACUUGUUUUGACCCCGAAGGAACUCUCUCAUGUGCAUAUGAAUUUUUGCAUUAAUAACUAGACGCAUUUUCUUUGAAUCCUCCUAGAGCAAACCACUUCGAUCUCUUGCAUAAUCACAAGCAGCCUCAAAGACAUCCUACAAGAUUUAUGAUUUAACUUUAAAAUGUAAUCCUUGAAAGAUAUGAGAUGAGAAAUGAAUCCAAUUAAAAUGCUCAGAUUACCCUCGAGGGAAACUCAUCAUAAUAAUGCGCAGGGGUCAUUUCAACCCUAUUCAAAUCGGAUUCCCACAAUCUUAUCUGUCAAAGAAACAGCAGAAUUUGAAACAUUAGAAUAUAAAUAAUCAUCUUUGUUAAUUGAUAUGUACUAUGUGGAAAAUAUUGAGAAUUUUGCUAUGGAAGGUCAGGAAGCAUUGAUACGUGCAAUACAUCUGAAUGCAGGAAAGAAUUAUGACCUGAUCACAAACAUUUUCUGGUAUAGACGGUAUUCUGUCAGCAACCCGAGGAUGUGCAUUUUGCUGAAGAAAACAAAUUAUCAGCAAAACAAACGAACAUAGAGUUAGAGGAGUCAGAAUGACUGCAAAAGUAAUUGAAAAAAAAAAAGGCAACUUUGAAAGAAAAAACUAUUUCGGCCACAAGAAUAUCAGAAACAGUAUGUAAGCUCGCAAAAAACCUUCUCCACCCAAAAAAAAUAAUUAUAAUAAUCUAGGUUGAUGUAAAAGUAUGUUGAGAUGAGGAUGGCUGGGACCCAAACAGAGCUGUAAAGGGGCAAAUUAUUAAGAAUGUCAGAAGUUACUUGCAUAUAUGCAAGUUAAUUGACCACAACAGACAUUUUUUUAUGGAAAAACAGAUCACCAGAUCAACUGAAUACCAAACUCACCUGCUCAGUUGUAAUGCCAUUCUCAAAAGCAUUAUUCAAACUUUCUUUCGUUGUUGCUCCGACUAUAAGGUUUGGAAGUUGAUACUCUAUCCUGCACAUUGGCAAAAUAUUCAACAAAAGGUUUUAGGACUGACCAAUGUAGUUCAAUAACAAAAUGUAGUUCAAUAACAAAAUGUAAUUCAGAACUUUAACCUAGAAGAGAAACAAUUUAUCAAGCAGAUGGCUGGCUUACUUUGAGAAAAGACGCAAAAUUUCAUAGUGUAGCUUAGAUGUUGAAUAAGCAUACAUCCUGAAGUUUGUUUCCACUACAACAAACCCCUAAAGAUAAGAAAAUGUAGAAUGAGCUAUGUAAUUAGAGAAUGUAAAAAUGAGACCUCAUUUUGGUUUCUGACAAUAAUAAUUUAACAAGAUUGACCUAAACUAAUAGAAAAUUAAUGCAGUUUGCAAAGGAAAAUUAUAAUUUUAAAAAAAAUUCAAUCACACAAUUGUUUGCAAUUGUAGGUAUAAACCAACUUUCUUACCUACCCUGAAUAGCCAUGGAAAACAUAUGAGUACUCCAGCAAAGUAAUACAAAAUUAACAGAGAUAACCAGCAUUUUCUGUAGCACAGACUAGUACAACCUACUGAAAUUUGACCAAUCCCAAGUCUGCAAAGUCUUUGAUCACACUUCUUUGUAUUUCACUCAGUGUAUUUAAAUUAUAUGCCUAUAACAUGAAGAAGCAAAGAGUAUAGCAAUAAAGUGAGAUCUCAAACCACUUUGAGAAUUCCUUGACAUAAAAAUUUUAAGGACCUCAAGAUGCUGAGAAGUUAAAAGCAAUACUAGGAUAGACAUAACCUUAUAAAAAUGAAUAAGAGAACAAAAGACAAUAUUCAAUGCAACAAUGAUACCCCAAAAAAUGUUUGAAAUUCUGUUAUAACCAAAAGUAUGAGCCAAACAUUAAUCUAUCAUACUUCUUGAAUAAUAAAUGGAAUAACUGAAUAAUAAUGUGUUUAGCUAUAGAACGUAUAUGUGCUACCUCCCCAGCGACAUGGAAACUAAGCUCCAGAAGAAAAGAAAUCAGAUCUGCUUGAUUUAUGCCUCGUUCCUGCAAGAAAAUGAGAAAAGCUAUAUGAUAUAUUAUUGGUAUUGUAAACCAUAAGCAAGCAUAGAGUCGUGCUAUCCCACAUAUAAUUAGAUCGCCGGUGAACUUUUAUCUCUAUUAAAUAGUCCAAUGAAAUACCAAAGAAGAAAAUCUUUUAGUUCUACUUUGUGUUAGCAGUAAUUAUACAAAUCUAUUGAGAAAUAGAAUAAAAAUCAAUGAAGGCAUUAAUAUUCUAAAAGUAAAAAGAUAUACAUACAUCUAAAUAUGAACUCUUUAAUCGUAUAAACAUGUGCAUAAUAUAAAAAUCAAAGUUCUAAAAUGAACAAUUGGGUAACGUAAUGAGAUUUAAAGAUAAGUCAAUCCGUUAGUUUGCCCUUUGAAUACUUCACUCAGUUCAGUUUUUACAAAGAGAGAAUAUACCAGUGAAUCAAAGACAGGGACGCGCAGAAAUUUUGAUGCAGAGAAACCACUGAAAAGAAUAUCAGAAGCCACACCUGGGAAUUGGAGAUAUAUUCUCUAACGAUGUACCAGAGCUGUGCAUUAGUAUCCAUCAGCUGCAAAUUUAAACAUAGGAAAAUAAGUUCCACUAGCUCAAACAAGAGGGAAUCCAAAAUCUUGUGAUUAACACACAUUCCAAAAAUUAAAAACCACUCUCUGUUAACCUUGGGGCUUCUUUAUCCCUGCAAAUAAGGCACAUAAAUAACAUGAUACCAAAUGCAAGAACCAGGAUUCUCAACUGUUUGCAACAACAAACUGACGAUUACAAAUGUAACAGAAAAUACUACCUUUGAAUCAAAAGACCACGCUGGAAAACCUUAAUCGUGGAAGAACUGAAAUUUAUCGACCUUUCAACUUGGGCUGAACUAAUAAGUUACAGCAACAAACACUGGAUUAAUAGAAUUGGAAGAUUUAAGAUAAUAGCUUAGUUGAUACACCAAUUGUAAUUAAUUAUGUCAUCGCAUCUCCUUGAGGUCAGCAUGAUUGGCAUGAAAAAUCCUUAAACAUGAAAGAACAGAACAGGUAAAGUUCACACCUCCCAUUGUCCAAUGGCAUAGGCCUCAAGGUCCUCCGAGGUUGGAAGCCUUGCAAUAAUACCAGAAGGCAUUGGUUCCCUCGGCAAAGCUCCAUUGCAAGUUUAGAAUCAUUAAUUUUAUACAUAAAAUGUGAUCAAAGGUGCUCAGAAACAAACUUGGAAGUAGCUGCAAAACCAAUGCAAUCUCAUAUGUUCAAGUUUAAGAUAAUGAAAUGUAUAACUCGGGUUUCAAAAUUUUGAAGGACACUCAAUCAGUGAAUUAUGAUCAUCAUGUUGGAGAAAAAUCAAUUUUUUCAAUUUUUAUAAAACUUUUUUAAGAUCGCUCUCAUAUAAUAUAUAAGAAUUUAUAAUCUAGAAAUCGUACCUUGAAAAUCCGAUUUAGUUUUUUCUGCUGAAGUGAUUUAGGCUCCCAGAUCAUGAUCCAUCACCACCACGCCUGUUAGAUCACGAUCCGUCACCACUACGCUUGUUAGAUCACGAACUGUCACCAAUGAUCUUCCAGGUUAUGACUCAGGUUUGAUCUGCACUUGACGUAUGGGCGUCUUUACUACUACUAAAGCAACUAGCACGAGAAAAUUUUUCUUUCAACAAUCGAGAGAAAAAUCUUUUUCUCUGAUCUGUAUAAAGUGGUUGCUCUCUCUUUCUUUUAGAGAAAAUAAGCCUGGACCCACCUUGAAAAAUAACAUAAGGCCCCUUACACACAAGCUAAUUAAAUGGAGCCUCUCACUAAAUGAUAUAUUUAGGCUUUUGACCCAAAUAGCUAGUUAUCUUGCUUAUUAAUCCAGUAGUUGUGCAGUCAAUUAAAUGAGCUAACCCGGGGAUUAUUUAGGAACAUACAAUAGUGGCUAUAACAAUUAGGCCUGUAAUUAAACUAGCCUAAUUAUUUAAUUCUAAAUAUACUCCACUAAAAGAUUGGAAUUGACCUCCAUAAUUGUAUGCUCGAAUAAUAAUUCAUCCCAAGCCACAUUGAUUUCUUUACUGCACAAUCCUUUGUACCGCAUCAUUAAUUAAAUCGAUAUCUCAACUGUCCAAUCAAUUUAAUUACAUCUUCUUCCUUGAUACUUACUGGUUUUCUCUAGUGAUCAUUUUCAACAUACUAAAUAUGUUUGACACACUCUGGCCAGAGAAUUCUAUGAUCAAGUGCUCAAAACUCAUCAAGAGAUGUUUUGUACAAAUUCUAUAUUGUUAAUCCAUAACUCCAAUACUCAUAAUUGCUCCCACCAAGAUACCGGGUAAUCUUGACCACAAGUACGUGUCGUGCCCAUUGGUAACUCAAAUGGAAUAACAAUUACAAUCAUGAAAUCAUAAUUAACUCAAUAUUAAGAUUACAGUAAAAUCAAUGCCUAUGAGAUUUAAUAAGUCUGACAAUUAUUACAAAGUUAAUUAAAUCUCAUAUGUGAUCCUGUUCAAUGUAGUCGUACUACAUCAAUAAAUCCAUACAUGAUUAAGAUAAAUCAUUUAAUGAAUUCAUUACAGUCUAUACCUAAAUAAAGUGCCCAACUUUAUUUAUCAACUGCGAACUAAAUUUAUUUAAUCAUAAGAUAACUUGUAUUUAUAUAUUCUGUGAAUCCACAUGGUGAUCACAUAAAUACAUAUAAUAUGAUUAAAUGGACUUUGAUAAAAAUAUUAAUGCAAUUAAGAUAUUUGAAUAAAAUACCUCAUUAAUUUUAUUAAUAAGAAAAAUAUUUAUUACAAUUAAAUAAAUACAUAUGCUUUUAAAGAGCAUAUUUUCCCAACACAUCAAACCUCUUAAUUACAUGGCCCUACAGAAUACAUACAGAAGGGAACCUCCUUACAAAAAAACUCACCCAUUUAUUAAAUGCUUCCAGAGAUUAGACUAGAAUGUUGAAUUUAAUCGGUACGUGGUUUCCUUCUUCCUGUCAUUAAAAUAUGAAGACAUCAGCAAUUCAGCAUAGGGCAAACAGUACAGAUUAAAUUCAAUUUUUUUUAAAAAAAAGAAUACUAGUGAUAUUAAUUGGAAGACAACAUUCAAGCAUAUAGAGAUACAUCUGAAUAUAAAUAGAUAAAGCUGCAAAACUUAAUACUUUUUAAAAUAACUUGCCAUGACAGCGUAUUAACCAGCCGUACACAACCGAUGUGAGAAAUGGUCAACAAAUAUAACCCAAUUCCUAACUGAGCUUUGUAUUUCACAUCUCACAAAAUAAACUCAUGAUGACAAAUCAAGAUGUCGUAGCAAUUCUCUUAGAGUAAAUUAAGCUUAACGUAUCUCAUAUCAUUUAGGCCCCUUUAGUUCUGCCAAUCAAUAGAAAAAAUGCUUAUAGUUGUAAAAUUUUCGGCGAUUUAACAUUCUUCUCAGUUUCUAGCAAUCAAUAUUGGAAAAUAAAGUAAAAAUAUUUCAGUGAAAUUACAUACUUUUCCUCUUAAAAUAAUCUCAACUUGUUAAGGAAGCACUUUAUGCAGAGCAUGAGAAAACAUAGCUUGGGUCAACUCAAGUCAAACUAUCAGAAGCUGUUAAGCAACGCAACAGUCCAGACUGCCAGCUCAGCACAGUUAGUUAAAGUUUGUUUUUACUCACAGUGUAUACUAAACAAAUGAUUAGCUGGAUUUAAUUCUUAGUUAGUUAUUGAUUAAUUAGUAUAAAUAGAAGUGAUGUAAUCAUUCUUAAUAAGAAAUAAAAGAUCUGGAAAAUUAGAAGAUUAUUUUCUCUGUUAUUUUCUUUGAAGCCAAACACUUCGUUUCAUAUUUCCUUUAUGGUAUCAGAGCAAUAAUCAUGGCGAACUCAAGUACAACUCACUCAAAUCCAAAUUUUCUUAAUCAAAAUCAACCUUUCAAUGUUUCAUUCACAUUUACUACUCCUAUAAAGCUUGAUCGAUCCAAUUAUUUGCUAUGGCGCAAACAAGUUCUCACAUCCAUAAAAGCCAAUCGACUUGAACAUUAUAUUUUUGGAAAUUGAGUUGUACCAGAUUAGUAUCUUCCUGAUCCAACUUCAACAUCAGAUGAAAUUUCAGAACAAAGAGCUGAGAAUCUAGCCUACAUCAACUGGCAUGCUCAAGAUCAGAUCCUUCUUGGAUGGCUGUUGUCUACAAUCAGUGAAGGUAUUUUAAGUUCUGUUUUAGGUUGUGAUACUUCGUUUGCUAUUUGGACCUCUAUUGAAAAACAACUUGGAGUGCAAUUCGAGGUUAGAGUGAUGCAACUUAGAUAUGAGAUGAAUAUUUUAAGAAAAGAUUCAAUGUCUAUUGAAGAAUAUUGUGGAAAAAUGAAAAUGCUUGCUGACAAACUUGCAUGUGCUGGUGACUCCAUAACUGGAAAGGACCUAUUAAUGAGAAUUCUGAAUGGCUUAGGAUUUGGUUAUUUGGAUUUAGCCUCUAUUAUCACUGCAAACAAAAUGGAUUAUGAUGAAGCAUAUGCCUUACUCCUUACACAUGAAGCUAGAUUAGAACAAACUCAGAAUGCUACAGAUGUGUUCAAUGCUAAUUAUAGCAUGAUGAAUGCAAAUUACUCUCAGUUUAAGGGUAAUAGUAAAAGAGGUUCAUAUGGAAGUGGAUAUCGUGGUGUUAAUAGUAAUUUUGGUGGUCGUAGAAGACCAAAUUUUGGUAGAGGCAUGUUCUUUCAAUAUUAUCCUAGAAGUUUUCCUUCAGGAAAUAGUAAUUUCAGUAGUUAUGGAAGAGGACAAUCAAUGCAUACUCACAUAUCAAUGCCUGCAAAUCUUUAUAUGCAUACUGGAAAUUCUAACGGCACACUACCUGUAUGUCAAAUUUAUCACAAGCAAGGGCAUACUGUUGAUGCUUGUUGGCAUAGGUAUGGUGAUGAUUUUGUACCUUCACCAAAACCUUUUGGUAGAGGUAGAGUUGCUAAGUCUACCUACUCGACUGCUUUUGAACCACAAUUUUCUACAUGUCCAUUUGAAGAAUCUUUUGAUAUGAACUGUCAACAACCAAUGUAUUACUCUCCAAACUCCAUCUCACCUUAUGCAUCAAAAGAUUUCACAACACUUGGAGCUGCAUAUGUUGCUAAUUUUGAAAGACAAGCUAAUGAUGGAUGGUAUCUCGAUAGUGGUGCCACUCAUCCCUUGACCAACAACAUGUUUAACAUGCAUGUCAGAGAUGAGCUCAAAGGGUCAGAUUAGCUCAUCAUUGGCAAUGGUCAAGGUUUGGCUAUUACUCAUAUUGGUGAUGCUUUCCUUUGUUAUAAACACUCACAUUCAAAUGCCAAAUCUAUUCAUACACAAAUAGCACUCAAAGAUAUCCUACUGGUUCCUUCAAUUACUAAAAACUUGCUAAGCAUGUCCAAACUCACCACUGAUAAUAACUUGACAGUUGAAUUUUCUGGUGAUGUUUGUUAUGUGAAUGAUACACUGAGGGGGGCAAGUUCUUCUGCAAGGUCUUACUGAGAAAGGAUUAUACAAGCUACUUUUAAAGCCAUCUGCACAAACACUUCCUUCUUCUUUUCUAUGUCAAACUAUUUCUAAUAGGCCUUUGUCAAUGUUAUUUGUUUGUCAUUCCAGUUUUAAUUGUCAAACCACUAUCUAGAGCAAAGUCUCAGAUAAUAAGAUCUGUCAUCAUACUGCUGUUGAUUCAUGCAAUUCAGCAAUGAAUAAAAUUCUUCUUUUGCAUAAACGAUUUGGCCAUCCCAAUUUUCAUACACUAAUGCAUUUGCUCAAACAAGUCAAGUCUAUUAAUAUUUCUCACAAGUCUAUUAAUAUUUCAAUGUCUAUUGAAAACAGCAAGCACUUGCAAUCAUUUGUAAAGAAUGUUAAAUGAGAAAAUCACAUAGAUUGCAUUUUCCUGGUAUUGAAACCAAAACAACCAAAAUUCUUGAACUAAUACAUACAGACCUCUAGGGCCCUUCACCUCAUCCUUCCAAAGAGGGUUAUUCAUACUAUAUUAGCUUUGCAGAUGACUUUAGUAAGUAUACUUGGAUUUUUCCUUUGAAACUAAAGUCAGCAGACUUAGAAGUAUUCAAACUCUUCAAACUGCAAGUUGAAAAACAAUUUGAUACCUCCAUUAAGAUAUUGCGAUCUGAUUGGGGAAAGGAAUAUAGACCAUUCACUAGCUUUUUGAAUCAAUAUGAAUUCCUAUUUAGACACCCUUGUCCUUACACACGUCAUCAAAAUGGGGUAGCUGAAAGAAAGCAUAGAUAUGUUGUUGAACUAGGACUUACCUUACUAGUUCAAGCUCACUUACCUUUAAAAUUUUGGUGGGAUGCCUUUCAUACAGUAGUGUAUCACAUUAAUAGAUUACCCUCUACCACUUUUCAUUUUGAUACACCCUAUGAGAAAUUGUUCAAUCAUAAACCAGAUUAUAACAUGCUUAGAUGUUUUGGUUGUUGUUGUUAUGCCCACUUAAGAGAUUAUAAUAGAUAUAAAUUUGACUAUCAUUCGAGUAAAUGCAUUUUUGUUGGAUAUAGUCCAUCUCACAAAGGGUAUAAGUGUCUUCAUCCUUCUGAAAAAGUAUACAUAGCUAGACAUGUUUUUGAUGAAAAUACAUUUCCUUACUCAAAUAUUUACGAGUCACAGAAAUCCAAUUUUUGCUCUCCUAUUUAUCUUACUCCUUAACAAGUCUAUCAUCUUACUACUCUAUCUGUAACUCAUUUUUCUCCUGAUGGCAGAUUGACUAAUCCUGAAUCUGUAAGUUCCAAUUGUAGUGGUUCUGACCACUUGGUUAACUCAGCUUCAACCCAGCAUACUAUACCAGAAGAACCUAUACAAUCUCACAUUUUACCUGUUCAACCUACAUCGUCUCCAUCCACUUCACCUAACAAUCAACCAAUACCUAUUUCAUCCAAUAUACAAACAUCAAUAAUCAUUCAACAACCUCAUCUCAACCAAACACACACCAAAUGAUUACCAGGAGUAAAGCUGGUAUCUUUAAACCCAAAGUAUACAUAGCAGUUCUUGAACACAAGGAACCAGAUACAGUUCAUGAGGCAUUACAUGAUCCAAAUUGGUUUGCAGCUAUGAAAAAUGAAUUUGAUGCUUUAACUCGUAACAAUACAUGGUCAUUGGUUCCAAGAACAAGUGAUCAAAAGAUAGUUGGCAAUAAAUGGGUAUAAAGAGUUAAACACAACACUGAUGGCAGUUUAGCUAAGUAUAAAGCUAGGUUAGUGGCAAAGGGUUUUCAGCAUAUUGCAAGGGUGAACUAUUUUGAGACUUUCAGUCCAGUGAUAAAACCAGCCACUGUCAGAGUUGUGCUAAGUCUUGCAGUGAUGAAUCAAUGAUCAAUUAGGCAAGUUCAUACAGAGUGUGCAUUGUGAAGUUAGUUAAGCUGGUAACUGUUGUUGACUUGGAUCUUCUGACGUGGCACUAAUGACAGCUGGUAACUUGACAUUCUUGUUACAAGGCUUAACACCAUGCUAAUUCUUCUUUUUCACUUCUGCAUAAUGAGCUAUCUUUACAACCCCCCUCAAACUCAAAGGACAUGGAAAGACAUUGAGUUUGUCCCUUAAGUAAUUGAACUGAGGAGAAGAUAAGGGUUUGGUUAGGAUAUCUGCAAUCUGAUCUUCACUUGGCACAUAAUAGAUUUUGAGGUCACCAGCUAACACUUUAUCUCGAAUAAAAUGAACAUCAAUCUCAAUGUGUUUAGUUCUUGAAUGGAACACAGGAUUCUUUGCUAGUUCUGUUGCACUCAUAUUAUCACACCAUAUUGUUGGUCUCUCUACACAACAUACUCCCAUUUCCAGAAACAAUGAUUUUAACCAAGCUAUUUCUAAAGCAGCUGAAGCAAGUGCCCUAUAUUCACUCUUAACUGAAGACUUAGUGACUACUGUUUGCUUCUUCAAAGACCAUGAAAUCAGAUUAUUUCCAAGAUACACACAGUAAGCUCCAAUUGAUUUCUUAUCAUCCAAGUCACUUCCCCAAUCUGCAUCAGUGAAUGAAGUAAUUUUCAGAUCACCAUCCUUAACAAACUUUAAGCCAUAAUCCUGUGUCUCCUUUAGAUAUUUAAGAGCCCUUUUGCAAGCCAUAAGAUGUUGCAUAGUUGGUGUAGAUACAUAUUGGCUCAGCUUAUGAACAGAAUAAGCAAUUUCUGGUCUUGUCCAGAUCAGGUACUGGAGACCACCUACAAUGCUUCUAUAAUGAGUAGCAUCUUCAACAUAGUAACCCAAUUCUCCUUUAACUAUCUUCUGCAACUUUGAGUCCUUGCCACUACACAUUGGUGUUAUCACUCCUUUACAAUCAAGCAUAUAUACUUUAGCAAGGAAAUCUCUUAUAUACUUCUUCUGAGAUAAAUAAAUGCAAUCCUGACCAUACAACACUUCUAUACCAAGGAAAUAAGACAAUCUUCCUAAGUCUUUCAAAGUAAAAACAGUAUUAAGUUAUUGAAUGAAGCUGUCCAAUUCUCCGCUGUUAAGUCCAGUAAGUAAUAUGUCAUUAACAUAUAUCAAUACCAUAAUGAGUGACAAUUUAGUUCUUCUUAAGAAUAAAAAAGAAUCAGAUUUGGAAUUUCUGAAACCCCAUUGCAAAAGACAUCCUCUGAGCUUUUCAAACCAAGCUCUAGGAGCUUGCUUAAGACCAUAUAAUGCUUUGUGUAAUCUGCAAACAUAGUUAGGUUUGCUUUUAUCAACAAAUCCUUCAGGUUGCUGCAUAAACACCUCUUCUGACAAUUCACCAUUUAAGAAUGCAUUGUUGAUAUCCACCUGUCUAACUAUCCACUGAUUCAUCACUGCAAGAUUAAGAACUACUCUAACUGUUGCUGGCUUUACCACUGGACUAAAAGUAUCAAAAUAAUUCACACCCUCAAUCUGUUGAAAACCCUUUUGCCACCAACCGAGCCUUAUAGUUAGCUACACUGCCAUCAGUAUUAUACUUUAUCUUAUACGCCCACUUAUUCCCAACAAUUUUUUGGUUUUCUGUUCUUGGUACUAAAGACCAAGUUCUAUUUUCAAUUAGUGCGUCAUACUCAUUUUUCAUAGCUGUAAACUAGUUUGUAUCUUGCAAAGCUUCAUCAACUGAAUCUGGCUCUUUGUGAACUAAUACUACAGUUUACAUUUUUGGCUUAAAAAUACAUGUUUUCCCCUUGUGAUCAUGGGGUGAUUGUUUUGUAAAGAUUGAAUACUGUUUGAGGUUAUUUGAGAUUGAGAUGGUAAUAGAAUUGGAGUAAAAUCUGAAGUGUUUGGUGAGUUUUUAUCAUGAGUAGGUUCAAGAGUAGGAUUAAGAUUUGGUGUUUGAAGUUGUAUAGCCUCAUUUGCUUGGAGGUGAUCUGCUGGUGGGAAUAGUUCUGUGCUGUUGGAACAUACUGGAGGACAGGAUUCAAAACUGCUAUCACAAGGAUUUGACACAACAUGAAGAGUGGACAAAUGAAAAACUUGAUGAGGAGACAAAGUAUAGCUAGAUAUUGGUUGUAUUUUGCUUUCAUAAUUGAAAUUAGGAUCUGAAGAGAAAGAGAAUGCAUUUUCAUCAAAUAUGACAUGCCUUGCUAUGUAUAUACGAUCAGAAUGAUGCAGGCAUUUAUAUCCUUUGUGAGUAGGGCUAUAACCAAUGAAUAUGCAUUUACUUGUGUGAUAAUCAAACUUAUGCUUAUUUUAAUCUCUCAAGUAUGGAUAGCAAGCAUAGCCAAAACAUUUCAGCAUCUUAUAAUCAGCUUUAUGUUUGAAAAGUUUUUCAUAUGGUGUCAACAUUUUAAGAGCUGAAGUUGGUAACCUAUUGAUAUGAUAAACUGAAGCAUGGAAAGAAUCCCACCAAAAAUUCAAAGGAAGCUUAGCUUGAGUUAACAAUGUAAGACCCAAUUCUACCACUUGUCUGUGCUUUCUCUCAACUAAGCCAUUCUGAUGAUGAGUAUGUGGACAAGAGUGCCUAAAUAAAAUGCCACACUGAUUUAAAAAUUCAGUGAAUGAUCUGUAUUCUCCCCCUCGGUCAGAUUGCAGUAUCUUAAUGGUUGUUUGGAACUGGUUUUCAACUUGCAACUUGUAUAGCUUAAAAACUUUUAAAGCUUCUUAUUUCAAUUUCAAUGGGUAAAUCCAAGUAUAUCUAGUGAAAUCAUCAACAAAGCUAAGAUAAUAUCUAAAGCAUUAUCUUGAAAUAACUGGUGAGGGACCUCAAAAAUCAGUGUGUAUAAGCUCAAGUGCUGAUUUGGUUUUGAUUUUUGUAAUUGGGAAGUGCAAUUUGUGUAUUUUACCCAAUUGACAUGCUUCACAGAAAUGUUGUGUUGCUUGUUUAACCAUAUUCAUAGAGAACUUCAUUAGCAUGAUGAAGUUUGAGUAAAUGCAAUAAGCUUUGAGAAUUUGGGUGGCCAAAUCUUCUGUGUAAAAGAGCUAUUUUAUUAGGCUUAUCAAAACAUACAUCAAUACCAUUCUGUAAACAAAUGUUUAGAUUAUUUAUGAACUCUACAGAUGGCAUAUGAGAAGCAAGAUGAUAGAAUGAUAACAUUGACAGAGGUUUAUUGGCUUGACUAUGAGACACAACAGAUGAUGACUCAAAAUUCUUGGUGGAAGACAUAGGUUUGACCAGCAGUUUAUACAAUCUUUUCUCAGCAAUGCCCUGUAUUAAAACUUGUCCCUUCAGCAAAUCCUUCACAACACAAAAUGAUCCAAGAAAUUCAACAGAAAUGUUAUUGUUAGUGGUAAGUUUGGAAAUGCUUAUUAGGUUCUUUGUGAUAGAGGGAACAAGCAAAAUAUCUUUAAGUGCAAUAUGUGAAUCUACAGGUUGAGUUUUGAACUCUUAAAUGAAAAAUAAGAACCACCAAUAUGAGUUAUUGAUAAACCUUUACCAUUACCAAUAAUGAGCUUAUCAUUACCUCUAAACUCAUCUCUGAUAUUCAGAUUUCCCAUGUUGUUGGUCAGAUGAUAAGUGGCACCACUAUCCAGGUACCGGACUUCAUCUGCAGGUCCUUCACAAUGUGCAGCAGAAGCAGCUCCAGCCUAGGGUAUACCAGAAUAGUCAGAUACACAAGAAUGUCCAGAAUGUGACAUUUGUAAUCCAGUACUAUUGAUAGGCCAUGGAUCAUCAUUUGUUGAAUAGUAAGGCAUGUAUGCAGGUUCAUAAUUAGCUAUGUAAGCAGACUUUGAACCUUUUUCUCUCUGAAAUUGUCUUGGUGGCUGAGGUAUGUAAUUUUCUUCAAAUUUGUGCCAACAUUCAACAGCUGUAUGUCCUGCUUUGAAGCAAAUCUGAAAUGUAUUCAUGGAAUCAUCACUGUUGGAUGCUUGUGAUUCAAAAGAAGGCAAAUUACCAGUACCAGAAAAACCAGUACUUCCAAAUGAACCUCUUCUAGAAGAACCAAAUCUAUUACUUCCCAUUAUCAUUUGAUUUCUUCCAUGAUUACCAAAAUGACCAGUUCCAGCAGGAAAACCUCUUGGAUGUGAGUUUAAAAAUAUUCAUCUACCAUUAAACAUGCCAUUUCUACCACCUGAAUGACCAUUAUAAUUGCCCUGGACACCUCCUGUAUAUCCUCCUCUCUUAGCUUGACCUCUUAUUUGAGUAUAGUAUGCAUUCAUCAUACUAUUAUUAUUCCAGUUAGACAUAUUAGCAUAGUUUGCAUUAAACAUGUGCUUUUCACUUUGACUUUGUUCAAGUCUGGCUUCAUGAGUGAGUAAUAAAGCAUAAGCAUCAUCAUAAUCCAAUUUGCUUGUUGUGAUAAAAGUAGCUAAAUCCAAAUAGCCAGCUCCUAAACCAUUGAGAAUUUGUUUCAACAUAUCUCUAUCUAAUACAGGACUACCAGCACACGCCAAUUUGUCUGUAACUUGUUUCAUUUUUAAGCAAUAUUCUUCAAUACUUAGUAAUUUUUUUCUUAAGACAUCAUCUCAUACUUAAGUUGAAGAACUCUACCCCCAGAUUGUACACCAAACCUUUUCUCUAGUGCUUUCCAUACAUCAAAUGAAGUAUUACAUGAGUGAACUAGACUGAGAAUACCUUCGGUUAUUGAGCUAAGAAGCCAGCUGAGUAAUGUUUGAUCUUGAGAUCUCCAAACUGUGCAUUCAGGAUUCUCGAUCUGUUUAAUGCUAUAAAUUGAUUUGGUGCAAUCUUUUCUCCAUUAAUGUAUCCUUCAAGUCGAUUUCCUCUAAUGGAGGCCAGCACUUGAUUUUUCCAAACCAUGUACUUAGAUCUAUCUAAUUUGAUUGGUGUGAUGAAAGAAAAAGUUGUUUGAUUUGUAGCUACUGUAUUUUGAUUGCUUGAGGUUGCCAUGAAUGGCUCUGAUACCAUGAAGAAAUUGUAAAAGUUGAUAAGUGCUGUUGUUUGGCAGCUGAGAAAAACAGAGGAAAAUUUCUUAUUUCAUUAAUGAACUGAUAUUUUGUACACAUUAACAAUCUCGAAUAUGUAGCUAUUUAUACAUGCUUUACAUACUCUAAUUAAUUGUUCACUAACUAAUUAUUAAACACAAGCUCACUCAGCUAACAAUAACAAAAUACAGAGUGUGCAUUGUGAAGUUAGUUAAGCUGGAAACUGCUGCUGACUUGGAUCUUCUGACGUGGCACUAAUGACAGCUGGUAACUUGACAUUCUUGUUACAAGGCUUAACACCAUGCUGAUUCUUCUUCUUCACUUCUGCAUAAUGAGCUAUCUUCACAAUAGCAUUUGUGAAAAUGUGGAGAUCCGCACUCAAGAAUGAUUAAAUCUAACUGAGCAUGUAUUUAUGUAACUCAAUUAAUUUCAUGCUAAUUAAUUAUGUGGUCAGGUGGUGGAAGAAAACAGGACUUCGGGAGAGGUUGAAUUUUGUAAGAGACAGAAUAAUGGAGAAUUUCUUCUGGACUGUGAGGGUGAUAUUCGAACCAGAUUUUGGAUAUAGUAGACGGAUGUCUACAAUGGUCAAUGCCUUAAUAACAACAAUAGAUGAUGUUUAUGAUGUCUAUGGGACUUUGGACGAACUUGAACUUUUCACGGAUGCAGUUGAGAGGUUACUUUUAUUUAAUGUCAUUUCUAUCCGUAUGAUUGUGUAUGGAAAAUGAUUUACUGAGGAUUAGUACUCAUCGUAUGAUAAACACUUGGACACAUGAUAUAAUUUUGUGAUUCCUAAUGAAUAUUGUUAAAAUUAUGAAGUAAUUAUAUAAAUUAUGUGAUAGUAUUGCCCAGCAUAAAGCGAGCACAUUAUUCACUAGAUCAUUACUCAGGAAUUUAUAAAUUUAUACACCUCUUUUAUUUUAAUUUAGUUGUAUUACAUUGUUAGGUGGGACGCUACUACAAUAGAGUAACUUCCAGACUAUACGAAGUUGUGCUUUCUUGCUCUCCAUAAUUCCAUAAAUGAAAUGGCUUUUGAUGCUCUUCAGGAUCAAGGAGUUGGCAUGGUCAUUUCUUAUCUUAAGAAAGCGGUACUAGUAGAUUAAACCUUUCAUUUUGAUUAAGGAAUAUUAUUCUCCAAUUACCUUAAGAAUAUCAAAAAGUUUAAAUAACUGCUAUGAUAACUAGUAUUAUCUCUACAUCAUUUCAAGUUUUAAUUUUAUGUAAACCGAUCACUUUUCUCUUAACUCCGUUAGUCACUAUUAAAAUAAUAUAAGAUAAAAGAUUAUUUUGCACCACCAAUUUACCAUGUGUUUUUCAUUUUAGGGUAAAUUGGUCUUUUACCUUAAAUUAUUUAAUGAUAGCUAAUAGAGUUAAUAAAAAAAUAUCUGGUUGAUAUAAAACUAAAAUUUGAGUUAGUGCCAAGAUAUUAUUCGAAAUUUAUGGUGACUAAUUAUAUUUAUAAUAUUCUUGAGGUGCUUGGAAAUUAUUUCCCUUUAAUUAAUUUAAUUUAUGCUUUUGUAUUUCAUAUUAUAUUAAUCAAUUCGAUAUACAAAAAUAAAACUUUCAGUGGGCAAAUCUAUGCAAAACAUAUUUAGUGGAGGCCAAGUGGUACGACAACGGCUACAUACCAACACUCCAAGAGUACAUGGAAAAUGCUUGGAUUUCGGUAGCAACACCUGUAAUUCUAGUCCAUGCAUACACUUCUACAGCAAAUCCAAUAACAACGGAGGGCUUGGAAUUCGUGAAAGAUUAUCCCAACAUAAUUCGUUGGUCAUCAAUAAUUCUACGACUUGCAGACGAUUUGGGAAAAUCAUCAGUACAAUUAAUUCAUUUUUAAUAUUAAAUUUGUUAUGGAAGAUAUCUCAUAUCCACUGACAACAUAAUAUAUUCUUAUUAUUAGUUGAGGAAUUAUUCUCAGCAGUAUAGGAUAUUCUCCAUAACAAAUUGUAGUACUCACAAUCUGAUUAUUAGAUAAUUAGUUAAUUGUUAAUGUUGUUGACAAUAAGUUUGAUUGAAUUAAUUAUUAGGAUGAACUGAAGAGGGGAGAUGUUCAUAAAUCAAUUCAAUGUUACAUGCAUGAAGUUGGAGUCUCAGAGAGAGAGGCUCGUCAAUAUAUACAUGAUUUGAUUGCUCAGACAUGGAUGAAGAUGAACUGUGAUCGAUUUGGAAACCCACAUUUCGUGUCCGACGUUUUUGUUGGGAUUGCAAUGAAUUUGGCGAGGAUGUCUCAAUGCAUGUACCAAUUUGGAGAAGGUCACGGACACGGUGUUCAAGAAAUUACUAAAGCUCGUGUUUUAUCUUUAAUUGUUGAUCCCAUUGCUUAAUUAAUUAUAUAUAACUAAGCCUUGAAUAAAAGAAAAACAUGUUGAUGCUCCGGCUAAUAAUAAUUCAAUAAAAUGAUAUAUAUGGUUACAUAGUGAGAUCCUUUUGUUUGCAAAUUUUUUAUUUUUAUAAAUAAAUCUUGUUUCAAUUUCCUAUCUUAUUGUCAUCUUUGUAGUACUUUGUAGGAAAUCGUUUCAACAUUUUUCAUUUAGAUAUUUGGAUUAAAAAAGUGACAAAGCACUAAUAAAAUGAACUAUAUAACAUCAUCAAUUAACGUACACUAUAACACUACAAGGCAUUAUUUAUUAACAUUUUAUCAGCCUUUAGUCCCUUUAGCAAUUUUCAUUUAAAAAUUAUAUAUCACAGGGCACACUGUCUGCAUACCGAGUUUUUGUCAUUUGAUAGAAAUAUCUAAAUAUAAUUUUUUUAGGACCAAUAAGCUCUUAAAAUUUCAGAGGCAACUUAUGUUGGCGACUGUAGCUGGUGGCACCUUUAGUUGUUUCUCUUCGAGCUCGUUGAACAUGGCGUUGAAAGCUUUCUUCUUUAGGCAGUUUGUCACCCAAUAGUCCACAUUACAAAGGUAGUAGUUAUGUUUACGCUUGACUUUCUCCUUACCGUCCUUCAAACCAUCCUUCUUUUGUGACAAUUUUUCUUAGCCAUCAUAAUGUGGUAGCUUAUCUCCUUUUAAUUUGCACCUCCACAUUUCCUAUGUUGGGGCUUAUCAUCCUUCUUUGGCUUAGAUGAUUCAUCAUUUCGAAAUUCUAUAAGUAUAUCUACCUCAGUGAGGGCAGUGGAGGUGUCAUUCACUUGGUACCAUUGAAGCUCCCGUUGUGCCCAUGGUUAGAGUCCUUCCAUAAAGAUGAACAACAAGUCAUUUGGGUUCAUGUUCUCGAGAUGGACCCUGUAUGCUUCAGUUCUCUCAUCUUUUUGUUAGCCUCUUACGCUACACUCCCUGGAUAAAAUUGCUUCUUUGGCUCGCGCUUGAACAAGUCCCAUGUGUUGAUAAUACACAUCCUGCGUAUAAUCUUUGCAUGCUUCUAUUGCCACCAAGUAGUUGCGUGAUCUUCAAGAUACCCCAUCGUAAUAUUUACCUCUUCUUGCUUGCCUUGAACAUUGGUGGUUUCGAAGUACCUCUCCAUGGACCACAGAAAAUUGUCAAUCUCUUCGGGCAUUUCGUUUGCCCUUGUACCUCUUUGGUCUCAGGAACCUCAAUCUUUAUUAAAGGUACGGCAUUAGUGGUGAGCACUUCGCUGGCCACCACCUUCUUUCAAAGUGCCCUAUUGCUCUUGGUCUCCUUAUGACCCGUGUAAAGCUCCUCCACUUGAGCUCUUAGCCCCUCGAUUUAGUUCAUCACUACAGCUUGGAACUUCUUGAGACUUUAGUGUUGCACCAUUAUGUCUUGGCUUAAGUCAACCAUUUGUCCCUCAAGAUUAUCAACCUCUUUCAUAUUUUGCAUGAAGAACUCGAGGCGCUCCUUUAUCUCAAAGACAACAAUCUCCCUACGAACAACCCAAUUCUCAAUGGCGUUCAGCCUAUCCACGGACUUCUCCUUGUGGUUCUUUCUCUUUUUCAAGUUGGGAUUUUGGUCCCUACCCCUUUGGUCAUCAUAAGUGAGAUCCGACAUUCUUCCUUUUAAAUGACGCAAUUACCCCAAGAGUGAUUAUGGCUUUGAUACCAACUAUCACGACCCUCUCGAUCCCUCACUGAAUCGCAGGGCCUUAGGUGCUAAAUCUCAAUCUCUUGGUCCUAAGUCAACCUUGCUCACUCACAACGUUACUUGAUUCAAAAGUGGGAAAGAGUAUUCACUCAAACUUGCUCAAGAUGGGAGGAAAGAACUCUAUUACUCAAGGAAAGCUUAUAGUGCUUUUAAGAUAUGUCAGUGCUGGAUUUCUUGUGUGUGUUGAGCCAAAUGAGGCCCCUCCUAUUUAUAGGGUACAAGGAAAUGUCUAGAUGAUGCUUUAAAACUAUCUACCUAUCUCAAUAAUUACAUGGAACUAUCUACAAGCUACCACAUGCGUUACAUGAGUGUAGAAAGCCUCCAUGGUUUUAGAACCUUCAUAGGUGGUUGCACUUUUGAGUCUCUCCCAUGAUGAUUUCUUGCUCUAGCUUGCUGGCCAAAAAAGGCCUCGUUAUGGUUCACAUUUUCUUUCUCCUUUAGACUUACUAUCACUUACUAUCACUAUCAAGGGCGUGUGACAUCUGAAAUACUUGAUCUUCAUCUAACAUAGGCUUGCCGAUUGCCGCAAGUUUGUCACAAAGCCCUUUCAAUUUCUUAAGGAAUUCUUUAAGCUCUAAGGAACCCUUCUUUAAAGAGUAAAAGUUAUUCUUCAACCAAAAUUAUUGUUCUUUAGUUGCAGAAGCAUGUGCUCUUCCACAAAUAACCAAAUAUCUCUAGUGGAAAGGCAUCCAACUAUAAUGGUCAUUAUAUCUUCGUUCAUCAUUCCCCGAAGCCAAGGCAUGAGUAAUCCAUCAUUAUUUUGCCAAAUAGUAAAUUCAGGGUUGUUGACCUUUUUUCCAUCUAGAAAUAUUUCUUGGUGGAACUGUUUCAUCAUUGAUAUGAUGCUCUAGAUCAAGGCUUCUUUUGAGUGGCAGUGGCAGGACUUGCGACUUCAAAGAAGGUAUUAUUGUUGUUGAGUUUGAUGGAAAUUAGGCUUGCACAUUGGUGGAAUGACUGGAUCGAGAGUUUGGGCUUAGUUUGUAUUUUUAUAGCCAUAGGCUCUGAUACCAUAAAGAAAUAUAGGAUUGAUUGAAAACAAUUUGUUUUCUUGUUUUUGUAUUUGCUCGAUCAUUACAUUAUAUACACAAAUUAUCAAAAUCAAGCUUGCACAAAUGAAAGGUUCUCAAAAUUGUAUCAAUUACACUAACUUCCGAGAAUCAUGACGUUGAGCGCUUUAUAUCAAAAUUGGCUUGUGGCCGUUGGACUCCUUCAAUCAUGGACACUGAUUUCUCUUGUGUCCGUUAGAAGUGUAUACCAGCGUCGUUCUUUCCUUAAUCUGUCCUCAGUAAACCCUUUAGCUAAGGCAACAAUACUGCCAUAUUUGUCACAACUGGUGACCUUGGUUCUUGUUGAUUUGUCUGAUGCUUUUGUUGCUUAUCAACUACCAUAGCGUAGUUUUUAUUUUCUCACUACAACCACCAAAAUAAUUUUAAAACCCUAGACCUUUUAUCUUCAAUAUUUCACUUAAGCCAUAACUAAAAGCUAGUUAGCAGAAGAAUAUCCAAGAUUUUCAUUGCAUGAAAAAUAUUACAGAUUGGAUCAGAAAAAAUAGAAACCAUGAGAUCUCUACGCUUGUGAUCGACAAAAGAAAUCUGGGAUGUAAAUUGUUAAGAUGAAAAUAAUAUUAGUUUAUUUAUAAAUUAUUAAUGAGUGUAGUCCGUAGGUGUCUAGAGUAGAAAUUAUCAUAAAAUUAUUUUUAAUAGUAAAUUAACAUGUGGGUAAUUUAGGAAUGAGUGAGGUUAUUUGCACUCUGCAAUGUACUUCAAAUAUUCAUUUUGUUUAAAAACAUUAUUUACUAAACUAGAAAAUUAAAUGUUUACUUAAUCCAUUUAUCAAAAUUCCAAAAUUAAACUCAAAUUCAUGAUUCAUCUCUUUUUUUUUUUCUUUUCCUCACGACAAUUAGCCAGUCACUUAUUAUUAUAUUGGGAUAUCAAAAGCUCUUUCUCGUUUGAGAGUUUCCAUAAUAUGGGAGCUCUCACUCGUGAUCAACUUUAAUUAUUUUUUUCAAAAUAACAUGUUAAUUCUCUCAUAUUCUUACAAAACUCCUUACAGACAAUAAAAACCUCCAACAGCACCACUCUGUUGGCCUUUUAAAUUAAGUGGUUGUAGGUGUAUUUUGUAUAAUGAAAGCAACUAUUAAUCAUUCAAAACUUAAUCGGCAGCUCAGUUUGUUUUUGGGCCUUUGAUUUGCUUUGGCCAACUCUACUAGUUCAAGGAAAAGCCCUUUUAUUACUCAAUUCUCUAGUCAAGUCUUCUCUAUAACAUGCUUAUAUGUAAAACAAAAAAUUAAUUCUGCCAAGUUGAUUUUUCAUUUAUCCCAUUAGAUAAACAACCAUUUUCAAAGUCUCAAUGAAUAUGACUGAAUGGUUCAGUAUGGCCAAUAAUAGACAAAACGCAAAAAAGAUAUGAGGAACGAGUGAGGAGUGAUAUUUGAUUUGUAUAGAUUAGUUCGUCCUUAAGACCUAGCACAGAUCAGUGGGUUUGAGCUCCGCUCAAGAAAGUAAAUUCCAAAAAUUAAAGAGAAAAUUAGGUAAAUUUCUAAUUAGAACCCAUUAGAUCUGCAAACAUACUCCUUGUUGGAUUUAUAAAAAUAGUCCCCAUAAACACAAAAAACCCUUAAAAAUUAAUUUUUAACUACAUAAAGAGAGGAAGAUAUUUGGUUUGUAUAGAUUAGAUCAUUCUAAAGAUCUAGCACAUGAUCAGUGGGGUUUGAGUUUCGCUUCAGAAAAUAAAUUCUAAAAAUUAAAGAGAAAAUUACUUGAGUUUCUAAUUAGACCCCUUCAAAUCUAUAAAAAUAUUCCCUGUUGGAUUUAUAAAAACAGCCUCCCAUAAACUCAUAAAUUCAUAAAAAUUAAAUUUUAACUAUAAGAAUUAUAAAAGUCCACUCUUUAAUUAAAAGCCCACAAUAACUCAUAUGGGUGGUCUUACUAUUAUUUAAUUAAUCCCUUUAUUAAAUCUAUUAGAAAAAAAUGAACCUCCAUAAACCUGAAAACCCCAAAAAUUUUAGUUUUUACAUCUUAUUCUUAUGUAUUCUAGCCCCCGGUAAAUUGUUUUUCUAGAUCCAUCACUCACAUAGAACCCCUUUUUACUAUUAUAUUCUUUGAUCAUUAUCUAAGUAUAUACUUACUGUAAACUGACAUAGAUACAUACAUACAUAACAUAAAAAUAAUAUAUAAAUAUCAUAUUAAAAGUAAAAUAUUACAAUAAGUAUAGUUAAAAAAAUUUACAUAUAUCUACUAAAAAGUAUUUUUAUAAUUAAUAAAAUAACAUAAAUAUUGAAAACUAAAUUUUAAUAUUAAGCGGUUAUCAGAUUAUCGUGAUUGAAUUUAUUAAUACUAAAAUACAUUAAUCUAAAAAUUGAAUAUAAGAUAUAUACUAAUAUAGACAUAGCUAAAAAGUUAUUGUAAAUAAAAUAAUGCAAAAACUGACUUUCAGAUUUAUAAUUUCACAAUAGCGAUAAUAAUAAUUUGAAUAUGGUUAAAUAAAGAGAAAAAAACAACAACAAAAAAGAAUAAAAUAAUAUUAAAAUGAUAAAAUUAAUUAGUUGUUUGUUUUGGUUACCAUUGAUGAUAACGCAACAAGAUAUUAAAGCCAGUAGUUAAUAAAAGUAAACAUAAUAUGAUUUAUAUAAUGCUUAUUCAUGGAGGCAUUAUAAAGGCCACUAUAACGCAUUUCUCAAUAUUCAUUCAUAUAUAUAGGGCCUCAUGUAUUUCUUAUGCAUCACCUCCUUUUAAUUUUAAUUAAGUUGUUUACAAUUAAGUUUAGAAAUUAUAACAUGUCGAAGAGUCUCAAUUUCAUUAUCUUGGCUUUGCUUUUGGUUGCAAGCACUGAAAACUCACAUGUUUCAAGCACUAGUAUCGGCCAAGAAUCUAAUUCUGCAAUAUCACCUGAUAGCGACAAGUGCUUUGGACUUACACCAGAAGAAUGUUACAAUAAGUAUCACCAUGAUAGUCAAGACUACACCAUCAUCUAUAACCCAUGAUUUUGUUAAAUGCUAUAUUUUAAUAAAAGAAGGAAUUAAUCCAUUAUGAGCAUGUGAUAUAUUGUGUUUGUUACAUGGUAUUGAUUUGUUGUAUGUAAUUUAUCUAUAUCUGUUAACUUUUCUUACCAUUUGACCCCUAUAAUUUUUCUUCCCAACCCCUUGAACAAAUAUUUACAGAGGAGUAGCUCAACAUGUUUGAAGAUUUUAAUUUCAAGGAGGUAUGUGUGAUCCAUUUGAUCUCUAGUUUACAACACAAAAAGUAUUAAUUUUUCAUAGCCUUGCAACACAGAAAGUACAAUUGUUUAAUUAUAAUCUUUCGGAUGCUACUUUCAUGCCCUUUUUUUUUUCUUUCCAACUAGCAAGCAAGAGCCUGCUCAAAGCAAUGUGAUGUAAGUGAUAACCAUUUUUGCUUAAUUGAUUUAUUUGUUUGAUUUAUAAUGUUUAUUUCUUGUGAUUUAUUUCUUGUGAUCUUUUGAAUGGUGAAAUCUUUUGAUGCGAGUUGUUGGCUCAUCUAGUUUUGUUGUCGAUCAUUAUUUGUUUAUUGGCAAAAUUGAUUACCUAACCAAAUAAUUAAAUUUUAAUAAAAAGAAGUAUUUGGAGAAAUUAUUUUAGUGUGUUUUCUCAUGAGUGUGAGAGUAAAUAAAGAUAAUUAAUCUAAAAAGCGAGAAAUUUUUUGACAUUUUAAAAAGUGUACAAUGUAUAAUUAAUUUUAAAAUUAAUAAAUGAGUGUGCAAAAUAAUGGAAUGUACAAGAUAAUUUAAAUGUGCAAGCAUUCCCACCCUUGUAUACUAUAUCUAUCUGCUACUAGGGUGUAAUUAUUUGUACUUUAAAAACACUUUUAACACCAAUAUUUUACCCUUCCUAAUUUCUAAACUUCUGUCAAUACUUCUACUCUAAUAUUUUAGAGGGGGUGUCAUUUGUCUAUAUAUGUAAUUUGUGGUUUUCUAUUGACUCUAUUCCAGUAUUGUGGUUUUUAUUAGUUAUUUUAUUUUAUUACUAUUUUUAUUUUAUUUUCUAUGUCACUUUUUUGUGAUGUCACUUUUUGCCCGCUAUGCAUAGAGUUUAAUUUAAAUCCAAAAAUUUGGAAUAAUGCUUUCACAAUAAUGAUAAUAAUUUCAAUAGAUUAAAUAAAGAGAAAAAAUCUGACAUAUAAAUUAAAUAAAGAUAAUAACACUAAAAAUGACAAAAUUAAUUAGUUGUGCAAGUUAAUAAUUAAUAAAAAUAAAAGCAUCUUUAAUGCUCAUUCAUGGAAUCAUCAAUAUUUGAGCUGAUACUGAUGGGAAAUAAGCCUAAGUCUUUAAGGAGACAAUGUGGUGGAGCAGGAUUUAAUGCUUGAAUUUGAUGCAGAUGGAAGUAUUGACACUGUUAAUUUUCGCCUUCCUGCUUUCUCUUCCUUCUAUAUAUAUAUAUAUAUAUAUAUAUAUAUAUAUAUAUAUAUAUAUUCUUUAGCAGAAAUGGAGAGAAGAAGAGGAUCGGAUUUUCUAUUCACAAGAUUUUUUUAAAAUUUGGUUAAUCUACGGUUUUCUUUUGGUUACGUUUGAGUACCAUGCUCUUUAAUUAUUUUAUUAUUUUCAUUUCAUUUUAUGUGUCACUAUUUUUGAUGUUAUAUUUUUCGCUUGCACGCUAUGUCUAGAGAUUAACGAGUUCGUUUAAAUUUGAAUAGUAUUUCACAAAAUACCAAUAUUUAUAACAAGCAUUAAAUAAAGAGAAAAAAAACCAAGUGAUAAAUUCAACAAAAAGUAAUACUAAAAAAAAUGAUAAAAUUGAUUAGAUGUAUGUUUCAAUUACCAUGAAUGAGAACACAACAAGAUAUUAAAGUCAAUAGUUAAUGCAAAUAAAUGCAUUACGACUUAUUCAAUACUCAUAAAUAGAAUCAACAACCUCAUAAAAUCCAUUAUACCUCAUUUCUCAAUAUUCAUUUAUAUAUGCAGAGCCUCAUGUGUUUGUUAUUCUUUACCUCUCUUUUAAUUCUCAAUAGGUUGUUUAUGUUUCAAUUUAGAAAAUAUAAAAUGUCAAAAAGUCUUGGUUUCAUCAUCCUAACUUAUUCAAUACUCAUAAAUAGAAUCAACAACUUCAUAAAGUCCAUUAUACCUCAUUUCUCGAUAUUCAUUUAUAUAUGGAGAGCCUCAUUUGUGAGUUAUUCUUUACCUCCCUUUUAAUUCUCAAUAGGUUGUUUAUGUUUGAGUUUAGAAAAUAUAAAAUGUCAAAAAGUCUUGGUUUCAUCAUCCUGACUUAUUCAAUACUCAUAAAUAGAAUCAACAACCUCAUAAAGGUCAUUAUACCUCAUUUCUCAAUAUUCAUUUAUAUAUGCAGAGCCUCAUGUGUUUGUUAUUCUUUACCUCUCUUUUAAUUCUCAAUAGGUUGUUUGUGUUUCAGUUUAGAAAAUAUAAAAUGUCAAAGAGUCUUGGUUUCAUCAUCCUGACUUCCUUGUAGUAGCAAGCACUUAAUACAUACUUAUUUCAAGCAUCAAUGUACUGAUCAAGAAUGUAAACUGUAUGUUUCAUUGUGUACCAAUUUUGCAACAUCACCAAAUAGUGGCGGCUGCUUGGAACUUACAAUUAAAGAAUCUAUCCUAACUCCCUUGAGAAUUAUUACGCCUUAUACCCCUAGAGCUUGUUAUUGGAUGCCAAUGAUUUUUUUAAAUAGUUAUUUGUCUUUUGCCAUAUGAAUAAUUUUGUUAUAACCAUCAAUUGUUGAGAAAUUGAUCCUAUAUUUUAAUAUAAUAAAGAAUUAAUUUAUUAUAAGCAUAUGAUAUGUUGUGUGUGUUAUAUUGUAGUACUAAUUUAUUGUAUAUCUUUGAAUCAAUUUAUGAGAGAGCAUUCAGUUAAAUAUUAAUAAUAAUCAAACGAUUAUAAUUACUUUAUUAGGACCAUUUGUCCUAUAUAGGAUUUGAGUCCAAUGCUUAGCCAAGCUUUUUGAUAGUUUUUGUUCUAUUUCAGUCUCUAUACAUGCUAAUUAAUGAUUUGCUUCUCUUGGCCUUUCUCAUUUUGGUUGGAGCUGGCAAUGUUCUUACUCAAACUCCAAGCCCUCGCUGAUUUCACCUCUAAAAAAGUUUGCUAUUCUCAGUAUGAACGGUUGCAAAAGCUUGAAAAGUCUUUAAGAUAGAAUUUAUUUGGAAUUUCUUAAUAUCUAGGAUGAUUAAAAAAAACAAUUUCAUAGUUUCCAUACGUUCAUGAAAUAAAAAAAAAACCACAAAAUUGAAAGAAAAAGGGGAAUAAAACCAAGCAAACGAUAUUAUUUUCAUUAGGCUAUUAAGAGAAACUAAAUCUUAACCAUUAAAAUUCAUAAAAAGCACAUGUCACAGUAUUUUACAAAAGCUAAUAAAAAUUUAGCUAAACACCAAAUCUAAAUCCUUUUUAUUUUAUGUCUAUCUCCAAUUAGGGUUAUUUAAAAUAUAAACAGUACUUUAACAUGCAUAUUUUACUCUUUUUUAUAUUUUUAAUCUGUCUUUUAAUACAUUUUUAUUUUCUAUUUUAAUAUUUAAGAGGUGGGACUAAUUUUUCUACAUGUGAUUUGAUUUAAGGACACUUAUGUAAUAAAAUAUUUUAUAAAAUGAAAGGUGUUCUUAUCAAAUUUUAAUGUCCAUGAAUCCAAAUCCUUUGAUGACAUUACAAAAUAAAUAAACAAGUAGAAAAAUGGAUUAAGGUCACACCAACAUACAAUUACAAAUAUAAAAAAAAAAUCAUAUUUCAAUACAAUUUAGCUUUUACUAGUUAUUUUGUUUUAUUAUUAUUUCAUUUUCUAUGUCACUUUUUUUUUAUGUCAUAUUUUUCACUUGCACGCUAUGCCUAGAUAUUAAUGAAAUCAUUUAAAUACGAAUAACAGGAUUAAAACUUUACAAAAUAAUAAUAUUUAUAAUAAUAAGUGCAUUUUGCUGAAGAAAACAAAUUAUCAGCAAAACAAACGAACAUGGAGUUAGAGGAAUCAGAAUGACUGCAAAAGUAAUUGAAAAAAAAAAGGCAACUUUGAAAGAAAAAACUAUUUCGGCCACAAGAAUAUCAGAAACAGUGUGUAAGCUCGCAAAAAACCUUCUCCACCCAAAAAAAAAAAAUAAUCUAGGUUGAUGUAAAAGUAUGUUGAGAUGAGGAUGGCUGGGACCCAAACAGAGGUGUAAAGGGGCAAAUUAUUGAGAAUGUCAGAAGUUACUUGUGUAUAUACAGGUAAAUUGACCACAUCGGACAUUUUUUUAUGGAAAAACAGAUCACUAGAUCAACUGAAUACCAAACUCACCUGCUCAGCUGUAAUGCCAUUCUCAAAAGCAUUAUACAAACUUUCUUUCAUUGUUGCUCCGACUGUAAGGUUUGGAAGUUGAUACUCUAUCCUGCACAUUGGCAAAAUAUUCAACAAAAGGUUUUAGGACUGACCAAUGUAGUUCAAUAGCAAAAUGUAAUUCAGAACUUUAACCUAGAAGAGAAACAAUUUAUCAAGUAGAUGGCUAGCUUACUUUGAGAAAAGACGCAAAAUUUCACAGUGUAGCUUAGAUGUUGAAUAAGCAUACAUCCUUAAGUUUGUUUCCACUACAACAAACCCCUAAAGAGAAGAAAAUGUAGAAUGAGCUAUGUAAUUAGAGAAUGUAAAAAUGAGACCUCAUUUUGGUUUUUGACAAUAAUAAUUUAACAAGAUUGACCUAAACUAAUAGAAAAUUAAUGCAGUUUGCAAAGCAAAAUUAUAAUUUUAAAAAAAUUUAAUCACACAAUUUUCUGCAAUUGUAGGUAUAAACCAACUUUCUUUCCUGCCCUGAAUAGCUAUGGAAAACAUCUGAGAACUCCAGAAAAUAAUACAAAAUUAACAAAGAUAACCAGCAUUUUCUGUAGCAUAGACUAGUACAACCUGCUGAAGUUUGACCAAUCCCAAGUCUGCAAAGUCUUUGAUCACACUUCUUUGUAUUUCACUCAGUGUAUUUAAAUUAUAUGCCUAUAACAUGAAGAAGCAAAGAGUAUAGCAAUAAAGUGAGAUCUCAAACCACUUUGAGAAUUCCUUGACAUAAAAAUUUUAAGGACCUCAAGAUGCUGAGAAGUUAAAAGCAGGAUAGACAUAACCUUACAAAAAUGAAUAAGUUGCUCAUCUGGGAAUGAUUCAUGGAAUCGUAAUCGUUCUCGAAUUGCAUCAAAAUUGAGGCGAGAAAGAUGAUCUGCCACCACAUCUUUUAUGUCUUUCUUAUCUUUGAACUCAAGGUCAAAUUCCUACAAAAAUAACACCCAACGAAUUAGUUUGACCUUUACAUCUUUCUUUAUAAAAAGAUAUUUAAGAGUAGUAUAAUCUGUGAGCACAAUUAUUUUAUAUCCUAUAAGAAACUUUUCUAAUGAAAACAUUACUAUUACUAUUUCUUUUUUAGUAGUUGAGUAAUUCAAUUGUGUAUAAUUCAAUGUCAUACUAGCGUAGUCAAUGAGAUGAGGGAUAUGAUUAACUUUUUGUUCUAAUACAACUACUAUUAUUUGUACAAGAAUGUUAAUACUACUAAUCAGGCAUAGUCUCUUGAGGGUAUGUUGUUCCUCAAGCCUUAUUCACAACUAAUCAAUGUGGAGCACGAGAUGUCAGUAUGGAAAAUUCUAAAAGAGAUAUUGUAAAAAUAAGGGUAAUGUUAUAAAAUUAUGUUGCAGGGGAUUAUUGACUAUUAUGAAAAUAAUAGGUGUCAUAACCCAAUCCAGACUUGGCAAGAUAUUGUCCACUUUGGGCCUUAAUAAGGCUCGCACGGUUUUGUUCCUAGGGCGCUCAUACACCCCAAAACGUGCUUGCCAGUUAAAGUGUAGAUUACCCCUUAUAAAUCCAGCAUCUCUCUCGUGCUUUGUCGAUGUGCGAUUUGCCGGGGGUAUUACAUUCACCCCCAUUGGGGACUCAGCAUCCUCGCUGAGGCUUGCCCCACCAUUGCUCAAGAGGACACGCGGAACUGCUCUAAUACCAUAAUAUCAUGACCCAACCUAGAUCUGACAAGAUAUUAUCCGCUUUGGGUCUUAAUAAGGCCCGUACGGUUUUGUUCCUAGGACGCCCAUACACCCCAAAACGCGUCUUGCCAAUUAAGGUGUGGAUCACCCCUUAUAAGUCCAGUAUGUCUCUCGUGCUUUGUCAAUGUGGGAUUUGCCUAGGGUGUUACAAUAGGUGCAAGUGGUAUACAUUGAUUUCAUUAGUGAAAAAUUGGCAACCUCCCGAUUUAGAAUUAGGGAUGGCAAUGGGGUGUGGUAGGGGUAGGGAGGCCUAUCCCAUUCCCCACCCCAUUAAAAUUUUUUGCCUCCAUUCCCCACCCCAUUCCCCAAUAAAUUUAGUGGGGUGGGGAUGGAGAAUCCCCAUGUGGGGAAUAAUUUCCCCAUCACCACUCUAUUCCCAUUUACUUAUUUUAUAUUAGGUAUAAAUACAUUAAUGCAAGAUCGUUAAUGGGGUAAUAGUUCUCUGGGGAUUUUGAUGCAUUCAAAGACCAAAGCUCCAUAGGCAAAGAAAAAGUCCUAUAGGCAAGAUCGUUAGUCCAAUACCCUUCAAGAAAAAUCAAAAGUCCUAAUUUUGUCAAUUAAAAUCUUGAGUUCUUUUGCAUAAAAAUCAUAAAAUUCAUUCAAUGAAAAUUCUCAAAUUCUUCGAAUAAUAAAAAUUCCUUAAGUGAAGUCAUGAGUUCCAAACAGAAAUUUUUAAAUAUUUGAUAAUUCCAUGUAUCUCGUACAUAUAUUUAAAAUCUGAAAACAAUUUUUUUUUUAUAAAUGGUGAUAAGAAAGACUAAACGCAACUUUAGCUCAGCCAAUUUAGUUUAAAACUUUUGAUUAUUUUCAUCAAAAGUUUAAAAACUUUCGGGGAGUAAUAUCAGGGAAAAUCCUUAAGCAGCUCGGCGGGCGGUCAUAGGAACAACCAGACAGUACCCCUGUAAUGGUGUUCCUCUAUUAGCAACAAAACAAUUUGGUGAAUUAUUAUUAAUUAGUUCUAGAAGUCAAUUCAAACUAAAACCGUAACUUCAGAAGAUCAAAAUGGAAUUGAAAACCAGAAGAGAAUAACAUAACAAAGCAUCUGCACUAACUGAAUUCAAAUGGCCAGAACUAUAAAUAGAGACUACAAAUUCUUGUAAAGACACGGCAAUUUGAAAAGCAACAAGAGGAACAUUGCCAAUUGAAGGUCACUACCCAGGCGUCUUCCAGCAAGCUUCCAACAGACAGUUCAAGCAGCCAUGACCUUUUUCGUCACAACAGUAAAAAAUGAAAAUUUAAAAGAAAAAAAUAAUAAUAUAAGUACACGUACUCUUUGUCCACGAUGCCCUUAAAAGCCUGAAUCCCCAAGGAUCUAGGUCUUUUGGAAUUGGAGGUUGCAUCAUAGCUUUUGUUGAUUUAAGAGUCACGUCUCUUGCAAACGUAAAUAGGCUUUCACCUUUGUAAGCUGAAAGGAAAUACAAAAAGGUAUAAGAUGUAGAAGUCAGCUGUCACUGACAAACCGAGCAUAAUGCACCAAGUUUGAAAGAGAAGAAAGUACAAGAAUGCAUCAAAUCCCAAGAGACUUAAAACUAUAGACUUCCUGUUUUAGAUAAACAAAACAAUAAAAUUAUAGUCUUUGUCAACACCUGGAAGUGCAAGGAGAAUAUACAUAUAGAAGCCUAAAGUCGGGCUCCCUCUCCUACUUUUUCAUACUCUGUUUUAUUUAAAACGUGUUGAAUGACCUGGCUAACAUAUAGAAUAUAAUAUGGAACGAAGGAAUGAAGUACUUAAAAACAUGUAUUCUUGAUUGCCUUCAUAAUCAUGCUCUCGGUUAUUAUAUCAAUUGAAGAAGAAAAAUCAAUAAAGCGAUAUUAAGUAACUUUCCCAGUAAAAAGACACAGAAGGAGACAGACCAUGAAAGAAAAAGAUGAGUAACCUGAAGUAACUUAAAGGUCUCGUGAUCAGUGUCUGCAUGGUAUCGAUUCUCAGCCUGGUAUCAAGACAGUCUAAUUGGAAAUCAAGCAUAAGAAUUCGAGCCAUCUGUCGCUGGCUGCAUUCUGGAAUGUUAAAACCUCAUGGUGUGAACCUAUGAGCUUCAUCAUAUCUACGGAAUUUCUUCUAUUUUCUGAACUCUCCCUACUAGCUACCACUCAUAAAGGACAACCAUGGAGUUCAAGUUUUUCGGUGGGGUUUAAAAGUAACUACCCAAAUAAACUUUUAUCUUUAAAAUUGAUUCAAUUGGAAACAUUAACACAAUAAGCAAUUGAGCCAAGAAAAUAAAAAUCCCCACAAGCAAAAGCAUUGGAAAUCAUUGGUCAUCAGGAAGGAAAAUCUCAGAACGGUUUUGACCUAUCCAUUCCACUCAUAAGGGAAAGGCAAAAUGCUACUUCUAUGCCUGUUUAUUCUUUAAGGUACUUAUAAUUUGAUGACUGUUUGAUUAAUCAAUAGUAUAUACCAAGUAAGAAUUAAAAACAUUACCCAAUAUUUCGAAUUAAAAACAUUACCCAAUAUUUCAUGCUUCUUUCCUCAAUUCGUCCACAUAACAUGCUGCAUUUGGGGUUACAAAUUACAAUUGCCCUUAAGUCAUUAUUAACACCAAUCAAUUUACAAGGUUUACUCACGGGCACUCACUAGUUACUCAUCAAAGUCUUUUAAUUUACACUGAUUUUCGGCAGUAAAAUUUCCGACUUGCACGCAUUUUAGCUUCCAAUACUUGGUAAUUAUAAUAAUAAGUCUUGACAACGCAGUCAAAAGCGAACAAUUAAAAAAAAACGUAAACGUACUCUUUGUCUGCGAUAUGAGAAACCAAAUCAACUUGAAAAUUCCAAAGUUAAUUUUUAAUAAAAAAAGUAUAAUUGGAAAUGAACAAGAAAACAGGUGACUGCUUAUUCUUGAAGAGUAAGACGAAAAAAGAAAGUCGAAACUUGGCGGUUGAAGAAACCAUCCUACCCUUAAUUGAGAAAUUACUCAACUACUUCAAUUCCUUAUAAGUCUUUAGAUAUAUCAAAAGCAAAGCCACUUGCAAACAAAAGUAACAACUAACAAGCCAGCUCGAUAGGCCAAAUCGUUCAAAUUUAAGGUGAACAAGCUCCGUUCAAAAAAGUACUUGCACCAAUUAUCCCCGGCUUCAACUUUAAGGUGCGGAUAAUAAUGAUGAGCAUUAACGAUAUCAUAAGAGUAAUUUAGACAUUUAACACUAGGAAUGACGGUGAGGUGAGGUGGGGGUAGAGAGACCUGCCCCCUUCUCCACCCCAUUAAAAAUCUUUCCUUCAUUCCCCAUUUCAUUCACCAAAAAAUUUAUGGUGCGUUUAUUAAACUGGAAUCAGGAUUGGGUUGGAAUGAGAAUCACGAAUGAGAAUCAAAAUAAAUUAUUUACUUGAAUAGUAGGAAUUGGAAUUGAAAUGAACUUCAUUUCUAUUAUUGUGUUUACUUUGUCAUGAAAUUUGAAUGAAUUAUUUCAAUUUAUUAAAAUACCCUUCGUUAAUUAUUAUCAUUUGGUAAUAAUAAUAAUAAUAAUAAUAAUAAUAAUAAUAAUGAUAUUAAUAAAGAACAAUAAUAACAACAACAAUAAUUACAAUAAUUAUAAAUAAUACAUGAGAUUUAGUUUAUGACGGAAAGAACUGCUUGAGCCAAUCUAAGAAUAAAGGUGAGAACGAAAGGCAAAAAAUAAUCUUUUGUCUCAAAAUAGUUAUAAAACUCGCGUCCCCUCAGAUUUAGUUUAUGCAGGUUCUAUCACAUAAGAUUUUGUGCUGACCACAUUAUAAUACUAUGCGGUGCAAUUGACAAAUAUAAUAUUAUAAUAUUUUAUACAAUGAAGAGUUAUGAUAAGGGCAGCAAUGUUUUUACAUUCAUUUCUAUCUUUUACUAGGAAAAAUUAUUGCUCUACAUUUUCGAAUGCAAAUAGAAAAUGUUCAUAAUUAGAUCCACUUGUCAGUUUGUCUACAAGCCACAAAAUGGGCACUCGACAAAGCUGUGUAAGUAAAAAAUAAAUAAACAAAAGGCGGACUUACAAAAUUGAAUUUUGAUUAAAUUGAUACAAAUUUUUACAAAAAACUUCCCAACAAAAUUCUAUAAACUUCCAUCAUUCAUAUUUCAGUCAUAUUAAGUUAAAUUAAAGAUCAAAUAUACAGAGAAGAUAACACAACAAUUUCCUCUUUUCGUAUUUUCUAGUGUACAUCCCUCAAAUGUAGGGAUUGGAUGCCUUUUUGUGGACUUCAACCAUACCUCCGUUUAUUUUAGGUAGAAAGAAUCUUUGAUUUCUUUUUUUCCCAUCUGGUUUGCAAUGAAUCUGGAAAAUGCCUCUGGUAGCUUUAAUGCAGAUACGAAUUAGGCAAGAAAAACCCAAAUUAUGACAACCCUACCAUGCAACAAUCCCAAGCAACACAUGGCUUGUCAUCCUUUUUGUUCAAUAAGUUCUGCAUGGCCAAGAAAACAUAUCAUUCUACUUGUUUUGACCCCGAAGGAACUCUCUCAUGUGCAUAUGAAUUUCUGCAUUAACAACUAGACGCAUUUUCUUUGAAUCCUCCCAAAGCAAACCACUUUGAUCUCUUGCAUAAUCACAAGCAGCCUCAAAGACAUCCUACAAGAUUUAUGAUGUAACUUUAAAAUGUAAUCCCUAAAAGAUAUGAGAUGAGAAAUGAAUCCAAUUAAAAUGCUCAGAUUACCCUCGAGGGAAACUCAUCAUAAUAAUGCGCAGGGGUCGUUUCAACCCUAUUCAAAUCGGAUUCCCACAAUCUUAUCUGUCAAAGAAACAACAGAAUUUGAAACAUUAGAAUAUAAAUAAUCAUCUUUGUUAAUUGAUAUGUACUAUGUAGAAAAUAUUGAGAAUUUUGCUAUGGAAGGUCAGGAAGCAUUGAUACGUGCAAUACAUCUGAAUGCAGGAAAGAAUUAUGACCUGAUCACAAACAUUUUUUGGUACAGAUGGUAUUUUGUCAGCAACCCAAGGAUGUGCAUUUUGCUGAAGAAAAUAAAUUAUCAGCAAAACAAACGAACAUGGAGUUAGAGGAGUCAGAAUGACUGCUCUAACUCCAUGAAAAAAAGGCAACUUUGAAAGAAAAAACUAUUUCGGCCACAAGAAUAUCAGAAACAAUAUGUAAGCUCGCAAAAAACCUUCUCCACCCAAAAAAAAAAUAAUAAUAAUCUAGGUUGAUGUAAAAGUAUGUUGAGAUGAGGAUGGCUGGGACCCAAACAGAGGUGUAAAGGGGCAAAUUAUUAAGAAUGUCAGAAGUUACUUGCAUAUAUGCAGGUUAAUUGACCACAUCGGACAUUUUUUUAUGGAAAAACAGAUCACCAGAUCAACUGAAUACCAAACUCACCUGCUCAGUUGUAAUGCCAUUCUCAAAAGCAUUAUACAAACUUUUUUUCGUUAUUGCUCCGACUAUAAGGUUUGGAAGUUGAUACUCUAUCCUGCACAUUGGCAAAAUAUUCAACAAAAGGUUUUAGGACUGACCAAUAUAGUUCAAUAAAAAAAUGUAAUUCAGAACUUUAACCUAGAAGAGAAACAAUUUAUCAAGCAGAUGGCUAGCUUACUUUGAGAAAAGACGUAAAAUUUCACAGUGUAGCUUAGAUGUUGAAUAAGCAUACAUCCUGAAGUUUGUUUCCACUACAACAAACCCCUAAAGAGAAGAAAAUGUAUAAUGAGCUAUGUAAUUAGAGAAUGUAAAAAUGAGAUCUCAUUUUGGUUUCUGACAAUAAUAAUUUAACAAGAUUGACCUAAACUAAUAGAAAAUUAAUGCAGUUUGCAAAGCAAAAUUAUAAUUUAAAAAAAAAAAUUCAAUCACACAAUUGUCUGCAAUUGUAGGUAUAAACCAACUUUCUUUCCUGCCCUGAAUAGCCAUGGAAAACAUCUGAGAACUCUAGAAAAUAAUACAAAAUUAACAAAGAUAACCAACAUUUUCUGUAGCACAGACUAGUACAACCUGCUGAAUUAUGAUCAUUAUGUUGGAGAAAAAUCAAUUUUUUCAAUUUUUAUAAAACCUUUUUAAGAUCGCUCUCAUAUAAUAUAUAAGAAUUUGUAAUUUAGAAAUCGUACCUUGAAAAUCCGAUUUAGUUUUUUCCGCUGAAGUGAUUUAGGCUCCCAGAUCACGAUCCGUCACCACCACGCUUGUUAUAUCACGAACUGUCACCAAUGAUCUUCCAGGUUAUGACUCAGGUUUGAUCUGCACUUGACGUGUGGGCGCCUUUAUUACUACCAAAGCAACUAGUACGAGAAAAUUUUUCUUUCAAUAAUCGAGAGAAAAAUCUUUUUCUCUGAUCUGUAUAAAGUGGCUGCUCUCUCUUUCUUUUAGAGAAAAUAAGCCUGGACCCACCUUGUAAAAUAACAUAAGGCCCCUUACACACAAGCUAAUUAAAUGAAGCCUCCCACUAAAUGAUAUAUUUAGGCUUUUGACCCAAAUAACUAGUUAUCUUGCUUAUUAAUCCAGUAGUGAUGCAGUCAAUUAAAUGAGCUAACCCGGGGAUUAUUUAGGAACAUACAAUAGUGGCUAUAACAAUUAGGCCUGUAAUUAAACUAGCCUAAUUAUUUAAUUCUAAAUUUACUCCACUAAAAGAUUGGAAUUGGCCUCCAUAAUUGUAUGCUCGAAUAAUAAUUCAUCCCAAGCCACAUUGAUUUCUUUACUGCACAAUCAUUUGUACCACAUCAUUAAUUAAAUCGAUAUCUCAACUGUCCAAUCAAUUUAAUUACAUCUUGUUCCUUGAUACUUACUGGUUUUCUCUAAUGAUCAUUUUCAACAUACUAAAUAUGUUUGACACACUCUGGCCAGAGAAUUCUAUGAUCAAGUGCCGAAAACCCAUCAAGAGAUGUGUUUUACAAAUUCUAUAUUGUUAAUCCAUAACUCCAAUACUCAUAAUUGCUCCCACAAAGAUACUGGGUAAUCUUGACCACAAGUACGUGUCGUGCCCAUUGGUAACUCAAAUGGAAUAACAAUUACAAUCAUGAAAUCAUAAUUAACUCAAUAUUAAGAUUACAGUAAAAUCAAUGCCUAUGAGAUUUAAUAAGUCUGACAGUUAUUACAAAGUUAAUUAAAUCUCAUAUGUGAUCCUGUUCAAUGUAGUCGUACUACAUCAAUAAAUUCAUACAUGAUUAAGAUAAAUCAUUUAAUGAAUUCAUUACAGUCUAUACCUAAAUAAAGUGUCCAACUUUAUUUAUCAACUGCGAACUAAAUUUAUUUAAUCAUAAGAUAACUUGUAUUUAUGUCUUCUGUGAAUCCACAUGGUGAUCACAUAAAUACAUAUAAUAUGAUUAAAUGGACUUUGAUCAAAAUAUUAAUGCAAUUAAGAUAUUUGAAUAAAAUACCUCAUUAAUUUUAUUAAUCAGAAAAAAUAUUUAUUACAAUUAAAUAAACACAUAUGCUUUUAAAGAGCAUAUUUUCCCAAUACAUCAAACCUCUUAAUUGCAUGGCCCUAUAUAAUACAUACAGAAGGGAACCUCCUUACAAAAAAACUCACCCAUUUAUUAAAUGCUUCCAAAGAUUAGACUAGAAUGUUGAAUUUAAUCGGUGCGUGGUUUCCUUCUUCCUGUCAUUAAAAUAUGAAGACAUCAGCAAUUCAGCAUAGGGCAAACAGUACAGAUUAAAUUCAAUUUUUUUUUAAAAAAAAAAGAAUACUAGUGAUAUUAAUUGGAAGACAACAUUCAAGCAUAUAGAGAUACAUCUGAAUAUAAAUAGAUAAAGCUGCAAAACUUAAUACUUUUUAAAAUAACUUGCCAUGACAGCAUAUUAACCAGCCGUACACAACCGAUGUGAGAAAUGGUCAACAAAUAUAACCCAAUUCCUAACUGAGCUUUGUAUUUCACAUCUCACAAAAUAAACUCAUGAUGACAAAUCAAGAUGUCGUAGCAAUUCUCUUAGAGUAAAUUAAGCUUAACGUAUCUCAUAUCAUUUAGGCCCCUUUAGUUCUGCCAGUCAAUAGAAAAAAUGCUUAUAGUCGUAAAAUUUUCGGCGAUUUAGCAUUCUUCCCAGUUUCUAGCAGUCAAUAUUGGAAAAUAAAGUAAAAAUAUUUAAGUGAAAUUACAUACUUUUCCUCUGAAAAUAAUCUCAACUUGUUAAGGAAGCACAUUAUGGAGAGCAUGAGAAAACAUAGCUUGGGUCAACUCAAGUCAAACUAUCAGAAGUUGUUAAGCAACGCAACAGUCCAGACUGCCAGCUCAGCACAGUUAGUUAAAGUUUGUUUUUACUCACAGUGUAUACUGAACAAAUGAUUAGCUGGAUUUAAUUCUUAGUUAGUUAUUGAUUAAUUAGUAUAAAUAAAAGUGAUGUAAUCAUUCUUAAUAAGAAAUAAAAGAUCUGGAAAAUUAGAAGAUUAUUUUCUCUGUUAUUUUCUUUUAAGCCAAACACUUCGUUUCAUAUUUCCUUUAUGGUAUCAGAGCAAUAAUCAUGGCAAAGUCAAGUACAACUCACUCAAAUCCAAAUUUUCUUAAUCAAAAUCAACCUUUAAAUGUUUCAUUCACAUUCACUACUCCUGUAAAGCUUGAUCGAUCCAAUUAUUUACUAUAGCGCAAACAAGUUCUCACAUCCAUAAGAGGCAAUCGACUUGAACAUUAUAUUUUUGGAAAUCGAGCUGUACCAGAUUAGUGUCUUCCUGAUCCAGCUUCAACAUCAGAUGAAAUUUCAGAACAAAGAGCUGAGAAUCCAGCCUACAUCAACUGGCGUGCUCAAGAUCAGAUCCUUCUUAGAUGGUUGUUGUCUACAAUCAGUGAAGGUAUGCAUACUGGAAAUUCUGAUGGCACACUACCUGUAUGUCAAAUUUAUCAUAAGCAAGGGCAUACUGCUGAUGCUUGUUGGCAUAGGUAUGGAGAUGAUUUUGUACCUUCACCAAAACCUUUUGGUAGAGGUAGAGCUGCUAAGUCUGCCUACUUGACUGCUUUUGAACCAUAAUUUUCUACAUGUCCAUUUGAAGAAUCUUUUGAUUGAACUGUCAACAACCAAUGUAUUACUCUCCAAACUCCAUCUCACCUUAUGCAUCAGAAGAUUUCACAACACCUGGAGCUGCAUAUGUUGCUAAUUUUGAAGGACCAGUUAAUGAUGGAUGGUAUCUCGAUAGUGGUGCCACUCAUCCCUUGACCAACAACAUGUCUAACAUGCAUGUCAGAGAGGAGUUCAAAGGGUCAGAUCAGCUCAUCAUUGGCAAUGGUCAAGGUUUGGCUAUUACUCAUAUUGGUGAUGCUUUCCUUUGUUAUAAACACUCACAUUCAAAUGCCAAAUCUAUUCAUACACAAAUAGCACUCAAAGAUAUCCUACUGGUUCCUUCAAUUACUAAAAACUUGCUAAGCAUGUCCAAACUCACCACUGAUAAUAACUUGACAGUUGAAUUUUCUGGUGAUGUUUGUUAUGUGAAGGAUACAUUGAGGGGGGCAAGUUCUUCUGCAAGGUCUUGCUGAGAAAGGAUUAUACAAGCUGCUUUUAAAGCCAUCUGCACAAACACUUCCUUCUUCUUUUCUACAUCAAACUAUUUCUAAUAGGCCUUUGUCAAUGUUAUCUGUUUGUCAUUCUAGUGUUAAUUGUCAAUCCACUGUCUAGAGCAAAGUCUCAGAUAAUAAGAUCUGUCAUCAUACUGCUGUUGAUUCAUGCAAUUCAGCAAUGAAUAAAAUUCUUCUUUUGCAUAAAUGAUUUGGCCAUCCCAAUUUUCAUACACUAAUGCAUUUGCUUAAACAAGUCAAGUCUAUUAAUAUUUCUCACAAUGUAAAACAGCAAGCACUUACAAUCAUUUGUAAAGAAUGUCAAAUGAGAAAAUCACAUAGAUUGCAUUUUCCUGCUACUGAAGCCAAAACAACCAAAAUUCUUGAACUAAUACAUACAGACCUCUAGGGCCCUUCACCUCAUCCUUCCAAAGAGGGUUAUUCAUACUAUAUCAGCUUUGCAGAUGACUUUAGUAAGUAUACCUGGAUUUUUCCUUUGAAAUUAAAGUCAGCAGCCUUAGAAGUAUUCAAACUCUUCAAACUGCAAGUUGAAAAACAAUUUGAUACCUCCAUUAAGAUGUUGCAAUCUGAUUGGGGAGGGGAAUAUAGACCAUUCACUAGCUUUUUGAAUCAAUCUGGAAUCCUAUUUAGACACCCUUGUCCGUACAUACAUCAUCAAAAUGGGGUAGCUGAAAGAAAGCAUAGACAUGUUGUUGAACUAGGACUCACCUUACUAGCUCAAGCUCACUUACCUUUUAAAUGUUGGUGGGAUGCCUUUCAUACAGCAGUGUAUCACAUUAAUAGAUUACCCUCUGCCACUCUUUAUUUUGAUACACCCUAUGAGAAAUUGUUCAAUCAUAAACCAGAUUAUAACAUGCUUAGAUGUUUUGGUUGUUGUUGUUAUCCCUACUUAAGAGAUUAUAAUAGACAUAAAUUUGACUAUCAUUCGAGUAAAUGCAUUUUUGUUGGAUAUAGUCCAUCUCACAAAGGGUAUAAGUGUCUUCAUCCUUCUGGAAAAGUAUACAUAGCUAGACAUGUUUUUGAUGAAAAUACAUUUCCUUACUCAAAUAUUUACGAGUCACGGAAAUCUAAUUUUUGCUCUCCUAUUCAUCUUACUCCUCAACAAGUCUAUCAUCUCACUACUCUAUCUGUAACUCCUUUUUCUCCUGAUGGCAGCUUGACUAAUCCUGGCUCUGUAAGUUCCAAUUGCAGUGGUUCUGACCACUUGGUUAACUCAGUUUCAACCUAGCACACUAUACUAGAAGAACCUAUACAAUCUCACAUUUUACCUGUUCAACCUAUAUCGUCUCCAUCCACUUCACCUAACAAUUAACCAAUACCUAUUUCAUCCAAUAUACAAACAUCAAUAAUCAUUCAACAACCCUCAUCUCAACCAAACACACACCAAAUGAUUACCAGGAGUAAAACUGGUAUCUUUAAACCCAAAGUAUACACAACAAUUCUUGAACUAAGGAACCAGAUACAGUUCAUGAGGCAUUACAUGAUCCAAAUUGGUUUGAAGCUAUGAAAAAUGAAUUUGAUGCUUUAACUCGUAACAAUACAUGGUCAUUGGUUCCAAGAACAAGUGAUCAAAAGAUAGUUGGCAAUAAGUGGGUAUAAAGAGUUAAACACAACACUGAUGGCAGUUUAGCUAAGUAUAAAGCUAGGUUAGUGGCAAAGGGUUUUCAGCAGAUUGCAAGGGUGAACUAUUUUGAGACUUUCAGUCCAGUGAUAAAACUAGCCACUGUCAGAGUUGUGCUAAGUCUUGCAGUGAUGAAUCAAUGAUCAAUUAGGCAAGUUGAUACAGAGUGUGCAUUGUGAAGUUAGUUAAGCUGGUAACUGCUGCUGACUUAGAUCUUCUGACGUGGCACUAAUGACAACUGGUAACUUGACAUUCUUGUUACAAGGCUUAACACCAUGCUGAUUCUUCUUCUUCAUUUCUGCAUAAUGAGCUAUCUUCACAGCCCCCCUCAAACUCAAAGGACAUGGAAAGACAUUGAGUUUGUCCCUUAAGUAAUUGAACUAAGGAGAAGAUAAGGGCUUGGUUAGGAUAUCUGCAAUCUGAUCUUCACUUGGCACAUAACAGAUUUUGAGGUCACCAGCUAACACUUUAUCUCGAAUAAAAUGAACAUCAAUCACAAUGUGUUUAGUUCUUGAAUGGAACACAAGAUUCUUUGGUAGUUCUGUUGCACUCAUAUUAUCACACCAUAUUGUUGGUCUCUCUACACAACAUACUCCUAUUUCCAGAAACAAUGAUUUUAACCAAGCUAUUUCUGAAGCAGCUGAAGCAAGUGCCCUAUAUUCACUCUUAGCUGAAGACUUAGUGACUACUGUUUGCUUCUUCGAAGACCAUGAAAUCAGAUUAUUUCCAAGAUACACACAGUAAGCUCCAAUUGAUUUCCUAUCAUCCAAGUCACUUCCCCAAUCUGCAUCAGUGAAUGAAGUAAUUUUCAGAUCACCAUCCUUAACAAACUUUAAGCCAUAAUCCUGUGUCUGCUUUAGAUAUUUAAGAACCCUUUUGCAAGCCAUAAAAUGUUGCAUAGUUGGUGUAGAUACAUAUUGGCUCAGCUUAUGAAUAGAAUAAGCAAUUUCUGGUCUUGUCAAGAUCAGGUACUGGAGACCACCUACAAUGCUUCUAUAAUGAGUAGCAUCUUCAACAUAGUAACCCAAUUCUCCUUUAACUAUCUUCUACAACUUUGAGUCCUUGCCACUACACAUUGGUGUUAUCACUCCUUUACAAUCAAGCAUAUCUACUUUAGCAAAGAAAUCUCUUAUAUACUUCUUCUGAGACAAAUAAAUGCAAUCCUGACCAUACAACACUUCUAUACCAAGGAAAUAAGACAAUCUUCCUAAGUCUUUCAAAGAAAAAAUAAUAUUAAAUUGUUGAAUGAAACUGUCUAAUUCUCCACUGUUAGGUCCAGUAACUAAUAUGUCAUCAACAUAUAUCAAUACUAUAAUGAGUGACAAUUUAGUUCUUCUUAAGAAUAAAGAAGAAUCAGAUUUGGAAUUUCUGAAAUCCCAUUACAAAAGACAUCCUCUGACCUUUUCAAACCAAGCUCUAGGAGCUUGCUUAAGACCAUAUAAUGCUUUGUGUAAUCUGUAAACAUAGUUAGGUUUGCUUUUAUCAACAAAUCCUUCAGGUUACUGCAUAAACACCUCUUCUGACAAUUCACCAUUUAAGAAUGCAUUGUUGAUAACCACCUGUCUAACUAUCCACUGAUUCAUCACUGCAAGAUUAAGAACUACUCAAACUGUUGCUGGCUUUACCACUGGACUAAAGGUAUCAAAAUAAUUCACACCAUUAAUCUGUUGAAACCCUUUUGCCACCAACCGAGCCUUAUAGUUAGCUACACUGCCAUCAAUAUUAUACUUUAUCCUAUACGCCCACUUAUUCCCAACAAUUUUUUGGUUUUCUGUUCUUGGUACUAAAGACCAAGUUCUAUUUUCGAUCAGUGCGUCAUACUCAUUUUUCAUAGCUGUAAACCAGUUUGUAUCUUGCAAAGCUUCAUCAACUGAAUCUGGCUCUUUGUGAAUUAACACUGCAGUAUACAUUUUUGGUUUAAAAAUACCUGUUUUUCCUCUUGUGAUCAUGGGGUGAUUGUUUUGUAAAGGUUGAAUACUGUUUGAGGUUAUUUGAGAUUGAGAUGGUAAUAGAAUUGGAGUAAAAUCUGAAGUGUUUGGCGAGUUUUUAUCAUGAGUAGGUUCAAGAGCAGGAUUAAGAUUUGGUGUUUGAAGUUGCGUAGCCUCAUUUUCUUAGAGGUGAUCUGCUGGUGGGAACAGUUCUGUGCUGUUGGAACAUGCUAGAGGAUAGGAUUCAAAACUGCUAUCACAAAGAUUGACACAACGGGAAGAGUGGACAAAUGAAAAACUUGAUGAUGAGACAAAGUAUAGCUAGAUAUUGGUUGUAUUUUGCUUUCAUAAUUGAAAUUAGGAUCUGAAGAGAAAGGGAAUGCAAUUUCAUCAAAUAUGACAUGCCUUGCUAUGUAUAUACGAUCAGAAUGAUGUAGGCAUUUAUAUCCUUUGUGAGCAGGGCUAUAACCAAUGAAUAUGCAUUUGCUUGUGUGAUAAUCAAACUUAUGCUUAUUGUAAUCUCUCAAGUAUGGAUAGAAAACACAGCCAAAACAUUUCAGCAUCUUAUAAUCGGCUUUAUGUUUGAAAAGUUUUUCAUAUGGUGUCAACAUUUUAAGAGCUGAAGUUGGUAACUUAUUGAUAUGAUAAACUGAAGCAUGGAAAGAAUCCCACAAAAAAUUCAAAGGAAGCUUAGCUUGAGCUAACAAUGUAAGACCCAAUUCUACCACUUGUCUGUGCUUUCUCUCAACUAAGCCAUUCUGAUGAUGAGUAUGUGGACAAGAGUGCCUAAAUAAAAUGUCACACUGAUUUAAAAAUUCAGUGAAUGAUCUGUAUUCUCCCCCCCCAGUCAGAUUGCAGUAUCUUAAUGGUUGUUUGGAACUGGUUUUGAACUUGCAACUUGUAUAGCUUAAAAACUUUUAAAGCUUCUUAUUUCAAUUUCAAUGGGUAAAUCCAAGUAUAUCUAGUGAAAUCGUUAACAAAGCUAAUAACUGGUGAGGGACCUCAAAGAUCAGUGUGUAUAAGCUCAAGUGCUGAUUUGGUUUUGAUUUCUGUAAUUGGGAAGUGCAAUUUGUGUAUUUUACCCAACUAACAUGCUUCACAGAAAUGUUGUGUUGCUUGUUUAACCAUAUUCAUAGAGAACUUAUCAGCAUGAUGAAGUUUGAGUAAAUGCAAUAAGCUUUGAGAAUUUGGGUGGCCAAAUCUUCUGUGUAAAAGAGCUAUUUUAUUAGGCUUAUCAGAACAUACAUCAAUACCAUUCUGUAAACAAAUGUUUGGAUUAUUUAUGAACUCUACAGAUGGCAUAUGAGAAGCAAGAUGACAGAAUGAUAACAUUGACAGAGGUUUAUUGGCUUGACUAUGAGACACAACAGAUGAUGACUCAAAAUUCUUGGUGGAAGACAUAGGUUUGACCAGCAGUUUAUACAAUCCUUUCUCAGUAAUGCCCUGUAUUAGAACUUGUCCUUUCAGCAAAUCCUUCACAGCACAAAAUGAUCCAAGAAAUUCAACAGAAAUGUUAUUGUCAGUGGUAAGUUUGGAAAUGCUUAUUAGGUUCUUUGUGAUAGAGGGAACAAGCAAAAUAUCUUUAAGUGCAAUAUGUGAAUCUACAGGUUGAGUUUUGAAAACUUGAAUGAAAAAUAAGAAUCACCAAUAUGAGUUAUUGAUAAACCUUCACCAUUACCAAUAAUGAGCUUAUCAUUACCUCUAAACUCAUCUCUGAUAUUCAGAUUUCCCAUGCUGUUGGUCAGAUGAUGAGUGGCACCACUGUCUAGGUACCAGCCUUCAUCUGCAGGUCCUUCACAAUGUGCAGCAGAAGCAGCUCCAGCCUAGGGUAUACCAGAAUAGUCAGAUACACAAGAAUGUCCAGAAUGUGACAUUUGUAAUCCAGUACUAUUGACAGGCCAUGGAGCAUCAUUUGUUGAAUAGUAAGGCAUGUAUGCAGGUUCAUAAUUAGCUAUGUAAGCAGACUUUGAACUUUUUUCUCUCUGAAAUUGUCUUGGUGGCUAAGGUAUGUAAUUUUCUUCAAAUCUGUGCCAACAUUCAACAACUGUAUGUCCUGCUUUGAAGCAAAUCUAACAUAUAUUCAUGGAAUCAUCACUGUUGGAUGCUUAUGAUUCAAAAGAAGGCAAAUUACCAGUACCAGAAAAACCAGUACUUCCAAAUAAACCUCUUCCAGAAGAACCAAAUCUAUUACUUCCCAUCAUCAUUUGAUUUCUUCCAUGAUUACCAAAAUGACCAGUUCCAGCAGGAAAACCUCUUGGAUAUGAGUUUAAAAAUAUUCAUCUACCAUUAAACAUGCCAUUUCUACCACCUGAAUGACCAUUAUAAUUGCCCUGGACACCUCCUGUAUAUCCUCCUCUCCUAGCUUGACCUCUUAUUUGAGCAUAGUAUGCAUUCAUCAUACUAUUAUUAUUCCAGUUAGACAUAUUAGCAUAGUUUGCAUUAAACAUGUGCUUUUCACUUUGACUUUGUUCAAGUCUGGCUUCAUGAGUGAGUAAUAAAGCAUAAGCAUCAUCAUAAUCCAAUUUGUUUGCUGUGAUAAAAGUAGCUAAAUCCAAACAGCCAGCUCCUAAACCAUUGAGAAUUUGUUGCAACAUAUCUCUAUCUAAUACAGAACUACCAGCACACGCCAAUUUGUCUGUAACUUGUUUCAUUUUCAAGCAAUAUUCUUCAAUACUUAGUAAUUCUUUUCUUAAGACACUCAUCUCAUACUUAAGUUGAAGAACUCUACCCUCAGAUUGUACACCAAACCUUUUCUCUAAUGUUUUCCAUACAUCAAAUGAAGUAUUACAUGAGUGAACUAGAUUGAGAAUACCUUCGGUUAUUGAGCUAAGAAGCCAGCUGAGUAAUGUUUGAUCUUGAGAUCUCCAAACUGUGUAUUCAGGAUUCUCGAUCUGUUGAGAAGAUCCAGCAGCUCCAGUAGUUGCUCCAGCAAAGCUUGAUGAUGCUAUAAAUCGAUUUGGUGCAAUCUUUUCUCCAUUAAUGUAUCCUUCAAGUCGACUUCCUCUAAUGGAGGCCAGCACUUGAUUUUUCCAAAGCAUGUAGCUAGAUCUAUCUAAUUUGAUUAGUGUGAUGAAAGAAAAAGUUGUUUGAUUUGUAGCUACUGUAUUUUAAUUGAUUGAGGUUGCCAUGAAUGGCUCUGAUACCAUGAAGAAAUUGUAAAAAUUGAUAAGUGCUACUGUUUGGCAGCUGAGAAAAACAGAGGAAAAAUACCUAAUAUAAAAUAAGUAAAUGGGAAUGGAGUGGUGAUGGGGAAAUUAUUCCCCACAUGGGGAUUCUCCAUCCCCACCCCAUUAAAUUUAUUGGGGAAUGGGGUAGGGAAUGGAGGUAAAAAAUUUUAAUGGGGUGGGGAAUGGGAUAGGCCUCCCUACCCCUACCCCACCCCAUUGCCAUCCCUAAUUCUAAAUCGGGAGGUUGCCAAUUUUUCACUAAUGAAAUCAAUGUAUACCACUUGCACCUAUUGUAACACCCUAGGCAAAUCCCACAUUGACAAAGCACGAGAGACAUACUGGACUUAUAAGGGGUGAUCCACACCUUAAUUGGCAAGACGCGUUUUGGGGUGUAUGGGCGCCCUAGGAACAAAACCAUACGGGCCUUAUUAAGACCCAAAGCGGAUAAUAUCUUGUCAGAUCGAGGUUAGGUCAUGAUAUUAUGGUAUUAGAGCGGUUCCGCGUGUCCUCUUGAGCAAUAGUGGGGCAAGCCUCAGCGAGGAUGCUGAGUCCCCAAGGGGGGUGAAUGUAAUACCCUAGGCAAAUCGCACAUCGGCAAAGCACGAGAGAGAUGCUGGAUUUAUAAGGGGUGAUCUACACCUUAACUGGCAAGACACGUUUUGGGGUGUAUGAGUGCCCUAGGAACAAAACCGUGCGAGCCUUAUUAAGGCCCAAAGUGGACAAUAUCUUGCCAAGUCUGGAUUGGGUCAUGACACCUAUUAUUUUCAUAAUAGUCAAUAAUCCCCUGCAACAUAAUUUUAUAACAUAUUGUGACAGGGCAACUUUCAGAGAAUUAAACUAAGCAAGAUAAGGCCAAAUUUUUUUUUUUUUGUGGAAACAAAGAAUUUCUUUUCUAAUGAUCUUUAUCUAUUCAAAUAUUACGUGGAUCAUAUUAUCAGACGAUGCAUCCCAGAGAGAAAAUUUCAAAACAUCCUUUCAUUAUAUUCGGAAUAAGCUUGUAGAGACAAUUUUAAUGCUAGAAAGAUGGCUGCUAAAGUUUUACAAUAUGGUUUUUAUGCCCAACUUUAUUUUGAGAUGCUUAGACUUCUAUUCUUCAUGUCAUUGGUGCCAAAGCAUAAGAAGUAUUUCACGAAGGAGCAUGAUGCCACUAAACCCUACUAUGGCAGUUGAGUUUUUUAAUAUGUGGGGCAUCAAUUUUAUGGGACCAUUUCCUCUUUCUUUUGGCCAUCAAUACAUAUUAGUUUAUGUCAACUAUGUAUCAAAGUAGGUAGAAGCAAUUCCGUGCAGAACCAAUGAUCACAAAGUAGUGAUUGGAUUUUUGAAGAGCAACAUUGUUUCGCACUUUAGACUCCCUCGACCAAUAAUCAAUGAUUGUGGUACCCACUUUUACAACAAAACAUUCAUAGCUCUUUGGGCAAAGUACUUCGUCACACACAAAGUGGCUAUCCCAUAUCAUUCACAAAUUAGUGGCCAAGUCAAGAUCUCCAAUCGAGGAAUAAAGUAUAUAUUAGAUCAGACGGUUAAGCUAAACAGAAAAGAAUGGUCAUUGAAACUCGAUGAUUCACUAUAUGCUUAUUGAAUGGCUUUUAAAACCCCUAUUAGGAUGUCACCUUAUAGGCUAGUGUAUAAGAAAGUUUGUCACCUACCUAUGGAAAUCGAGCAUCAUGCAUACUGGGCUAUCGAGAAAUUUAACUUUGACAUGCAACAAGUUAGUUUGGAAAGAAGAUUAUAGCUAGUAUUAAAGAGAUUCGCAAUAAUGUAUAUGAAAAUAACAAACAUUACAAGUAGCGGAUGAAAGUCUUUCAUGACAAGAAUAUUAUGAGAAAAUCUUUUACACUAGGUUAGAAAGUGAUACUAUUCAAUUCUCGCUUACAUCUAUUCCCAAGCAAAUAACACUCUUGAUGGUAUGAUCUAUUAAUUAUUCACACUAUUUUUUCAUGUGGGCCAUUGAAAUUAAGGAUCUAAAGAAUAAUGUCACUUUUAAAGUUAACGGUAAAAAAUUAAAGUCCUAUAUAGAGUACAGACCACAUGAAGAUGACACCAGAGGAAAUUUGAAAGACCCACCACAUCUUGAUUAGGUUUUUUUUUUGGAUGAUUUAACUUUUUGUUAUUUUGUUUUAUUGAUUAACAUUAUUUUGAUUGUUUCCUACUUUAGUGCAUUUGUUUAAAAUUAUGCUUUCUUUUAUCAAUUGUCUUUUAGGUCAUGAGUAUCUCAAUGAGACAAAUCUUAUUCAUUAACCUUAACAAACUUCUAUAUAUGAAGCUUGACGUAAGUGGUCUGCUCAAAAUUUGUAAAUCACAUCCUGUUUAGGAUCUAUUACCACUAGUGUUAGUAUCAUAUUUAAAAAGACAAUUCAUAGAAAUAGAAGGUAGUAUCUGUGAUAUCCAAUUAGAACUUACGAUAAACUCAAUAAGGAGAUGGUGGUGAGUUAACGUCCUAGUAUUUAUAUUGUUUGUUUUUGUUUUAUUGUUUGCCUUCACAUGCAUUUUGUUUUUGCUAGAUUAAUUCUUUUGUUUGGUAUGUUGUUAUUUCUUACCCUAGUUAAAUGGCAGAUAAUGGUACUAUGUAACCAUUAAAGUCAGUUCUAAUAAUUUUCCAUAAUAACUGACAUUUCCAAGCCAAGGUAUAAAUAAGAAUACAGUUCUUGCAAAACUUCAUAAGUGAUUUCCCUCUCUCCCUUAGAAUGCAAUCCUCACGAUCUUUAAAACUUGAUCCAAACUCUUACAAUUACUUAUGAGAAAUACCGUUCUUGUUCACAUCCGUUGGUUAAUUGAAACCAAAGUAUGAUUAAGAAGGGAGUUACCUCUCAAAUUUGUUGCUUACAUGUCUGGCUAUAGGAAAGGAAAUUAUUCAAGAAAAUGAAGAGCUAGACAGCUCCAAGUUUCUUAUCAUAAGUGUGCUCGAACAAACUAUAAUGAAAGUUCUAGUAUAUGUUUGGGAAUGAUGUCCUAUAUUAGGGAAGAAAAUAUUCAAUUUAUUAGGGAUGACUUGAAUAAAAAGUCAUUAGAUGACAUCCUUUCGACCCUUAAAACGCAUUUUGAAUAGACAAUUGAAGAACGUUUGCAUGCUUUCUGGCUUUCGUUAUGGAAAAUACAAAGUGCUUGCUCAAGCAGCUAUGGAUCUUGGUCAAGUAUUUGUCUUAGAAACUACUUACACUAGAGGAAGUCAAGUGCUUGGUAUCAUCCUACACCCCUAUAACCUCUGGAAUGCCUGCCCGGCUCACCAAUUGCAAAUAAGCUAGUCAUCUUAAGUUUGCAGGAGAAAAUAACCAAGACGCGAAACCUUAAUAAUGCUUUAAUUUUCUUACCAAAAGAUCUUGCAAUUGUAGAGGCAUAAAUUAUAUUUGCAUGUUGGGCCCAUUCAAACAUUAAUAAAAAUUCAUCAGUUUUUUCUAAACUCUACUUCUUUUCUUUCAAAAGUUGAGGACAAUAUCUCAUUCUAGUUGGGGGACAGAAUAAUUGCUAGUUGUGGAAUAAUUGAUAGUUGUGUUGUUGUACUUUUACUAAUUUUUUUUAAAUUUUUGAGUCAAAGAUGGCCGAAUGUGGAGUUUAAUUACUCUAGAAAUGCAUAUUCCUAGUCUUGUAGUUUAGUUAAAAAAUAAAAUAAAAUAAAAUAAAAUAAAAAUAAUGAAAUAAUACAAUUUAAGACACUUUUUGUGAUCUUUUGAUAUUGGAUGACGUGAUGGCUUUUAAAUUUUACAAUUUAUAUUAUCUUUAGCUUUGAAUUAUGUUACACCAUAUUUGCCACUUUGCAAAGUGAUGUUGGUUAGAUGUGUGAAUUGAGAAAUUGAUGAGUGAAAUUCAUUGAGCUAUUUGAAAGAACGUACAUGUCAAAAUAAGCUCCAAGUGAGUUUUUGAAUCUAUUAUUUAUCUUAGAGAGCAACCUUUUUCCAAAGCUUACUAGUUUAUUAUUUUAUACAUAAUCUCUAUCUUUUUCUUUUGAGUGGACCAAUGAAAAGAAUUGUGUGUUGUUACGUCUGAAAGUCUAUUGAACUAGUAGAUAUAAAGACUAUUUAGAUCUUUAACAAAUGACAGAAGUUCAUGUUUGAUCCAUUUGAGUCUCUUCUGGCCAUCCUCAUUGUGAAAUAUCCAUAGUCACCCCUAUUGAACCUAUUAAAAAAAAUUAUUUGUUAACGUAUUAUCAUAUCCUACUUCAAUUUGGAGCAUUACCAUAUAUUUUAUGUUUUCCAUCACUUAUCCAUCAUUGACAAAAUAAAUAAAUAAAUAUGAUAAUCAAAAAAGAAAAAAUAAAAAAGGGAAAAAUAUAUAAAACACAUUGCAAUUCCCAAAAGAUCUCUAUUGUUUUUCCAAGCAUAUAUUUUGUUCUUCUUAUUAUUCCUUCUUUUUUAGCCAUUUCUGUAGCCCACAUUACAAAAUAGUAAAAGUUCUUCUUGGUUUUAGAAAACUAUAAUCUGAAGUAGAAGCUGAUAAUAUGGCCUAAAACAUGUGGUGAUGCAUAAAACUAUAUACAAAUAAUAUUAUUGGUAGAUCAAAACAAGAGAAGAUGCAAAAUGAGGAAAUGCUUUAAUGUAAAAUGACAAGGCCAUUACAUCAGAGAUUGUGAUGAAAAGAAAAAAGGAUGAGAAAGAGAGAACAAGGGACGCAACAAUGGCUUCGGAUGAUUGAUAUCGUAGUGCUGACUUGUUGGUGGUUUCAAAUAGCAAUAUAAGAAGUCAAUGGAUCCUUAACUCAAGGUGUUCCUUUCAUUUGUGUCCUGGUAGAAGUCUCUUUUAUGAGUCUGUGGAUGGUAGUAGAGUCUUGAUGGGAAACAACAAUGUGUAAGAAGGGUCACCAGUACCUAUGUUAGCUACAAUACCUGAUGUUCUAAAGUAGAUAGAACCAAGUCACGGUAUCUUAUACUUGGAUGCAUAAGUGUCAAGGGGAUGCAAAAGCUAAGCCAGCAAGGGUUUCUUUGUGGUGAUAAGAUACAUGAGGUAGAGUUCAGUGAAAACAACAUUUUUGGAAGAGCACAUUGGUCCAAAUUCACAAAGGGACUGCACACAUCUAAACAAGUUUUGGAUUAUGUUCAUGCUGAUUUUUUGGGGCCUUGUUCAGGUCCUUUAUUUUAAUUAACUGUUGACUUUAAUAACUUGUUGCAUUAUCAUGCAUGGUAAUUGAAUAUACAACUAAUUGAUAUUAUCAUUUUUAUUAUUUUUUUAAAUUGAGUUUAUGUCUUAGAUUUUUUAUCUUUAUUUAAUUGUUUUCCACUUAUUAUUAUAAAUAUUAUUAUUUUGUAAAGUUUUAUUCCUGUUAUUCGUAUUUAAAUGAGUUCAUUAAUAUCUAGGCAUAGCGUGCAAGUGAAAAAUAUGACAUAAAAAAAAGUGACAUAGAAAAUGAAAUAAUAAUAAAACAAAAUAACUAGUAAAAGCUAAAUUGUAUUGAAAUAUGAUUUUUUUUUUAUAUUUGUAAUUGUAAGUUGGUGUGACCUUAAUCCAUUUUUCUACUUGUUUAUUUAUUUUGUAAUGUCAUCAAAGGAUUUGGAUUCAUGGACAUUAAAAUUUGCUAAGAACACCUUUCAUUUUAUAAAAUAUUUUAUUACAUAAGUGUCCUUAAAUCAAAUCACAUGUAGAAAAAUUACUCCCACCUCUUAAAUAUUAAAAUAGAAAAUAAAAAUGUAUUAAAAGACAGAUUAAAAAUAUAAAAAAGAAUAAAAUAUGCAUGUUAAAGUACUGUUUAUAUUUUAAAUAACCCUAAUUAGAUAGACAUAAAAUAAAAAGGAUUUAGAUUUGGUGUUUAGCUAAAUUUUUAUUAGCUUUUGUAAAAUACUGUGACAUGUGCUUUUUAUGAAUUUUAAUGGUUAAGAUUCAGUUUCUCUUAAUAGCCUAAUGAAAAUAAUAUCGUUUUCUUGGUUUAAUUCCCCUUUUUCUUUCAAUUUUGUGGUUUUUUUUUUAUUUCAUGAACGUAUGGAAACUAUGAAAUCGUUUUUUUUAAUCAUCCUAUAUAUUAAGAAAUUCCAAAUAAAUUCUAUCUUAAAGACUUUUCAAGCUUUUGCAACCGCUCAUACUGAGAGUAGCAAACUUUUUUAGAAGUGAAAUCAGCGAGGGCUUGGAGUUUGAGUAAGAACAUUGCCAGCUCCAACCAAAAUGAGAAAGGCCAAGAGAAGCAAAUCAUUAAUUAGCAUGUAUAGAGACUGAAAUAGAACAAAAACUAUCAAAAAGCUUGGCUAAGCAUUGGACUCAAAUCCUAUAUAGGACAAAUGGUCCUAAUAAAGUAAUUAUAAUCGUUUGAUUAUUAUUACUAUUUAACUGAAUGCUCUCUCAUAAAUUGAUUCAAAGAUAUACAAUAAAUUAGUACUACAAUAUAACACACACAACAUAUCAUAUGCUUAUAAUAAAUUAAUUCUUUAUUAUAUUAAAAUAUAGGAUCAAUUUCUCAACAAUUGAUGGUUAUAACAAAAUUAUUCAUAUGGCAAAAGACAAAUAACUAUUUAAAAAAAUCAUUGGCAUCCAAUAACAAGCUCUAGGGGUAUAAGGCGUAAUCAUUCUCAAGGGAGUUAGGAUAGAUUCUUUAAUUGUAAGUUCCAAGCAGCCGCCACUAUUUGGUGAUGUUGCAAAAUUGGUACACAAUGAAACAUACAGUUUACAUUCUUGAUUAGUACAUUGAUGCUUGAAAUAAGUAUGUAUUAAGUGCUUGCUACUACAAGGAAGUCAGGAUGAUGAAACCAAGACUUUUUGACAUUUUAUAUUUUCUAAACUGAAACAUAAACAACCUAUUGAGAAUUAAAAGAGAGGUAAAGAAUAACAAACAUAUGAGGCUCUGCAUAUAUAAAUGAAUAUUGAGAAAUGAGGUAUAAUGACCUUUAUGAGGUUGUUGAUUCUAUUUAUGAGUAUUGAAUAAGUCAGAAUGAUGAAACCAAGACUUUUUGACAUUUUAUAUUUUCUAAACUCAAACAUAAACAACCUAUUGAGAAUUAAAAGGGAGGUAAAGAAUAACUCACAAAUGAUGCUUUGCAUAUAUAAAUGAAUAUCGAGAAAUGAGGUAUAAUGGACUUUAUGAAGUUGUUGAUUCUAUUUAUGAGUAUUGAAUAAGUUAGGAUGAUGAAACCAAGACUUUUUGACAUUUUAUAUUUUCUAAAUUGAAACAUAAACAACCUAUUGAGAAUUAAAAGAGAGGUAAAGAAUAACAAACACAUGAGGCUCUGCAUAUAUAAAUGAAUAUUGAGAAAUGAGGUAUAAUGGAUUUUAUGAGGUUGUUGAUUCUAUUUAUGAGUAUUGAAUAAGUCGUAGUGCAUUUAUUUGCAUUAACUAUUGACUUUAAUAUCUUGUUGUGUUCUCAUUCAUGGUAAUUGAAACAUACAUCUAAUCAAUUUUAUCAUUUUUUUAGUAUUACUUUUUAUUGAAUUUAUCACUUGGUUUUUUUUCUCUUUAUUUAAUGCUUGUUAUAAAUAUUGGUAUUUUGUGAAAUACUAUUCAAAUUUAAACAAACUCGUUAAUCUCUAGACAUAGCGUGCAAGCGAAAAAUAUAACAUCAAAAAUAGUGACACAUAAAAUGAAAUGAAAAUAAUAAAAUAAUUAAAGAGAAUGGUACUCAAACGUAACCAAAAGAAAACCGUAGAUUAACCAAAUUUUAAAAAAAUCUUGUGAAUAGAAAAUCCGAUCCUCUUCUUCUCUCCAUUUCUGCUAAAGAAUAUAUAUAUAUAUAUAGAAGGAAGAGAAAGCAAGAAGGCGAAAAUUAACAGUGUCAAUACUUCCAUCUGCAUCAAAUUCAAGCAUUAAAUCGUGCUCCACCACAUUGUCUCCUUACAGACUUAGGCUUAUUUCCCUUCAGUAUCAGCUCAAAUAUUGAUGAUUCCAUGAAUGAGCAUUAAAGAUGCUUUUAUUUUUAUUAAUUAUUAACUUGCACAACUAAUUAAUUUUGUCAUUUUUAGUGUUAUUAUCUUUAUUUAAUUUAUAUGUCAGAUUUUUUCUCUUUAUUUAAUCUAUUGAAAUUAUUAUCAUUAUUGUGAAAGCAUUAUUCCAAAUUUUUGGAUUUAAAUUAAACUCUAUGCAUAGCGGCCAAAAAGUGACAUCACAAAAAAGUGACAUAGGAAAUAAAAUAAAAUAACUAAUAAAAACCACAAUACUGGAAUAGAGUCAAUAGAAAACCGCAAAUUACAUAUAUAGACAAAUGACUCCCCCUCUAAAAUAUUAGAGUAGAAGUAUUGACAGAAGUUUAGAAAUUAGGAAGGGUAAAAUAUUGGUGUUAAAAGUGUUUUUAAAGUACAAAUAAUUACACCCUAGUAGCAGAUAGAUAUAGUAUACAAGGGUGGGAAUGCGUGCACAUUUAAAUUAUCUUAUACAUUCCAUUAUUUUGCACACUCAUUUAUUAAUUUUAAAAUUAAUUAUACAUUGUACACUUUUUAAAAUGUAAAAAAAUUUCUCGCUUUUUAGAUUAAUUAUCUUUAUUUACUCUCACACUCAUGAGAAAACACACUAAAAUAAUUUCUCCAAAUACUUCUUUUUAUUAAAAUUUAAUUAUUUGGUUAGAUAAUCAAUUUUGCCAAUAAACAAAUAAUGAUCGACAACAAAACUAGAUGAGCCAACAACUCGCAUCAAAAGAUUUCACCAUUCAAAAGAUCACAAGAAAUAAACAUUAUAAAUCAAACAAAUAAAUCAACUAAGCAAAAAUGGUUAUCACUUACAUCACAUUGCUUUUAGCAGGCUCUUGCUUGCUAGUUGGAAAGAAAAAAAAAGGGCAUGAAAGUAGCAUCCGAAAGAUUAUAAUUAAACAAUUGUACUUUCUGUGUUGCAAGGCUAUGAAAAAUUAAUACUUUUUGUGUUGUAAACUAGAGAUCAAAUGGAUCACACAUAUUUGUUCAACGGGUUAGGAAGAAAAAUUAUAGGGGUCAAAUGGUAAGAAAAGUUAACAGAUAUAGAUAAAUUACAUACAACAAAUCAAUACCAUGUAACAAAAACAAUAUAUCACAUGCUCAUAAUGGAUUAAUUCCUUCUUUUAUUAAAAUAUAGCAUCAAUUUCUCUACAAUUGAUGGUUAUUGCAAAAGUAUUCAUUUGGCAUAAGAGGAAAACUAUUUAACAAAAUCAUGGGUUAUAGAUGAUGGUGUAGUCUUGACUAUCAUGGUGAUACUUAUUGUAACAUUCUUCUGGUGUAAGUCCAAAGCACUUGUCGCUAUCAGGUGAUAUUGCAGAAUUAGAUUCUUGGCCGGUACUAGUGCUUGAAACAUGUGAGUUUUCAGUGCUUGCAACCAAAAGCAAAGCCAAGAUAAUGAAACUGAGACUCUUCGACAUGUUAUAAUUUCUAAACUUAAUUGUAAACAACUUAAUUAAAAUUAAAAGGAGGUGAUGCAUAAGAAAUACAUGAGGCCCUAUAUAUAUGAAUGAAUAUUGAGAAAUGCGUUAUAGUGGCCUUUAUGAUGCUUCCAUGAAUAAGCAUUAUAUAAAUCAUAUUAUGUUUACUUUUAUUAACUAUUGACUUUAAUAUCUUGUUGCGUUAUCAUCAAUGGUAACCAAAACAAACAACUAAUUAAUUUUAUCCUUUUAGUAUUAUUUUAUUCUUUUUUGUUGUUGUUUUUUUCUCUUUAUUUAACCAUAUUCAAAUUAUUAUUAUUGCUAUUGUGAAAUUAUAAAUCUGAAAGUCAGUUUUUGCAUUAUUUUAUUUACAAUAACUUUUUAGCUAUGUCUAUAUUAGUAUAUAUUUUAUAUUCAAUUUUUAGAUUAAUGUAUUUUAGUAUUAAUAAAUUCAAUCACGAUAAUCUGAUAACCGCUUAAUAUUAAAAUUUAGUUUUCAAUAUUUAUGUUAUUUUAUUAAUUAUAAAAAUACUUUUUAGUAGAUAUAUGUAAAUUUUUUUAACUAUACUUAUUGUAAUAUUUUACUUUUAAUAUGAUAUUUAUAUAUUAUUUUUAUGUUAUGUAUGUAUGUAUCUAUGUCAGUUUACAGUAAAUAUAUACUUAGAUAAUGAUCAAAGAAUAUAAUAGUAAAAAGGGGUUCUAUGUGAGUGAUGGAUCUAGAAAAAUAAUUUACCGGGGGCUAGAAUACAUAAGAACAAGAUGUAAAAACUAAAAUUUUAGGGGUUUUCAGGUUUAUGGAGGUUCAUUUUUUUCUAAUAGAUUUAAUAAAGGGAUUAAUUAAAUAAUAGUAAGACCACCCAUAUGAGUUAUUGUGGGCUUUUAAUUAAAGAGUGGACUUUUAUAAUUCUUAUAGUUAAAAUUUAAUUUUUAUGAAUUUAUGAGUUUAUGGGAGGCUGUUUUUAUAAAUCCAACAGGGAAUAUUUUUAUAGAUUUGAAGGGGUCUAAUUAGAAACUCAAGUAAUUUUCUCUUUAAUUUUUAGAAUUUAUUUUCUGGAGCGAAACUCAAACCCCACUGGUUAUGUGCUAGAUCUUUAGAAUGAUCUAAUCUAUACAAACCAAAUAUCUUCCUCUCUUUAUGUAGUUAAAAAUUAAUUUUUAAGGGUUUUUUGUGUUUAUGGGGACUAUUUUUAUAAAUCCAACAAGGAGUAUUUUUGCAUAUCUAAUGGGUUCUAAUUAGAAAUUUACCUAAUUUUCUCUUUAAUUUUUGGAAUUUACUUUCUUGAGCGGAGCUCAAACCCACUAAUUUGUGCUAGGUCUUAAGGACGAACUAAUCUAUACAAAUCAAAUAUCACUCCUCCUCACUCGUUCCCCAUAUCUUUUUUUACGAUUUUGUCUAUUAUUGGCCAUACUGAACCAUUCAGUCAUAUUCAUUGAGACUUUGAAAAUGGUUGUUUAUCUAAUGGGAUAAAUGAAAAAUCAACUUGGCAGAAUUAAUUUUUUGUUUUACAUAUAAGCAUGUUAUAGAGAAGACUUGACUAGAGAAUUGAGUAAUAAAAGGGCUUUUCCUUGAACUAGUAGAGUUGGCCAAAGCAAAUCAAAGGCCCAAAAACAAACUGAGCUGCCGAUUAAGUUUUGAAUGAUUAAUAGUUGCUUUCAUUAUACAAAAUACACCUACAACCACUUAAUUUAAAAGGCCAACAGAGUGGUGCUGUUGGAGGUUUUUAUUGUUUGUAAGGAGUUCUGUAAGAAUAUGAGAGAAUUAACAUGUUAUUUUGAAAAAAAUAAUUAAAGUUGAUCACGAGUGAGAGCUCCCAUAUUCUGGAAACUCUUAAACAAGAAAGAGCUUUUGAUAUCCCAAUAUAAGAAUAAGUGACUGGCUAAUUGUCGUGAGGAAAAGAAAAACAAAGAGAUGAAUCAUGAAUUUGAGUUUAAUUUUGGAAUUUUGAUAAAUUGAUUAAGUAAACAUUUAAUUUUCUAGUUUAGUAAAUAAUGUUUUUAAACAAAAUGAAUAUUUGAAGUACAUUGCAGAGUGCAAAUAACCUCACUCAUUCCUAAAUUACCCACAUGUUAAUUUACCAUUAAAAACAAUUUUAUGAUAAUUUCUACUCUAGACACCUACUGACUACACUCAUUAAUAAUUUAUAAAUAAACUAAUAUUAUUUUCAUCUUAAAAAUUUACAUCCCAGAUUUCUUUUGUCGAUCACAAGCGUAGAGAUCUCAUGGUUUCUAUUUUUUCUGAUCCAAUCUGUAAUAUUUUUCAUGCAAUGAAAAUCUUGGAUAUUCUUCUGUAACUAGCUUUUAGUUAUGGCUUAAGUGAAAUAUUGAAGAUAAAAGGUCUAGGGUUUUAAAAUUAUUUUGGUGGUUGUAGUGAGAAAAUAAAAACUACGCUAUUGUAAUUGAUAAGCAACAAAAGCAUCAGACAAAUCAACAAGAACCAAGGUCACCAGUUGUGACAAAUAUGGCAGUAUUGUUGCCUUAGCUAAAGGGUUUACUGAGGACAGAUUAAGGAAAGAACGACGCUGGUAUACACUUCUAACGGACACAAGAGAAAUCAGUGUACAUGAUUGAAGGAGUCCAACGGCCACAAGCCAAGUUUGAUAUAAAGCGCUCAACGUCAUGAUUCUUGGAAGUUAGUGUAAUUGAUACAAUUUUGAGAACCUUUCAUUUGUGCAAGCUUGAUUUUGAUAAUCUGUGUAUAUAAUGUAAUGAUCGAGCAAAUACAAAAACAAGAAAACAAAUUGUUUUCAAUCAAUCCUAUAUUUCUUUAUGGUAUCAGAGCCUAUGGCUACAAAAAUACAAACUAAGCCCAAACUCUCGAUCCAGACAUUCCACCAAUGUGCAAGCCUAAUUUCCAUCAAACUCAACAACAAUAAUACCUUCUUUGAAGUCGCAAGUCCUGCCACUGCCACUCAUAAGAAGCCUUGAUCUAGAGCAUCAUAUCAAUGAUGAAACAGUUCCACCAAGAAAUAUUUCUAGAUGGAAAAAAGGUCAACAAUCCUGAAUUUACUAUUUGGCAAAAUAAUGAUGGAUUACUCAUGCCUUGGCUUCAGGGAAUGAUGAACGAAGAUAUAAUGACCAUUAUAGUUGGAUGCCUUUCCACUAGAGAUAUUUGGUUAUUUGUGGAAGAGCACAUGCUUCUGCAACUAAAGAACAAUAAUUUUGGUUGAAGAAUAACUUUUACUCUUUAAAGAAGGGUUACUUAGAGCUUAAAGAAUUCCUUAAGAAAUUAAAAGGGCUUUGUGACAAACUUGCGGCAAUCGGCAAGCCUAUGUUAGAUGAAGAUCAAGUAUUUCAGAUGUCACAUGCCCUUGGCUUAAAAUACUCUGACUCUAAAAUGGCAAUUUUGAUAAAAGCCUCCUUAUCCAUCAAUAAAACAAUUUACUUUUGCAUCACAUAAUCAAAAGCAAGUGAUAGUAAGUCUAAAGGAGAAAGAAAGUGUGAACCAUAACGAGGCCUUUUUUGGCCAGCAAGCUAGAGCAAGAAAUCAUCCUGGGAGAGGCUCACAAGUGCAACCACCCAUGAAGGUUCUAAAACCAUGGAGGCUUUCUACACUCAUGUAACACAUAUGGUAGCUUGUAGAUAGUUCCAUGUAAUUAUUGAGAUAGGUAGAUAGUUUUAAAGCAUCAUCUAGACAUUUCCUUGUACCCUAUAAAUAGGAGGGGCCUCAUUUGGCUCAACACACACAAGAAAUCCAGCACUGACAUUACUUAAAAGCACUAUAAGCUUUCCUUGAGUAAUAGAGUUCUUUCCUCCCAUCUUGAACAAGUUUGAGUGAAUACUCUUUCCCACUUUCGAAUCCAGUAACGUUGUGAGUGAGCAAGGUUGACUUAGGACCAAGAGAGUGAGAUUUAGCACCUAAGGCCCUGCAAUUCAGUGAGGGAUCAAGAGUGUCGUGAUAGUUGGUAUCAAAGCCGUAAUCACUCUUGGGGUAAUUGCGUCAUUUAAAAGGAAGAAUGUCGGACCUCACUUAUGAUGACCAAAGGGUAAGGGACCAAAAUCCCAACUUGAAAAAGAGAAAGAACAAGAAGGAGAAGUCCGUGGAUAGGCUGAACGCCAUUGAGAAUUGGGUUGUUCGUAGGGAGAUUAUUGUCUUUGAGAUAAAGGAGCACCUCGAGAUCUUCAAGCAAAAGAUGAAAGAGGUUGAUAAUCUUGAGGGACAAAUGGUUGACUUAAGCCAAGACAUAAUGGUGCAACAUUAAAGUCUCAAGAAGUUCCAAGCUGUAGUGAUGAACUAAAUCGAGGGGCUAAGAGCUCAAGUGGAGGAGCUUUACACGGGUCAUAAGGAGACCAAGAGCAAUAGGGCACUUUGAAAGAAGACGGUGGCCAGCGAAAUGCUCACCACUAAUGCCAUACCUUUAAUAAAGAUUGAGGUUCCUAAGACCAAAGAGGUACAAGGGCAAACGAAAUGCCCAAGAGAUUGACAAUUUUCUGUGGUCCAUGGAGAGGUACUUCGAAACCACCAAUGUUCAAUGCGAGUAAGAAGAGGUAAAUAUUACAAUGGGGUAUCUUGAAGAUCACGCAACUACUUGGUGGCAAUAGAAGCCUGCAAAGAUUAUACGCAUGAUGUGUAUUAUCAACACAUGGGACUUGUUCAAGCGCGAGCCAAAGAAGUAAUUUUAUCCAGGGAGUGUAGCGUAAGAGGCUAACAAAAAGAUGAGAGAACUGAAGCAUAUAGGGUCCAUCUCGAGAACAUGAACCCAAAUGACUUGUUGUUCAUCUUUAUGGAAGGACUCUAACCAUGGGCACAACGGGAGCUUCAAUGGUACCAAGUGAAUGACACCUCCACUACCCUCACUGAGGUAGAUAUACUUGUAGAAUUUCGAAAUGAUGAAUCAUCUAAGCCAAAGAAGGAUAAUAAGCCCCAACAUAGGAAAUGUGGAGGUGCAAAUUAAAAGGAGAUAAGCUACCACAUUAUGAUGGCUAAGAAAAACUGUCACAAAAGAAUGAUGGUUUGAAGGACGGUAAGGAGAAAGUCAAGCGUAAGCAUAACUACUACCUAUGUAAUGUGGACUAUUGGGUGACAAACUGCCUAAAGAAGAAAGCUUUCAACGCCAUGUUCAACAAGCUCGAAGAGAAACAACUAAAGACACGAAAUGUGGGUUUACAAAUCGAUCACGGUUCAUCUUCAUCCAUGUCUGAGCAAUCAAAUCAUGUAUAUGUUCACGAGCCUCUCUCUCUCAGACUCCAGCUUCAUGCAUGUAACAUUGAAUUGAUUUAUGAGCAUCUCCCCUCUUCAGUUCAUCCUAAUAAUUAAUUCAAUCAAACGUAUUGUCAACAACAUUAACAAUUAACUAAUUAUCUAAUAAUCAGAUUGUGAGUACUACAAUUUGUUAUGGAGAAUAUCCUAUACUGCUGAGAAUAAUUCCUCAACUAAUAAUAAGAAUAUAUUAUGUUGUCAGUGGAUAUGAGAUAUCUUCCAUAACAAAUUUAAUAUUAAAAAUGAAUUAAUUGUACCGAUGAUUUUCCCAAAUCGUCUGCAAGUCGUAGAAUUAUUGAUGACCAACGAAUUAUGUUGGGAUAAUCUUUCAUGAAUUCCAAGCCCUCCGUUGUUAUUGGAUUUGCUGUAGAAGUGUUUGCAUGGACUAGAAUUACAGGUGCUGCUACCAAAAUCCAAGCAUUUUCCAUGUACUCUUGGAGUGUUGGUAUGUAGCCGUUGUCGUACCACUUGGCCUCCACUAAAUAUGUUUUGCAUAGAUUUGCCCACUGAAAGUUUUAUUUUUGUAUAUCGAAUUGAUUAAUAUAAUAUCAAAUACAAAAGCAUAAAUUAAAUUAAUUAAAGGGAAAUAAUUUCCAAGCACCUCAAGAAUAUUAUAAAUAUAAUUAGUCACCAUAAAUUUCAAAUGAUAUCUUGGCACUAACUCAAAUUUUAAUUUUAUAUCAACCAGGCAUUUUUUUAUUAACUCUAUAGCUAUCAUUAAAUAAUUUAAGGUAAAAGACCAAUUUACCCUAAAAUGAAAAACACAUGGUAAAUUGGUGGUGCAAAAUAAUCUUUUAUCUUAUAUUAUUUUAAUAGUGACUAACGGAGUUAAGACAAAAGUGAUCGGUUUACAUAAAAUUAAAACUUGAAAUGAUGUAGAGAUAAUACUAGUUAUCAUAGCAGUUAUUUAAACUUUUUGAUAUUCUUAAGGUGAUUGGAGAAUAAUAUUCCUUAAUCAAAAUGAAAGGUUUAAUCUACUAGUACCGCUUUCUUAAGAUAAGAAAUGACCAUGCCAACUCCUUGAUCCCGAAGAGCAUCAAAAGCCAUUUCAUUUAUGGAAUUAUGGAGAGCAAGAAAGCACAACUUCGUAUAGUCUGGAAGUUGCUCUAUUGUAGUAGCGUCCCACCUAACAAUGUAAUACAACUAAAUUAAAAUAAGAGAGGUGUAUAAAUUUAUAAAUUCCUGAGUAAUGAUCUAGUGAAUAAUGUGCUCGCUUUAUGCUGGGCAAUACUAUCAAGUGAAUAAUGUGCUCGCUUUAUGCUGGGCAAUACUAUCACAUAAUUUAUAUAAUUACUUCAUAAUUUUAACAAUAUUCAUUAGGAAUCACAAAAUUAUAUCAUGUGUCCAAGUGUUUAUCAUACGAUGAGUACUAAUCCUCACUAAAUCAUUUUCCAUACACAAUCAUACGAAUAGAAAUGACAUUAAAUAAAAGUAACCUUUCAACUGCAUCCGUGAAAAGUUCAAAUUCGUCCAAAGUCCCAAAGACAUCAUAAACAUCAUCUAUUGUUGUUAUUAAGGCAUUGACCAUUGUAGACAUCCGUCUACUAUAUCCAAAAUCCGGUUCGAAUAUCACCCCCACGGUGCAGAAGAAAUUCUCCAUUAUUCUGUCUCUUGCAAAAUUCAACCUCUCCCCAAGUCCUGUUUUCUUCCACCACCUGACCACAUAAUUAAUUAGCAUGAAAUUAAUUGAGUUACAUAAAUACAUGCUCAGUUAGAUUUAAUCAUUCUUGAGUGAGGAUCUCCACAUUUUCACAAAUGCUAUUGUGAAGAUAGCUCAUUAUGCAGAAGUGAAGAAGAAGAAUCAGCAUGGUGUUAAUCCUUGUAACAAGAAUGUCAAGUUACCAGCUGUCAUUAGUACCACGUCAGAAGAUCCAAGUCAGCAGCAGUUACCAGCUUAACUAACUUCACAAUGCACACUCUGUAUUUUAUUAUUGUUAGCUGAGUGAGCUUGUGUUUAAUAAUUAGUUAGUGAGCAAUUAGUUAGAGUAUGUAAACCAUGUAUAAAUAGCUACAUAUUCGAGAUUGUUAAACGAUUUGGCCAUCCCAAUUUUCAUACACUAAUGCAUUUGCUCAAACAAGUCAAGUCUAUUAAUAUUUCUCACAAUGUAAAACAACAAGCACUUACAAUCAUUUGUAAAGAAUGUCAAAUGAGAAAAUCACAUAGAUUGCAUUUUCCUGCUACUGAAACCAAAACAACCAAAAUUCUUGAACUAAUACAUAGAGACCUCUAGGGCCCUUCACCUCAUCCUUUCAAAGAGGGUUAUUCAUACUACAUCAGCUUUGCAGAUGACUUUAGUAAGUAUACCUGGAUUUUUCCUUUGAAACUAAAGUCAGCAGCCUUAGAAGUAUUCAAACUCUUCAAACUGCAAGUUGAAAAAUAAUUUGAUACCUCCAUUAAGAUGUUGCAAUCUGAUUAGGAAGGGGAAUAUAGACCAUUCACUAGCUUUUUGAAUCAAUCUGGAAUCCUAUUUAGACACCCUUGUCCUUACACACAUCAUCAAAAUGGGGUAGCUGAAAGAAAGCAUAGACAUGUUGUUGAACUAGGACUCACUUUACUAGCUUAAGCUCACUUACCUUUUAAAUUUUGGUGGAACACCUUUCAUACAGCAGUGUAUCACAUUAAUAGAUUACCCUCUGCCACUCUUCAUUUUGAUACACCCUAUGAGAAAUUGUUCAAUCAUAAACCAGAUUAUAACAUGCUUAGAUGUUUUGGUUGUUGUUGUUAUCCCUACUUAAGAGAUUAUAAUAGACAUAAAUUUGACUAUCAUUCGAGUAAAUGCAUUUUUGUUUGAUAUAGUCCAUCUCACAAAGGGUAUAAGUUUCUUCAUCCUUCUGGAAAAGUAUACAUAGCUAGACAUGUUUUUGAUGAAAAUACAUUUCCUUACUCAAAUAUUUACGAGUCACAGAAAUCCAAUUUUUGCUCUCCUAUUCUUCUUACUCCUCAACAAGUCUAUCAUCUCACUACUCUAUCUGUAACUCCUUUUUUUCCUGAUGGCAGCUUGACUAAUCCUGACUCUGUAAGUUCCAAUUGCAGUGGUUCUGACCACUUGGUUAACUCAGCUUCAACCCAGUACACUAUACCAGAAGAACCUAUAAAAUCUCAUAUUUACCUGUUCAACCUACAUCGUCUCCAUCCACUUCACCUAACAAUCAACCAAUACAUAUUUCAUCCAAUAUACAAACAUCAAUAAUCAUUCAACAACCCUCAUCUCAACCAAACACACACCAAAUGAUCACCAGGAGUAAAGCUGGUAUCUUUAAACCCAAAGUAUACACAACAGUUCUUGAACACAAGGAACCAGAUACAGUUCAUGAGGCAUUACAUGAUCCAAAUUGGUUUGCAGCUAUGAAAAAUGAAUUUGAUGCUUUAACUCGUAACAAUACAGGGUCAUUAGUUCCAAGAACAAGUGAUCAAAAUAUAGUUGGCAAUAAGUGGGUAUAAAGAGUUAAACACAACACUGAUGGCAGUUUAGCUAAGUAUAAAGCUUGGUUAGUGGCAAAGGGUUUUCAGCAGAUUGCAAGGGUGAACUAUUUUGAAACUUUCAGUCCAGUGAUAAAACCAGCCACUGUCAGAGUUGUGCUAAGUCUUGGAGUGAUGAAUCAAUGAUCAAUUAGGCAAGUUGAUACAGAGUGUGCAUUGUGAAGUUAGUUAAGCUGGUAACUGCUGCUGACUUGGAUCUUCUGACGUGGCACUAAUGACAGCUGGUAACUUGACAUUCUUGUUACAAGACUUAACACCAUACUGAUUCUUCUUCUUCACUUCUGCAUAAUGAGCUAUCUUCACAGCCCCCCUCAAACUUAAAGGACAUGGAAAGACAUUGAGUUUGUCCCUUAAGUAAUUGAACUGAGGAGAAGAUAAGGGCUUGGUUAGGAUAUCUGCAAUCUGAUCUUCACUUGGCACAUAACAGAUUUUGAGGUCACCAGCUAACACUUUAUCUCGAAUAAAAUGAACAUCAAUCUCAAUGUGUUUAGUUCUUGAAUGGAACACAAGAUUCUUUGCUAGUUGUGUUGCACUUAUAUUAUCACACCAUAUUGUUGGUCUCUCUACACAGCAUACUCUCAUUUCCAGAAACAAUGAUUUUAACCAAGCUAUUUCUAAAGUAGCUGAAGCAAGUGCCCUAUAUUCACUCUUAGCUGAAGAUUUAGUGACUACUGUUUGCUUCUUCGAAGACCAUGAAAUCAUAUUAUUUCCAAGAUACACACAGUAAGCUCCAAUUGAUUUUCUAUCAUCCAAGUCACUUCCCCAAUCUGCAUCAGUGAAUGAAGUAAGUUUCAUAUCACCAUCCUUAACAAACUUUAAGCCAUAAUCAUGUGUCUCCUUUAGAUAUUUAAGAACCCUUUUGCAAGCCAUAAGAUGUUGCAUAGUUGGUACAGAUACAUAUUGGCUCAGCUUAUGAACAGAAUAAGCAAUUUCUGGUCUUGUCAAGAUCGGGUACUGGAGACCACCUACAAUGCUUCUAUAAUGAGUAGCAUCUUUAACAUAGUAACCCAAUUCUCCUUUAACUAUCUUCUGCAACUUUGAGUCCUUGCCACUACACAUUGGUGUUAUCACUUCUUUACAAUCAAGCAUAUCUACUUUAGCAAGCAAAUCUCUUAUAUACUUCUUCUGAGACAAAUAAAUGCAAUCUUGACCAUACAACACUUAUAUACCAAGGAAAUAAGACAAUCUUCCUAAGUCUUUCAAAGCAAAAAUAGUAUUAAAUUGUUGAAUGAAGCUGUCCAAUUCUCCACUGUUAGGUCCAGUAACUAAUAUGUCAUCAACAUAUAUCAAUACCAUAAUGAGUGACAAUUUAGUUCUUCUUAAGAAUAAAGAAGAAUCAGAUUUGGAAUUUCUGAAACCCCAUUGCAAAAGACAUCCUCUGAGCUUUUCAAACCAAGCUCUAGGAGCUUGCUUAAGACCAUAUAAUGCUUUGUGUAAUCUGCAAACAUAGUUAGGUUUGCUUUUAUCAACAAAUCCUUCAGGUUGCUACAUAGACACCUCUUCUGACAACUCACCAUUUAAGAAUGCAUUGUUGAUAUCCACCUGUCUAAUUAUCCACUGAUUGAUCACUGCAAGAUUAAGAACUACUCUAACUGUUGCUGGCUUUAUCACUGGACUAAAGGUAUCAAAAUAAUUCACACCUUCAAUCUGUUGAAACCCUUUUGCCACCAACCGAGCCUUAUAGUUAGCUACACUGCCAUCAGUAUUAUACUUUAUCCUAUACGCCCACUUAUUCCCAACAAUUUUCUGGUUUUCUGUUCUUGGUACUAAAGACCAAGUUCUAUUUUCGAUUAGUGCGUCAUACUCAUUUUUCAUAGCUGUAAACUAAUUUGUAUCUUGCAAAGCUUCAUAACAGUAUACAUUUUUUGUUUAAAAAUACCUGCUUUUCCUCUUGUCAUCAUGGGGUGAUUGUUUUGUAAAGGUUGAAUAUUGUUUGAGGUUAUUUGAGAUUGAGAUGGUAAUUGAAUUGGAGAAAAAUCUGAAGUGUUUGGUGAGUUUUUUUCAUGAGUAGGUUCAAGAGCAGAAUUAAGAUUUGGUGUUUGAAGUUGGGUACCCUCAUUUGCUUGGAGGUGAUCUGCUAGUGGGAACAGUUCUGUGCUGUUGGAACAUGUUGGAGGACAGGAUUCAAAACUGCUAUCACAAGGAUUUGACACAACAUGAAGAGUGGACAAAUGAAAAACUUGAUGAGGAGACAAAGUAUAGCUACAUAUUGGUUGUAUUUUGCUUUCAUAAUUGAAAUUAGGAUCUGAAGAGAAAGGAAAUGCAUUUUCAUCAAAUAUGACAUGCCUUGCUAUGUAUAUACGAUCAGAAUGAUGCAGACAUUUAUAUCCUUUGUGAGCAGGGCUAUAACCAAUGAAUAUGCAUUUACUUGUGUGAUAAUCAAACUUAUGGUUAUUGUAAUCUCUCAAGUAUGGAUAGCAAGCACAUCCAAAACAUUUCAGCAUCUUAUAAUCAGCUUUAUGUUUGAAAAGUUUUUCAUAUGGUGUCAACAUUUUAAGAGCUGAAGUUGGUAACCUAUUGAUAUGAUAAACUGAAGCAUGGAAAGAAUCCCACCAAAAAUUCAAAGGAAGCUUAGCUUGAGCUAACAAUGUAAGACCCAAUUCUACCACUUGUCUGUGCUUUCUCUCAACUAAGUCAUUCUGAUGAUGAGUAUGUGGACAAGAGUGCCUAAAUAAAAUAAUUUAAAAAUUCAGUGAAUGAUCUGUAUUCUCCCCUCCAGUCAGAUUGUAGUAUCUUAAUGGUUGUUUGGAACUGGUUUUCAACUUGCAACAUGUAUAGCUUAAAAACUUCUAAAGCUUCUUAUUUUAAUUUCAAUGGGUAAAUCCAAGUAUAUCUAGUGAAAUCGUCAACAAAGCUAAUAUAAUAUCUAAACCAUUCUCUUGAAAUAACUGGUGAGGGACCUCAAAGAUCAGUGUGUAUAAGUUCAAGUGCUGAUUUGGUUUUGAUUUCUGUAAUUGGGAAGUGCAAUUUGUGUAUUUUACCCAACUGACAUACUUCACAGAAAUGCUAUGUUGCUUGUUUAACCAUAUUCAUAGAGAACUUAUCAGUAUGAUGAAGUUUGAGUAAAUGCAAUAAGCUUUGAGAAUUUGGGUGGCCAAAUCUUCUGUGUAAAAGAGCUAUUUUAUUAGGCUUAUCAGAACAUACAUCAAUACCAUUCUAUAAACAAAUGUUUGGAUUAUUUAUGAACUCUACAUAUGGCAUAUGAGAAGCAAGGUGACAGAAUGAUAACAUUGACAGAGGUUUAUUGGCUUGACUAUGAGACACAACAGAUGAUGACUCAAAAUUCUUGGUGGAAGACAUAAGUUUGACCAGCAGUUUAUACAAUCCUUUCUCAGCAAUGCCCUGCAUUAGAACUUGUCCCUUCAGCAAAUCCUUCACAACACAAAAUGAUCCAAGAAAUUCAACAGAAAUGUCAUUGUCAGUGGUAAGUUUGGAAAUGCUUAUUAGGUUCUUUGUGAUAGAGGGAACGAGCAAAAUAUCUUUAAGUGCAAUAUGUGAAUCUGCAGGUUGAGAUUUUGAACUCUUGAAUGAAAAAUAAGAAUCACCAAUAUGAGUUAUUGAUAAACCUUCACCAUUACCAAUAAUGAGCUUAUUAUUACCUCUAAACUCAUCUCUAAUAUUCAGAUUUCCCAUGUUGUUGGUCAGAUGAUGAGUGGCACCACUGUCCAGGUACCAGCCUUCAUCUGCAGGUCCUUCACAAUGUGCACCAGAAGUAGCUCCAGCCUAGGGUAUACCAGAAUAGUCAGAUACACAAGAAUGUCCAGAAUGUGACAUUUGUAAUCUAGUACUAUUGACAGGCCAUGGAUCAUCAUUUGUUGAAUAGUAAGGCAUGUAUGCAGGUUCAUAAUUAGCUAUAUAAGCAGACUUUGAACCUUUUUCUCUCUGAAAUUGUCUUGGUGGCUGAGGUAUGUAAUUUUCUUCAAAUUUGUGCCAACAUUCAACAGCUGUAUGUCCUGCUUUGAAGCAAAUCUGACAUGUAUUCAUGGAAUCAUCACUGUUGGAUGCUUGUGAUUCAAAAGAAGGCAAAUUACCAGUACCAGAAAAACCAGUACUUCUAAAUGAACCUCUUCCAGAAGAACCAAAUCUAUUACUUCCCAUCAUCAUUUGAUUUCUUCCAUGAUUACCAAAAUGACCAGUUCCAACAGGAAAACCUCUUGGAUGUGAGUUUAAAAAUAUUCAUCUAUCAUUAAACAUGCCAUUUCUACCACCUGAAUGACCAUUAUAAUUGCCCUGGAAACCUCUUGUAUAUCCUCCUCUCCUAGCUUGACCUCUUAUUUGAGCAUAGUAUGCAUUCAUCAUACUAUUAUUAUUCCAGUUAGACAUAUUAGCAUAGUUUGCAUUAAACAUGUGCUUUUCACUUUGACUUUGUUCAAGUCUGGCUUCAUGAGUGAGUAAUAAAGCACAAGCAUCAUUAUAAUCCAAUUUGCUUGCUGUGAUAAAAGUAGUUAACUCCAAAUAGCCAGCUCCUAAACCAUUGAGAAUUUAUUGCAACAUAUCUCUAUCUAAUACAGGACUACCAGCACACGCCAAUUUGUCUGUAACUUGUUUCAUUUUUAAGCAAUAUUCUUCAAUACUUAGUAAUUCUUUUCUUAAGACACUCAUCUCAUACUUAAGUUGAAGAACUCUACCCUCAGAUUGUACACCAAACCUUUUCUUUAAUGUUUUCCAUACAUCAAAUGAAGUAUUACAUGAGUGAACUAGACUGAGAAUACCUUCAGUUGUUGAGCUAAGAAGCCAGCUGAGUAAUGUUUGAUCUUGAGAUCUCCAAACUGUGUAUUCAGGAUUCUCGAUCUGUUGAGAAGAUCCAGCAACUCCAGAAGUUGCUCCAGCAAAGCUUGAUGAUGCUAUAAAUCGAUUUGGUGCAAUCUUUUCUCCAUUAAUGUAUCCUUCAAGUCGAUUUCCUCUAAUGGAGGCCAGCACUUGAUUUUUCCAAAGCAUGUAGUUAGAUCUAUCUAAUUUGAUUGGUGUGAUGAAAGAAAAAGUUGUUUGAUUUGUAGCUACUGUAUUUUGAUUGCUUGAGGUUGCCAUGAAUGGCUCUGAUACCAUGAAGAAAUUGUAAAAGUUGAUAAGUGCUGCUAUUUGGCAACUGAGAAAAAUAGAGGAAAAUUUCUUAUUUCAUUAAUGAACUGAUAUUUUGUACACAUUAACAAUCUCGAAUAUGUAGCUAUUUAUACAUGCUUUACAUACUCUAACUAAUUGCUCACUAACUAAUUAUUAAACACAAGCUCACUCAGCUAACAAUAACAAAAUACAGAGUGUGCGUUGUGAAGUUAGUUAAGCUGGUAACUGCUGCUGACUUGGAUCUUCUGACGUGGCACUAAUGACAACUGGUAACUUGACAUUCUGGUUACAAGGCUUAACACUAUGCUGAUUCUUCUUCUUCACUUCUGCAUAAUGAGCUAUCUUCACAAUAGCAUUUGUGAAAAUGUGGAGAUUCGCACUCAAGAAUGAUUAAAUCUAACUGAGAAUGUAUUCAUGUAACUCAAUUAAUUUCAUGCUAAUUAAUUAUGUGGUCAGGUGGUGGAAGAAAACAGGACUUGGGGAGAGGUUGAAUUUUGCAAGAGACAGAAUAAUGGAGAAUUUCUUCUGGACCGUAGGGGUGAUAUUCGAACCGGAUUUUGGAUAUAGUAGACGGAUGUCUACAAUGGUCAACGCCUUAAUAACAACAAUAGAUGAUGUUUAUGAUGUCUAUGGGACUUUGGACGAACUUGAACUUUUCAGGGAUGCAGUUGAGAGGUUACUUUUAUUUAAUGUCAUUUCUAUCCGUAUGAUUGUGUAUGGAAAAUGAUUUAGUGAGGAUUAGUACUCAUCGUAUGAUAAACACUUGGACACAUGAUAUAAUUUUGUGAUUCCUAAUGAAUAUUGUUAAAAUUAUGAAGUAAUUAUAUAAAUUAUGUGAUAGUAUUGCCCAACAUAAAGUGAGCACAUUAUUCACUAGAUCAUUACUCAAGAAUUUAUAAAUUUAUACACCUCUCUUAUUUUAAUUUAGUUGUAUUACAUUGUUAGGUGGGACGCUACUACAAUAGAGCAACUUUCAGACUAUACGAAGUUGUGCUUUCUUGCUCUCCAUAAUUCCAUAAAUGAAAUGGCUUUUGAUGCUCUUCGGGAUCAAGGAGUUGGCAUGGUCAUUUCUUAUCUUAAGAAAGCGGUACUAGUAGAUUAAACCUUUCAUUUUGAUUAAGGAAUAUUAUUCUCCAAUCACCUUAAGAAUAUCAAAAAGUUUAAAUAACUGCUAUGAUAACUAGUAUUAUCUCUACAUCAUUUCAAGUUUUAAUUUUAUGUAAACCGAUCACUUUUGUCUUAACUCCGUUAGUCACUAUUAAAAUAAUAUAAGAUAAAAGAUUAUUUUGCACCACCAAUUUACCAUGUGUUUUUCAUUUUAGGGUAAAUUGGUCUUUUACCUUAAAUUAUUUAAUGAUAGCUAUAGAGUUAAUAAAAAAAUGCCUGGUUGAUAUAAAAUUAAAAUUUGAGUUAGUGCCAAGAUAUCAUUUGAAAUUUAUGGUGACUAAUUAUAUUUAUAAUAUUCUUGAGGUGCUUGGAAAUUAUUUCCCUUUAAUUAAUUUAAUUUAUGCUUUUGUAUUUGAUAUUAUAUUAAUCAAUUCGAUAUACAAAAAUAAAACUUUCAGUGGGCAAAUCUAUGCAAAACAUAUUUAGUGGAGGCCAAGUGGUACGACAACGGCUACAUACCAACACUCCAAGAGUACAUGGAAAAUGCUUGGAUUUUGGUAGCAGCACCUGUAAUUCUAGUCCAUGCAAACACUUCUACAGCAAAUCCAAUAACAACGGAGGGCUUGGAAUUCAUGAAAGAUUAUCCCAACAUAAUUCGUUGGUCAUCAAUAAUUCUACGACUUGCAGACGAUUUGGGAAAAUCAUCGGUACAAUUAAUUCAUUUUUAAUAUUAAAUUUGUUAUGGAAGAUAUCUCAUAUCCACUGACAACAUAAUAUAUUCUUAUUAUUAGUUGAGGAAUUAUUCUCAGCAGUAUAGGAUAUUCUCCAUAACAAAUUGUAGUACUCACAAUCUGAUUAUUAGAUAAUUAGUUAAUUGUUAAUGUUGUUGACAAUACGUUUGAUUGAAUUAAUUAUUAGGAUGAACUGAAGAGGGGAGAUGCUCAUAAAUCAAUUCAAUGUUACAUGCAUGAAGCUGGAGUCUGAGAGAGAGAGGCUCGUGAACAUAUACAUGAUUUGAUUGCUCAGACAUGGAUGAAGAUGAACCGUGAUCGAUUUGUAAACCCACAUUUCGUGUCUGACGUUUUUGUUGGGAUUGCAAUGAAUUUGGCGAGGAUGUCUCAAUGCAUGUACCAAUUUGGAGAAGGUCACGGACACGGUGUUCAAGAAAUUACUAAAGCUCGUGUUUUAUCUUUAAUUGUUGAUCCCAUUGCUUAAUUAAUUAUAUAUAACUAAGCCUUGAAUAAAAGAAAAACAUGAUGAUGCUCCGGCUAAUAAUAAUUCAAUAAAAUGAUAUAUAUGGUUACAUACUGAGAUCCUUUUGUUUGCAAUUUUUUUAUUUUUAUAAAUAAAUGUUGUUUCAAUUUCCUAUCUCAUUGUCAUCUUUGUAGUACUUUGCAGGAAAUCGUUUCAGCAUUUUUCAUUUAGAUAUUUGGAUUAAAAAAGUGACAAAGCACUAAUAAAAUGAACUAUAUAACAUCGUCAAUUAACGUACACUAUAACACUACAAGGCAUUAUUUAUUAACAUUUUAUCAGCCUUUAGUCCCUUUAGCAAUUUUCAUUUAAAAAUUAUAUAUCUCAGGGCAUACUGUCUACAUACCGACUUUUUUUCAUUUGAUAGAAAUAUCUAAAUAUAAUUUUUUUAGGACCAAUAAGCUCUUAAAAUUUCAGAGGCAACUUAUGUCGGCGGCUGUAGCUGGUGGCACCUUUAGUUGUUUCUCUUCGAGCUCGUUGAACGUGGCGUUGAAAGCUUUCUUCUUUAGGCAGUUUGUCACCCAAUAGUCCACAUUACAAAGGUAGUAGUUAUGCUUACGCUUGACUUUCUCCUUACCGUCCUUCAAACUAUCCUUCUUUUGUGACAGUUUUUCCUAGCCAUCAUAAUGUGGUAGCUUCUCUCCUUUUAAUUUGCACCUCCACAUUUCCUAUGUUGGGGCUUAUCAUCCUUUUUUGGCUUAGAUGAUUCAUCAUUUCGAAAUUCUACAAGUAUAUCUACCUCAGUGAGGGCAGUGGAGGUGUCAUUCACUCGGUACCAUUGAAGCUCCCGUUGUGCCCAUGGUUAGAGUCCUUCCAUAAAGAUGAACAACAAGUCAUUUGGGCUCAUGUUCUCAAGAUGGACCCUGUAUGCUUCAGUUCUCUCAUCUUUUUGUUAGCCUCUUGCGCUACACUCCCUGGAUAAAAUUGCUUCUUUGGCUAGCGCUUGAACAAGUCCCAUGUGUUGAUAAUACAUAUCCUGCGUAUAAUCUUUGCAUGCUUCUAUUGCCACCAAGUAGUUGUGUGAUCUUCAAGAUACCCCAUCGUAAUAUUUACCUCUUCUUGCUCGAAUUGAACAUUGGUGGUUUCGAAGUACCUCUCUAUGGACCACAGAAAAUUGUCAAUCUCUUGGGCAUUUCGUUUGCCCUUGUACCUCUUUGGUCUCAGGAACCUCAAUCUUUAUUAAAGGUACGACAGUAGUGGUGAGCACUUCGCUGGCCACCGCCUACUUUCAAAGUGCCCUAUUGCUCUUGGUCUCCUUAUGACCCGUGUAAAGCUCCUCCACAUGAGCUCUUAGCCCCUCGAUUUAGUUCAUCACUUCAGCUUGGAACUUCUUGAGACUUUAGUGUUGCACCAUCAUGUCUUGGCUUAAGUCAACCAUUUGUCCCUCAAGAUUAUCAAUCUCUUUCAUCUUUUGCUUGAAGAUCUCGAGGCGCUCCUUUAUCUCAAAGACAACAAUCUCCCUACGAACAACCCAAUUCUCAAUGGCGUUCAGCCUAUCCACGGACUUCUCCUUAUUGUUCUUUCUCUUUUUCAAGUAGGGAUUUUGGUCCCUACCCUUUGGUCAUCAUAAGUGAGGUCCGACAUUCUUCCUUUUAAAUGACGCAAUUACCCCAAGAGUGAUUACGACUUUGAUACCAACUAUCACGACCCUCUUGAUCCCUCACUGAAUCGCAGGGCCGUAGGUGCUAAAUCUCACUCUCUUGGUCCUAAGUCAACCUUGGUCACUCACAACGUUACUGGAUUCGAAAGUGGGAAAGAGUAUUCACUCAAACUUGCUCAAGAUGGGAGGAAAGAACUCUAUUACUCAAGGAAAGCUUAUAGUGCUUUUAAGUAAUGUUAGUGCUGGAUUUCUUGUGUGUGUUGAGCCAAAUCAGGCCCCUCCUAUUUAUAGGGUACAAGGAAAUGUCUAGAUGAUGCUUUAAAACUAUCUACCUAUCUCAAUAAUUACAUGGAGCUAUCUACAAGCUACCACAUGCGUUACAUAAGUGUAGAAAGCCUCCAUGGUUUUAGAACCUUCAUGAGUGGUUGCACUUUUGAGCCUCUCCCAUGAUGAUUUCUUGCUCUAGCUUGCUGGCCAAAAAAGGCCUCGUUAUGGUUCACACUUUCUUUCUCCUUUAGACUUACUAUCACUUGCCUAUGAUUCUGUGAUGCAAAAGUAAAUUGUUUUAUUGAUGGAUAAGGAGGCUUUUUAUCAACAUUGCCAUUUUAGAGUCAGAGUAUUUUGAGCCAAGGGCGUGUGACAUCUGAAAUACUUGAUCUUCAUCUAACAUAGGCUUGCUGAUUGUCGUAAGUUUGUCACAAAGCCCUUUCAAUUUCUUAAGGAAUUCUUUAAGCUCUAAGGAACCCUUCUUUAAAGAGUAAAAGUUAUUCUUCAACCAAAAUUAUUGUUCUUUAGUUGCAGAAGCAUGUGCUCUUCAACAAAUAACCAAAUAUCUCUAGUGGAAAGGCAUCCAACUAUAAUGGUCAUUAUAUCUUCGUUCAUCAUUCCCUGAAGCCAAGGCAUGAGUAAUCCAUCAUUAUUUUGCCAAAUAGUAAACUCAGGAUUGUUGACCUUUUUUCCAUCUAGAAAUAUUUCUUGGUGGAACUGUUUCAUCAUUGAUAUGAUGCUCUAGAUCAAGGCUUCUUAUGAGUGGCAGUGACAGGACUUGCGACUUCAAAAGAAGGUAUUAUUGUUGUUGAGUUUGAUGGAAAUUAGGCUUGCACAAAUGACUGGAUCGAGAGUUUGGGCUUAGUUUGUAUUUUCGUAGCCAUAGGCUCUGAUACCAUAAAGAAAUAUAGGAUUGAUUGAAAACAAUUUGUUUUCUUGUUUUUGUAUUUGCUCGAUCAUUACAUUAUAUACACAGAUUAUCAAAAUCAAGCUUGCACAAAUGAAAGGUUCUCAAAAUUGUAUCAAUUACACUAACUUCCGAGAAUCAUGACGUUGAGCGCUUUAUAUCAAAAUUGGCUUGUGGCCGUUGGACUCCUUCAAUCAUGUACACUGAUUUCUCUUGUGUCCGUUAGAAGUGUAUACCAGCGUCGUUCUUUCCUUAAUCUGUCCUCAGUAAACCCUUUAGCUAAGGCAACAAUACUGCCAUAUUUGUCACAACUGGUGACCUUGGUUCUUGUUGAUUUGUCUGAUGCUUUUGUUGCUUAUCAAUUACAAUAGCGUAGUUUUUAUUUUCUCACUACAACCACCAAAAUAAUUUUAAAACCCUAGACCUUUUAUCUUUAAUAUUUCACUUAAGCCAUAACUAAAAGCUAGUUACAGAAGAAUAUCCAAGAUUUUCAUUGAAUGAAAAAUAUUACAGAUUGGAUCAGAAAAAAUAGAAACCAUGAGAUCUCUACGCUUGUGAUCGACAAAAGAAAUCUGGGAUGUAAAUUGUUAAGAUGAAAAUAAUAUUAGUUUAUCUAUAAAUUAUUAAUGAGUGUAGUCAGUAGGUGUCUAGAGUAGAAAUUAUCAUAAAAUUGUUUUUAAUGGUAAAUUAACAUGUGGGUAAUUUAGGAAUGAGUGAGGUUAUUUGCACUCUGCAAUGUACUUCAAAUAUUCAUUUUGUUUAAAAACAUUAUUUACUAAACUAGAAAAUUAAAUGUUUACUUAAUCAAUUUAUCAAAAUUCCAAAAUUAAACUCAAAUUCAUGAUUCAUCUCUUUGUUUUUCUUUUCCUCACGACAAUUAGCCAGUCACUUAUUAUUAUAUUGGGAUAUCAAAAGCUCUUUCUCGUUUGAGAGUUUCCAGAAUAUGGGAGCUCUCACUCGUGAUCAACUUUAAUUAUUUUUUUCAAAAUAACAUGUUAAUUCUCUCAUAUUCUUACAUAACUCCUUACAGACAAUAAAAACCUCCAACAACACCACUAUGUUGGCCUUUUAAAUUAAGUGGUUGUAGGUGUAUUUUGUAUAAUGAAAGCAACUAUUAAUCAUUCAAAACUUAAUCGGCAGCUCAGUUUGUUUUUGGGCCUUUGAUUUGCUUUGGCCAACUCUACUAGUUCAAGGAAAAGCCCUUUUAUUACUCAAUUCUCUAGUCAAGUCUUCUCUAUAACAUGCUUAUAUGUAAAACAAAAAAUUAAUUCUACCAAGUUGAUUUUUCAUUUAUCCCAUUAGAUAAACAACCAUUUUCAAAGUCUCAAUGAAUAUGACUGAAUGGUUCAGUAUGGCCAAUAAUAGACAAAAUCGCAAAAAAGAUAUGAGGAACGAGUGAGGAGGAGUGAUAUUUGAUUUGUAUAGAUUAGUUCGUCCUUAAGACCUAGCACAGAUAAGUGGGUUUGAGCUCCGCUCAAGAAAGUAAAUUCCAAAAAUUAAAGAGAAAAUUAGGUAAAUUUCUAAUUAGAACCCAUUAGAUCUGCAAAAAUACUCCUUGUUGGAUUUAUAAAAAUAGUCCCCAUAAACAUAAAAAACCCUUAAAAAUUAAUUUUUAACUACAUAAAGAGAGGAAGAUAUUUGGUUUGUAUAGAUUAGAUCGUUCUAAAGAUCUAGCACAUGACCAGUGGGGUUUGAGUUUCGCUCCAGAAAAUAAAUUCUAAAAAUUGAAGAGAAAAUUACUUGAGUUUCUAAUUGGACCCCUUCAAAUCUAUAAAAAUAUUCCUUGUUGGAUUUAUAAAAACAGCCUCCCAUCAACUCAUAAAUUCAUAAAAAUUAAAUUUUAACUAUAAGAAUUAUAAAAGUCCACUCUUUAAAUAAAAGCCCACAAUAACUCAUAUGGGUGGUCUUACUAUUAUUUAAUUAAUCCCUUUAUUAAAUCUAUUAGAAAAAAAUGAACCUCCAUAAACCUGAAAACCCCUAAAAUUUUAGUUUUUACAUCUUGUUCUUAUGUAUUCUAGCCUCCGGUAAAUUAUUUUUCUAGAUCCAUCACUCACAUAGAACCCCUUUUUACUAUUAUAUUCUUUGAUCAUUAUCUAAGUAUAUACUUACUGUAAACUGACAUAGAUACAUACACACAUAACAUAAAAAUAAUAUAUAAAUAUCAUAUUAAAAGUAAAAUAUUACAAUAAGUAUAGUUAAACAAAUUUACAUAUAUCUACUAAAAAGUAUUUUUAUAAUUAAUAAAAUAACAUAAAUAUUGAAAACUAAAUUUUAAUAUUAAGCGAUUAUCAGAUUAUCGUGAUUGAAUUUAUUAAUACUAAAAUACAUUAAUCUAAAAAUUGAAUAUAAGAUAUAUACUAAUAUAGACAUAACUAAAAUUUUAUUGUAAAUAAAAUAAUGCAAAAACUGACUUUCAGAUUUAUAAUUUCACAAUAGCGAUAAUAAUAAUUUGAAUAUGGUUAAAUAAAGAGAAAAAAAACAACAACAAAAAGAAUAAAAUAAUACUAAAAUGAUAAAAUUAAUUAGUUGUUUGUUUUGGUUACCAUUGAUGAUAACGCAACAAGAUAUUAAAGUCAAUAGUUAAUAAAAGUAAACAUAAUAUGAUUUAUAUAAUGCUUAUUCAUGGAAGCAUCAUAAAGGCCACUAUAACGCAUUUCUCAAUAUUCAUUCAUAUAUAUAGGGCCUCAUGUAUUUCUUAUGCAUCACCUCCUUUUAAUUUUAAUUAAGUUGUUUACAAUUAAGUUUAGAAAUUAUAACAUGUCGAAGAGUCUCGGUUUCAUUAUCUUGGCUUUGCUUUUGGUUGCAAGCACUGAAAACUCACAUGUUUCAAGCACUAGUACCGGCCAAGAAUCUAAUUCUGCAACAUCACCUGAUAGCGACAAGUGCUUUGGGCUUACACCAGAAGAAUGUUACAAUAAGUAUCACCAUGAUAGUCAAGACUACACCAUCAUCUAUAACCCAUGAUUUUGUUAAAUAGUUUUCCUCUUAUGCCAAAUGAAUACUUUUGCAAUAACCAUCAAUUGUAAAGAAAUUGAUGCUAUAUUUUAAUAAAAGAAGGAAUUAAUCCAUUAUGAGCAUGUGAUAUGUUGUGUUUGUUACAUGGUAUUGAUUUGUUGUAUGUAAUUUAUCAUUUGACCCCUAUAAUUUUUCUUCCCAACCCCUUGAACAAAUAUUUACAGAGGAGUAGCUCAACAUGUUUGAAGAUUUUAAUUUCAAUGAGGUAUGUGUGAUCCAUUUGAUCUCUAGUUUAGCCUUGCAACACAGAAAGUACAAUUGUUUAAUUAUAAUCUUUCGGAUGCUACUUUCAUGCCCUUUUUUUGUCUUUCCAACUAGCAAGCAAGAGUCUGCUAAAAGCAAUGUGAUGUAAGUGAUAACCAUUUUUGCUUAAUUGAUUUAUUUGUUUGAUUUAUAAUGUUUAUUUCUUGUGAUCUUUUGAAUGGUGAAAUCUUUUGAUCCGAGUUGUUGGCUCAUCUAGUUUUGUUGUCGAUCAUUAUUUGUUUAUUGGCAAAAUUGAUUAUCUAACCAAAUACUAUAUCUAUCUGCUACUAGGGUGUAAUUAUUUGUACUUUAAAAACACUUUUAACACCAAUAUUUUACCCUUCUUAAUUUCUAAACUUCUGUCAAUACUUCUACUCUAAUAUUUUAGAGGGGGUGUCAUUUGUCUAUAUAUGUAAUUUGCGGUUUUCUAUUGUCUCUAUUCCAGUAUUGUGGUUUUUAUUAGUUAUUUUAUUUUAUUACUAUUUUUAUUUUAUUUUCUAUGUCACUUUUUUGUGAUGUCACUUUUUGCCCGCUAUGCAUAGAGUUUAAUUUAAAUCCAAAAAUUUGGAAUAAUGCUUUCACAAUAAUGAUAAUAAUUUCAAUAGAUUAAAUAAAGAGAAAAAAUCUGACAUAUAAAUUAAAUAAGAUAAUAACACUAAAAAUGACAAAAUUAAUUAGUUGUGCAAGUUAAUAAUUAAUAAAAAUAAAAGCAUCUUUAAUGCUCAUUCAUGGAAUCAUCAAUAUUUGAGCUGAUACUGAAGGGAAAUAAGCCUAAGUCUGUAAGGAGACAAUGUGGUGGAGCACGAUUUAAUGCUUGAAUUUGAUGCAGAUGGAAGUAUUGAGACUGUUAAUUUUCGCCUUCUUGCUUUCUCUUCCUUCUAUAUAUAUAUAUAUAUAUAUAUAUAUAUAUAUAUAUUCUUUAGCAGAAAUGGAGAGAAGAAGAGCAUCGGAUUUUCUAUUCACAAGAUUUUUUUAAAAUUUGGUUAAUCUACGGUUUUCUUUUGGUUACCUUUGAGUAACAUGCUCUUUAAUUAUUUUAUUAUUUUCAUUUCAUUUUAUGUGUCACUAUUUUGGAUGUUAUAUUUUUCGCUUGCACGCUAUGUCUAGAGAUUAACGAGUUCGUUUAAAUUUGAAUAGUAUUUCACAAAAUACCAAUAUUUAUAACAAGCAUUAAAUAAAGAGAAAAAAAACCAAGUGAUAAAUUCAACAAAAAGUAAUACUAAAAAAAUGAUAAAAUUGAUUAGAUGUAUGUUUCAAUUACCAUGAAUGAGAACACAACAAGAUAUUAAAGUCAAUAGUUAAUGCAAAUAAAUGCACUACGACUUAUUCAAUACUCAUAAAUAGAAUCAACAACCUCAUAAAAUCCAUUAUACCUCAUUUCUCAAUAUUCAUUUAUAUAUGCAGAGCCUCAUGUGUUUGCUAUUCUUUACCUCUCUUUUAAUUCUCAAUAGGUUGUUUAUGUUUCAAUUUAGAAAAUAUAAAAUGUCAAAAAGUAUUGGUUUCAUCAUCCUAACUUAUUCAAUACUCAUAAAUAGAAUCAACAACUUCAUAAAGUCCAUUAUACCUCAUUUCUCGAUAUUCAUUUAUAUAUGCAGAGCCUCAUUUGUGAGUUAUUCUUUACCUCUUUUUUAAUUCUCAAUAGGUUGUUUAUGUUUGAGUUUAGAAAAUAUAAAAUGUCAAAAAGUCUUGGUUUCAUCAUCCUGACUUAUUCAAUACUCAUAAAUAGAAUCAACAACCUCAUAAAGGUCAUAAUACCUCAUUUCUCAAUAUUCAUUUAUAUAUGCAGAGCCUCAUAUGUUUGUUAUUUUUUACUUCUCUUUUAAUUCUCAAUAGGUUGUUUAUGUUUCAGUUUAGAAAAUAUAAAUUGUCAAAAAGUCUUGGUUUCAUCAUCCUGACUUCCUUGUAGUAGCAAGCACUUAAUACAUACUUAUUUCAAGCAUCAAUGUACUGAUCAAGAAUGUAAACUGUAUGUUUCAUUAUGUAACAAUUUUGCAACAUCACCAAAUAGUGGCGGCUGCUUGGAACUUACAAUUAAAGAAUCUAUCCUAACUCCCUUGAGAAUGAUUACGCCUUAUACCCCUAGAGCUUGUUAUUGGAUGCCAAUGAUUUUUUUAAAUAGUUAUUUGUCUUUUGCCAUAUGAAUAAUUUUGUUAUAACCAUCAAUUGUUGAGAAAUUGAUCCUAUAUUUUAAUAUAAUAAAGAAUUAAUUUAUUAUAAGCAUAUGAUAUGUUGUGUGUGUUAUAUUGUAGUACUAAUUUAUUGUAUAUCUUUGAAUCAAUUUAUGAGAGAGCAUUCAGUUAAAUAUUAAUAAUAAUCAAACGAUUAUAAUUACUUUAUUAGGACCAUUUGUCCUAUAUAGGAUUUGAGUCCAAUGCUUAGCCAAGCUUUUUGAUAGUUUUUGUUCUAUUUCAGUCUCUAUACAUGCUAAUUAAUGAUUUGCUUCUCUUGGCCUUUCUCAUUUUGGUUGGAGCUGGCAAUGUUCUUACUCAAACUCCAAGCCCUCGCUGAUUUCACCUCUAAAAAAGUUUGCUAUUCUCAAUAUGAGCGGUUGCAAAAGCUUGAAAAGUCUUUAAGAUAGAAUUUAUUUGGAAUUUCUUAAUAUCUAGGAUGAUUAAAAAAAUAAUUUCAUAGUUCCAUACAUUCAUGAAAUAAAAAAAAACCACAAAAUUGAAAGAAAAAGGGGAAUAAAACCAAGAAAACGAUAUUAUUUUCAUUAGGCUAUUAAGAGAAACUAAAUCUUAACCAUUAAAAUUCAUAAAAAGCACAUGUCACAGUAUUUUACAAAAGCUAAUAAAAAUUUAGCUAAACACCAAAUCUAAAUCCUUUUUUUUUUAUGUCUAUCUCCAAUUAGGGUUAUUUAAAAUAUAAACAGUACUUUAACAUGCAUAUUUUACUCUUUUUUAUAUUUUUAAUCUGUCUUUUAAUACAUUUUUAUUUUCUAUUUUAAUAUUUAAGAGGUGGGAUUAAUUUUUCUACAUGUGAUUUGAUUUAAGGACACUUAUGUAAUAAAAUAUUUUAUAAAAUGAAAGGUGCUCUUAGCAAAUUUUAAUGUCCAUGAAUCCAAAUCCUUUGAUGACAUUACAAAAUAAAUAAACAAGUAGAAAAAUGGAUUAAGGUCACACCAACUUACAAUUACAAAUAUAAAAAAAAAAAUCAUAUUUCAAUACAAUUUAGCUUUUACUAGUUAUUUUGUUUUAUUAUUAUUUCAUUUUCUAUGUCACUUUUUUUUAUGUCAUAUUUUUCACUUGCACGCUAUGCCUAGAUAUUAAUGAACUCAUUUAAAUACGAAUAACAGGAAUAAAACUUUACAAAAUAAUAAUAUUUAUAAUAAUAAGUGGAAAACAAUUAAAUAAAGAUAAAAAAUCUAAGACAAACUCAAUUUAAAAAAAUAAUAAAAAUGAUAAUAUCAAUUAGUUGUAUAUUCAAUUACCAUGCAUGAUAAUGCAACAAGUUAUUAAAGUCAACAGUUAAUUAAAAUAAAGGACCUGAGCAAGGCCCCAAAAAAUCAGCAUGAACAUAAUCCAAACUUGUUUAGAUGUGUGCAGUCCCUUUGUGAAUUUGGACCAAUGUGCUCUUCCAAAAAUUUUGUUUUCACUGAACUCUACCUCAUGUAUCUUAUCACCACAAAGAAACCCUUGCUUGCUUAGCUUUUGCAUCCCCUUGACACUUAUGCAUCCAAGUAUAAGAUACCGUGACUUAGUUCUAUCUACUUUAGAACAUCAGGUAUUGUAGCUAACAUAGGUACUGGUGACCCUUCUAACACAUAAAGACAAAUUGUCUUUACACCUUUCAUUACCAUUUCAGUCCCUUUAAUAAUCCUCAAACUAUCAUUUUUAGACAUAAAGAAGUAUCCUGGACAAUCCAGCAUACCUAAAGAGCAUAAAUUUCUCUUUAGCCUAGGUGCUUGCCUCACAUUAUAUAAAGUUCUUCUAAUCCCAUCAAUCAUUCUAAUUUUGAUAGACCUUAUACCAACAAUCUUACACAUUGUUGUUUCCCAUCAAGACUCUACUACCAUCUACAGACUCAUAAAAGAGACUUCUACCAGGACACAAAUGAAAAGAACACCUUGAGUUAAGGAUCCAUUGACUUCUUAUAUUGCUAUUUGAAACCACCAACAAGUCAGCACUACGAUAUCAAUCAUCCGAACCCAUUGUUGCGUCCCUUGUUCUCUCUUUCUCAUCCUUUUUUCUUUUCAUCACAAUCUCUGAUGUAAUGGCCUUGUCAUUUUACAUUAAAGCAUUUCCUCAUUUUGCAUCUUCUCUUGUUUUGAUCUACCAAUAAUAUUAUUUGUAUAUAGUUUUAUGCAUCACCACAUGUUUUAGGCCAUAUUAUCAGCUUCUACUUCAGAUUGUAGUUCUCUAAAACCAAGAAGAACUUUUACUAUUUUGUAAUGUGGGCUACAGAAAUGGCUAAAAAAGAAGGAAUAAUAAGAUGAACAAAAUAUAUGCUUGGAAAAACAAUAGAGAUCUUUUGGGAAUUGCAAUGUGUUUUAUAUAUUUUUCCCUUUUUUAUUUUUUCUUUUUUCAUUAUCAUAUUUAUUUAUUUAUUUUGUCAAUGAUGGAUAAGUGAUGGAAAACAUAAAAUAUAUGGUAAUGCUCCAAAUUGAAGUAGGAUAUGAUAAUACGUUAACAAAUAAUUUUUUUUUAAUAGGUUCAAAAGGGGUGACUAUGGAUAUUUCACAAUGAGGAUGGCCAGAAGAGACUCAAAUGGAUCAAACAUGAACUUCUGUCAUUUGUUAAAGAUCUAAAUAGUCUUUAUAUCUGCUAGUUCAAUAGACUUUUAGACGUAACAACACACAAUUCUUUUCAUUGGUCAACUCAAAAGAAAAAGAUAGAGAUUAUGUAUAAAAUAAUAAACUAGUAAGCUAUGGAAAAAGGUUGCUCUCUAAGAUAAAUAAUAGAUUCAAAAACUCACUUGAACCUUAUUUUGACGUGUACGUUCUUUCAAGUAGCUCAAUGAAUUUCACUCAUCAAUUUCUCAAUUCACACAUCUAACCAACGUCAAUUUGCAAAGUGGCAAAUAUGGUGUAACAUAAUUCAAACACUACUAGAAAAAUGGUCUUUACUGACUUUAGAAUAGUGUCAGAAAUUACUUUCACUGACACUUAUUAAUUGUGUCAGUAAUCUGGGAGUCAGAAAAAUAGUGACACUUGUAAGUGGUGUCAGUGAUUACUAUUACUACAGUAUCACCGAUAUUAUGACACCAUAGUGUUAGUAGUUAUUGAUAUUUUAUUAGUGUCUAUGAUUACUGUUACCAUGGUAUCACUAGUUAAUUUAUUUUUAAAAAAUAAAAAUUUGAAUUGGUUGUUGAUUUAUUGGUAAAAUUAAAAGACACCAUAAAAUAACCACAAAAAAACUUGAUAUAUAUUACAAAAUCAUUAAUUUCAUAUUUAAAUAUUAUUAGUAUAUAUUACAAAUCCAAAUACUUCAAUAAACAAGAUAUCCUAUUCUCGUAACUAAAUAAUCUUAAAUACAUAAGAAUUUCUACCAUCCAAUCAAAUGCCUACUAAUUGCGGCUACAUUUAACAAAUUUAGAAGCUAAAUUGAUAAGGAUGACGGCCUUUCACUCUUUGAACAUAAGUAGUGCAUUUGUGUUAUCACACCAGCAGUUUCUAUGUAAUGUUGCUUCAGCUGAAAGCUCAUGAAAUAGGAAAUUCUUGUCUUCUUGAUUAGGCGACUUGGGAAGGGGAUCUGUAAAGAGUAGCUGCUGCCCUGGAAAGUGCUCCUGCCCAGUGAUUUUGUGCGCCCAUAAUAUUGAACUUGAGACGAGCCCUCCUGCACGCCUGCACUGCUAUAAAAACGCUCAUAUAAUUGCUUCUGUGGAGCUUUGGACCUCCAAGAUAUGAACACAACCAUAGUGCCAUUUAUUGCAUAAAAUAUAAAUGCCGCGCUAACUUGACUAAUUUUACAAAUUUGGUGAUGAUACGUUUAAGAUUAUGGUUUAAAAGAAUAAUUCAAAGAUAGCGGUUUCAACAGCGAGAUUAACAAUUCUUUUAUUUCUAUUAAACAUAAAAAAAGAAAGAAAAAGAAAUGCAAAAAAGUAAGAGAGAUAGAGGAAUACGGGAAUCGAGGUCUGCCACACAAACAUCUUGAAGCAUUUCAGGAUCAGCAGCAGUAGUGUUCAAGAUCACAGCAAAAGUGACAACAAAAAGUGUCAAAGCACUAGCAGCAGCAGCAGCCAUGGUUACAAAAGUUCAAUUAUGAUCUUGUUAUUGCUGCAGGCAAAUAGAAAGAAAGAAUAAAAGAAAUGCUUAGAAAUUAAAAAUUUUUAUCAGCUUAUCCACUCUCACUCCACUCCCCUCGUCCUCGCCAUUUUCUUUCUUCUCUCAACAGUACCACUGCCGAUGGUGAUAAGACCAUCAACGACGACACGGUCAUCGCCAAGUUAUUAUUUCAUGAUUUCUCUCUUACGCACUCAUACACAGUUUCCAUGUACUAUGAAAGAAAGACAUGUAAAACAUUAGAUUAUCAUUUUCUACUUGUGCUAAUUGACAUCACUGAUCUCAGGCUUUCUUCCAAAACAAAAUCAAAGUAGAAGAAUCUCAUCACAAAGAGUAAGUACACAGCAAAAGUAAGAAUUUUUAUUCAUAAAAGCUUAAGCCUUUUUCCGUUUAAUGUAUAUAAUAAAAAUAGAGGUACUUCGUUCUCAAAACAACAAGUCAAUCAAAAGCUAACAACUUUUUCGCCCUAGUGAACCAGUUGCUUAUCUCCUCCAAUAACAUUUUGUUCAUCCAUUCGGAAGAGCAAAUAAGCAAGAUCAUAAAAGAAACACAAAACCCACAAAAAUAGAAAUCUUGUACGCAUUAAUAUAGAACAAUGCAAAUCUACCAAAAAUAAUGAGGAGAGUAUAAACAGAGGAAGAAGAAAUGCAGGGAAUUACCCUGAAGAGAAGGGGGAGAUUUGGGUACCCUAUUAGCAUAUAAUUUGCUAACCAUGUCAACUAAUAAAACACACCCAACAAUUCUCACAAGCAUGUCAUCAAACACUUUGCAGACACCGUACCAGUCUCCAAAAGCUAUGAAUGACUAGCACAACUUUUACCAUUCACAUAUCAACAAAUCAAAAUGUGGAAAAAAAAUUCCAAAACCGUGUAUUAGUUGAAUAAAAAUAAAAGAAUUAGUAAACCUACUUAAAUUCAACAAAAAGAACCAAAUUAAUUUCUUACUAAAUUCACAUAUAAGUAGAGAAUAUUUAAUAAUUAUUAAUUAUUUAGCUAAUGCUCACCUUACUUAAUUACCAUGCCCAGAUCUACAACUGCUUCACAUAAGUGGUGCUUCUGCCUUCUUCUUUAAACAGCCUCUAACAACGCUCUUUAACUUUCACCAAGACAUCCGUCCACGAUCUUGGAGCUAAAUUGAACCCCUCAAAUCAUUUUUCUCGAUGACGAAGAUUGGCAUUAGGCAAAAAAGUGGCUAGAAUUUCACGGCCGUGUGAGAUUCUGUUGGAUUGUAAUAGAAAGAUUUUAAGGUUAGGGAUUGAAAAGAGGCGAGAUUGAGAGGGAAAAUUUGAGUUGGAUCGAGAGCAGGCUCGACCGCAGGGGAGAGGAAGCGAAACCUGUAUUGUUCAGCUGAGCCAGCGAGACGAUGAAAUGCAAUGGGAUGGAUGGUAGAGGGCUGCCUGCGCCCAAAAGCGAUGAUUCACUGCAGUUCCCUCCAGUCCGUUCUGUUUCAGGUUGGGUUAGGGGAACAUUCGAGUGAUUGCCUUCGCGGAUCCAAACACGCUCACCGGUACGCUUUCUGGCUCGCAACGACUCAAAUGGGCGGGUCUUCUUCGUUUUCCUUUCUCCUUCGGGUAGUUGAAGAUAGGUGAGAUUGAGAGGGAAAAAUUGAGUUAGAUAGUAAGAGAUUGUGUUGGAUUGUAAGAGAAAGAUAAGAGAGGAGUGGCUGAGAGAGGAGUCGGGAUUGAUAAGACGACGCAGUUGAGUUUUGUGAAUUUGGUGAAGUUAGGGUUUUUUAGAUUUGGGGAGUUUAGGAGGGACACGAAAGAUUAAAUUUUUUGUCUAAAUUAAAAGUUAAAAAAAUAAAUCUUUGUUUAGUAGUUAGUUUUCUGAACUAGAAAAUUUGAGAUUUGGUCUCCUGGUCUUUUUUUCGAACUUAAACGCUUGAGUACUAGAGGUCCUCGGUUCGAGUUCUAUUUGGAACCUAAUUAGAAUUACUUUAUUUUUAUUACUGAUACCUUAAUGUCAGAAAUCUCUGAUGUUUAAGUUACAGACACUAUACUAUCAGUAAUUUGUGAUAUUUUUAUGUUAAACACGGAAAAUAGUCCAUAUGUAUGAACAUACUGAUACUUUUUAAAAAAUUGUCACAAACCAAGUGUCAGUAAAGACCAUUUUUCUAGUAGUGAAAGCUAAAGAUAAUAUAAAUUGAAAAAUUUAAAAGCCAUCACGUCAUCCAAUAUCAAAAGAUCACAAAAAGUGUCUUAAAUUGUAUUAUUUCAUUAUUUUUAUUUUAUUUUAUUUUAUUUUUUAACUAAACUACAAGACUAGGAAUAUGCAUUUCUAGAGUAAUUAAACUCCACAUUCGGCCAUCUUUGACUCAAAAUUUUAAAAAAAAUUAGUAAAGUACAACAACACAACUAUCAAUUAUUCCACAACUAUCAAUUAUUCUGUCCCCCAACUAGAAUGAGAUAUUAUCCUCAACUUUUGAAAGAAAAGAAGUAGAGUUUAGAAAAAACUGAUGAAUUUUUAUUAAUGUUUGAAUGGGCCCAAGAUGCAAAUAUAAUUUAUGCCUCUACAAUGCAAGAUCUCUUCGUAAGAAAAUUAAAGAAUUAUUAAGGUUUCGCGUCUUGGUUAUUUUCUCCUGCAAACUUAAGAUGACUAACUUAUUUGCAAUUGGUGAGCCGGGCAGGCAUUCCAGAGGUUAUAGGGGUGUAGGAUGAUACCAAGCACUUGACUUCCUCUAGUGUAAGUAGUUUCUAAGACAAGUACUUGACCAAGAUCCAUAGCUGCUUGAGCAAACACUUUGUAUUUUCCAUAACGAAAGCCAGAAAGCAUGCAAACGUUCUUCAAUUGUCUAUUCAAAGUUGCUACCAUUGAGACAAUCUCAAAAAUAAUUUGUGAGUGUUUAAAAAAAACUCAUAUUUAAAGAUCUUGGUGAGAGACAUAAUGAUACAAGGUUGUAAAUGAAGUGGUGUGUUUGUCAAAUAACGCGUGAAGUUCCUAGUUCAAGAGUCAAAAGUAAAUAGCAAAAAAAAAGUAAAUGGAGAUAAAUCACACUAGUAAACAAUAAUUUAAAUGAUAAAAGAAUAGUAAAACAAAUUGAUAUCUACCAUUAGUUGUGACUAUGACUCACAUCUUUCUUUUAUUUUACAUCGAGAAAGGCUCUCAUCCAGUUUUUUGAUAAACUGGUAAAUAGGGUAGUGUAUAUAAAAUGCUAAAGACAUUAUGGUGCAUAUUUCUUUUGGAAUAAUGGCCAUAACUAGGAAAUUUCACGUUGUACGUAUUCACUGGGAUGCGUUUUAAGGAUCAAAAGGAUGUCAUCUAAUGACUUUUUAUUCAAGUCAUCCCUAAUAAAUUGAAUAUUUUCUUCCCUAAUAUAGGACAUCAUUCCCAAACAUAUACUAGAACUUUCAUUAUAGUUUGUUCGAGCACACUUAUGAUAAGAAACUUGGAGCCGUCUAGCUCUUCAUUUUCUUGAAUAAUUUCCUUUCCUAUAGCCAAACAUGUAAGCAACAAAUUUGAGAGGUACCUCCCUUCUUAAUCAUACUUUGGUUUCAAUUAACCAACGAAUGUGAACAAGAACGGUAUUUCUCAUAAGUAAUUGUAAGAGUUUGGAUCAAGUUUUAAAGAUCGUGAGGAUUGCAUUCUAAGGGAGAGAAGGAAAUCACUUAUGAAGUUUUGCAAGAAUUGUAUUCUUAUUUAUACCUUGGCUUGGAAAUGUCAAUUAUUAUGGAAAAUUAUUAGAACUGACUUUAAUGGUUACAGAGUACCAUUAUCUGCCAUUUAACUAGGGUAAGAAAUAACAACAUACCAAACAAAAGAAUUAAUCUAGCAAAAACAAAAUGCAUGUGAAGGCAAACAAUAAAACAAAAACAAACAAUAUAAAUACUAGGACGUUAACUCACCACCAUCUCCUUAUUGAGUUUAUCGUAAGUUCUAAUUGGAUAUCACAGAUACUACCUUCUAUUUUUAUGAAUUGUCUUUUUAAAUAUGAUACUAACACUAGUGGUAAUAGAUCCUAAACAGGAUGUGAUUUACAAAUUUUGAGCAGACCACUUACGUCAAGCUUCAUAUAUAGAAGUUUGUUAAAGUUAAUGAAUAAGAUUUGUCUCAUUGAGAUACUCAUGACCUAAAAUACAAUUGAUAAAAGAAAGCAUAAUUUUUAAACAAAUGCACUAAAGUAGGAAACAAUCAAAAUAAUUUUAAUCAAUAAAACAAAAUAACAAAAAGUUAAAUCAUCCAAAAAAAAACCUAAUCAAGAUGUGGUGGGCCUUUCAAAUUUCCUCUGGUGUCAUCUUCAUGUGGUUGGUACUCUAUAUAGGACUUUAAUUUUUUACCGUUAACUUUAAAAGUGACAUUAUUCUUUAGAUCCUUAAUUUCAAUGGCCGACAUGAAAAAAUAGUGUGAAUAAUUAAUGGAUCAUACCAUCAAGAGUGUUAUUUACUUGGAAAUAGAUGUAAGCGAGAAUUGAAUAGCAUCACUUUCUAACCUGGUGUAAAAGAUUUUCUCAUAAUAUUCUUGUCAUGAAAGACUUUCAUCCACUACUUGUAAUGUUUGUCAUUUUCAUAUACAUUAUUGCGAAUCUCUUUAAUACUAGCUAUAAUCUUCUUUCCAAACUAACUUGUUGCAUGUCAAAGUUAAAUUUCUUGAUAGCCCCGUAUGCACGAUGCUCGAUUUCCAUAGGUAGGUGACAAACUUUCUUAUACACUAGCCUAUAAGGUGACAUCCUAAUAGGGGUUUUAAAAGCCAUUCAAUAAGCCUAUAGUGAAUCAUCGAGUUUCAAUGACCAUUCUUUUCUAUCUAGCUUCACCGUCUGUUCUAAUAUAUACUUUAUUCCUCGAUUGGAGAUCUUGACUUGGCCACUAAUUUGUGAAUGAUAUGGGAUAGCCACUUUGUGUGUGACGAAGUACUUUGCCCAAAGAGCUAUGAAUGUUUUGUUGUAAAAGUGGGUACCACAAUCAUUGAUUAUUGGUCGAGGGAGUCUAAAGUACGAAACAAUGUUGCUCUUCAAAAAUCCAAUCACUACUUUGUGAUCAUUGGUUCUGCACGGAAUUGCUUCUACCUACUUUGAUACAUAGUUGACAUAAACUAAUAUGUAUUGAUGGCCAAAAGAAAGAGGAAAUGGUCCCAUAAAAUCGAUGCCCCACAUAUUAAAAAACUCAACUGCCAUAGUAGGGUUUAGUGGCAUCAUGCUCCUUCGUGAAAUACUUCUUAUGCUUUGGCACCAAUGACAUGAAGAAUAGAAGUCUAAGCAUCUCAAAAUAAAGUUGGGCAUAAAAACCAUGUUGUAAAACUUUAGCAGCCAUCUUUCUAGCACAAAAAUUGUCUCUACAAGCUUGUUCCUAAUAUAAUGAAAAGAUGUUUUGAAAUUUUCUCUCUGGGAUGCAUCGUCUGAUAAUAUGAUCCACGUAAUAUUUGAAUGGAUAAAGAUCAUUAGAAAAGAAAUUCUUUGUUUCCACCAAAAAAAAAAAAAUUGGCCUUAUCUUGCUUAGUCUAAUUCUCUGAAAGUUGCCCUAUCACAAUAUAAUUAACUAUAUCAGCAUACCAUUGAUAGUACCUCCACACUCAUUAGUUGCUCAUCUGGGAAUGAUUCAUUGAAUCGUAAUCGUUCUCGAAUUGUGUCAAAAUUGAGGCGAGAAAGAUGAUCUGCCACCACAUCUUUUAUGCCUUUCUUAUCUUUGAACUCAAGGUCAAAUUCCUACAAAAAUAACAUCCAACGAAUUAGUCUGACCUUUACAUUUUUCUUUAUAAAAAGAUAUUUAAGAGUAGUAUAAUCUGUGAGCACAAUUAUUUUAUAUCCUAUAAGAAACUUUUCUAAUUCAAACAUUACUAUUACUAUUUCUUUUUUAGUAGUUGAGUAAUUCAAUUGUGUAUAAUUCAAUGUCAUACUAGUGUAGUCAAUGACAUGAGGGAUAUGAUUAACUUUUUGUUCUAAUACAACUACUAUUAUUUGUACAAGAAUGUUAAUACUACUAAUCAGGCAUAGUCUCUUGAGGGUAUGUUGUUCCUCAAGCCUUAUUCACAACUAAUCAAUGUGGAGCACGAGAUGUCAGUAUGGAAAAUUCUAAAAGAGAUAUUGUAAAAAUAAGGGUAAUGUUAUAAAAUUAUGUUGCAGGGGAUUAUUGACUAUUAUGAAAAUAAUAGGUGUCAUGACCCAAUCUAGACUUGGUAAGAUAUUGUCCACUUUGGGCCUUAACAAGGCUCGCACGGUUUUGUUCCUAGAGCGCUCAUACACCCCAAAACGUGUCUUGCCAGUUAAAGUGUAGAUCACCCCUUAUAAAUCCAGCAUCUCUCUCGUGCUUUGCCGAUGUGCGAUAUGCCGGGGGUAUUACAUUCACCCCCCUUGGGGACUCAGCAUCCUCGCUGAGGCUUGCCCCACCAUUGCUCAAGAGGACACGUGGAACCGUUCUACUACCAUAAUAUCAUGACCCAACCUAGAUCUGACAAGAUAUUAUCCGCUUUGGGUCUUAAUAAGGCCCGUACGGUUUUGUUCCUAGGGCGCCCAUACACCCCAAAACGUGUCUUGCCAAUUAAGGUGUGGAUCACCCCUUAUAAGUCCAGUAUGUCUCUCGUGCUUUGUCAAUGUGGGAUUUGCCUAGGGUAUUACAAUAGGUGCAAGUGGUAUACAUUGAUUUCAUUAGUGAAAAAUUGGCAACCUCCUGAUUUAGAAUUAGGGAUGGCAAUGGGGUGUGGUAGGGGUAGGGAGGCCUAUCCCAUUCCCCACCCCAUUAAAAUUUUUUGCCUCCAUUCCCCACCCCAUUCCCCAAUAAAUUUAGUGGGGUAGGGAUGGAGAAUCCCCAUGUGGGGAAUAAUUUCCCCAUCACCACUCCAUUCCCAUUUACUUAUUUUAUAUUAGGUAUAAAUACAUGAAUGCAAGAUUGUUAAUAGUUCUCUGGGGAUUUUGAUGCAUUCAAAGACCAAAGCUCCAUAGGCAAAGAAAAAGUCCUCUAGGCAAGAUCGUUAGUCCAAUACCCUUCAAGAAAAAUCAAAAGUCCUAAUUUUGUCAAUUAAAAUCUUGAGUUCUUUUGCAUAAAAAUCAUAAAAUUCAUUCAAUGAAAAUUCUCAAAUUCUUCGAAUAAUAAAAAUUCCUUAAGUGAAGUCAUGAGUUCCAAAAAGAAAUUUUUAAAUAUCUGAUAAUUCCAUGUAUCUCGUACAUAUAUUUAAAAUCUCAAAACAAUUUUUUUUUUAUAAAUGGUGAUAAGAAAGACUAAACGCAACUUUAGCUCAGCCAAUUUAGUUUAAAACUUUUGAUUAUUUUCAUCAAAAGUUUAAAAACUUUCGGGGAGUAAUAUCAGGGAAAAUCCUUAAGCAGCUCGGCUGGCGGUCAUAGGAACAACCAGACAGUACCCCUGUAAUGGUGUUCCUCUAUUAGCAACAAAACAAUUUGGUGAAUUCAAAUUAAAACCGUAACUUCAGAAGAUCAAAAUGGAAUCGAAAACCAGAAGAGAAGAGAACAGUAGAGCAGAAGAGAUUAACAGAACAAAGCAUCUGCACUAACUGAAUUCAAAUGGCUGGAACUAUAAAUAGAGACUAUGAAUUCUUGUAAAGACACGGCAAUUUGAAAAUCAACAAGAAGAACAUUGCUAAUUGAAGGUCACUGCCCAGGCGUCUUCCAGCAAUCUUCUAACAGACAGUUCAAGCAGCCAUGACCUUUUUUGUCACAACAGUAAAAAUGAAAAUUUAAAAGAAAAAAAUUAUAAUAUAAGUACACGUACUCUUUGUCCACGAUGCCCUUAAAAGCCUGAAUCCCCAAGGAUCUAGGUCUUUUGGAAUUGGAGGUUGCAUUAUAGCUUUUGUUGAUUUGAGAUUCACGUCUCUUGCAAACGUAAAUAGGCUUUCACCUUUGUAAGCUGAAAGGAAAUACAAAAAGGUAUAAGAUGUAGAAGUCAGUUGUCACUGACAAACCGAGCAUAAUGCACCAAGUUUGAAAGAGAAGAAAGUACAAGAAUGCAUCAAAUCCCAAGAGACUUAAAACUAUAGACUUCCUGUUUUGGAUAAACAGAACAAUAAAAUUAUAGUCUUUGUCAACACCUGGAAGUCCAAGGAGAAUAUACAUAUAGAAGCCUAAAGUCGAGCUCCCUCUUCUACUUUUUCAUACUUUGUUUUAUUUAAAACGUCUUGAAUGACCUGGCUAACAUAUAGAAUAUAAUAUGGAACGAAGGAAUGAAGUAUCUUAAAAACAUGUAUUCUUGAUUGCCUUCAUAAUCAUGCUCUCGGAUAUUAUAUCAAUUGAAGAAGAAAAAUCAAUAAAGCAGUAUUAAGUAACUUUCCCAGUAAAAAGACACAGAAGGAGACAGACCAUGAAAGAAAAAGAUGAGUAACCUGAAGUCACUUGAAGGUCUCAUGAUCAGUGUCUGCAUGGUACCGAUUCUCAGCCUGGUAUCAAGACAGUCUAAUUGGAAAUCAAGCAUAAGAAUUCGAGCCAUCUGCCGCUGGCUGCAUUCUGGAAUGUUAAAACCUCGUGGUGUGAACCUAUGAGCUUCAUCAUAUCUACGGAAUUUCUUCUAUUUUCGGAACUCUCCCUGCUAGCUACCACUCAUAAAGGACAACCAUGGAGUUCAAGUUUUUUCGAUGGGGUUUAAAAGUAACUACCCAAAUAAACUUUUAUCUUUAAAAUUGAUUCAAUUGGAAAAAUUAACACAAUAAGCAAUUGAGCCAAGAAAAUAAAAAUCCCCACAAGCAAAAGCAUUAGAAAUCAUUGGUCAUCAGGAAGGAAAAUCUCAGAAGGGUUUUGACCUAUCCAUUCCACUCAUAAGGGAAAGGCAAAAUGCUACUUCUAUGCCUGUUUAUUCUUUAAGGUACUUAUAAUUUGAUGACUAUUUGAUUAAUCAGUAGUAUACACCAAGUAAGAAUUAAAAACAUUACCCAAUAUUUCAUGCUUCUUUCCUCAAUUCGUCCACAUAACAUGCUGCAUUUGGGGUUACAAAUUACAAUUGCCCUUAAGUCAUGAUUAGCACCAGUCAAUUUACAAGGUUUACUCACGGGCACUCACUAGUUGCUCAUCAAAGUCUUUUAAUUUACACUGAUUUUCGGCAGCAAAAUUUCCGACUUGCACGCAUUUUAGCUUCCAAUACUUGGUAAUUAUAAUAAUAAGUCUUGACAACGCAGUCAAAAGCGAACAAUUAAAAAAAAAAAGUAAACGUACUCUUUGUCCGCGAUAUGAGAAACCAAAUCAACCUGAAAAUUCCAAAGUUAAUUUUUAAUAAAAAAUGUAUAAUUGGAAAUGAACAAGAAAACAGGUGACUGCUUAUUCUUGAAGAGUAAGACGGAAAAAGAAAGUCGAAACUUGGCGGUUGAAGAAACCAUCAUACCCUUAAUUGAGAAAUUAUUUAACUACUUCAAUUCCUUAUAAGUCUUUAGAUAUAUCAAAAGCAAAGCCACUUGUAAACAAAAGUAACAACUAACAAGCCAGCUCGAUAGGCCAAAUCAUUCAAAUUUGAGGUGAACAAGCUCCGUUCAAAAAAGUACUUGCACCAAUUAUCCCCAACUUCAACUUUAAGGUGCGGAUAAUAAUGAUGAGAAUUAACGAUAUCAUAAGAGUAAUUUAGACAUUUAACACUAGGAAUGAUGGUGAGGUGAGGUGGGGUGAGGUGGGGAUAGAGAAACCUGCCCCCUUCUCCACCCCAUUAAAAAUCUUACCUUCAUUUCACCAAAAAAUUUAUGGUGCGUUUAUUAAUCUGGAAUCAGGAUUGGGUUGGAAUGAGAAUCACGAAUGAGAAUCAAAAUAAAUUAUUUACUUGAAUAGUAGGAAUCAGAAUUGAAAUAAACUUCAUUUCUAUUAUUGUGUUUACUUUGUCAUGAAAUUUCAAUGAAUUAUUUCAAUUUAUUAAAAUACCCUUUGUUAAUUAAUAUCAUUUGGUAAUA